rnacentral:lncRNA from 1 species
UCCCGAAGUCUCGCGAGGGUAGGAGCGCGUCGGUAUUUUGCGGACAACUAGCUCUCCCAGCUGCUGUAAUUGCUGCUGCGGGAGAAAUUGGAGCUGCUGUCGCCGGCACGCCCGCCCUCCCCCACUGAGAAGAGCCACCGCCUCUUCUCCUGCGCUCCUUAUACACCUAUCGCCGGGAGCGGCGGCAGCAACAGUCCUUGGACUCACUGCCGCCUCCUCAGACAGCCGCUCUGCGGUUCAUUCCCGCAGCCCGGCAACUGAGGGCGGCCCCCUUUCCCUAGCCGGCUUCUCACUCCAGAUCGUUUGCUCCCUCCUUAACCUCGCCUGGGACCCACCUCCCCAUAGUCUCGUCGAGGUGGAGGACGAAGAGGAGGAGACGGGAGAGUCACCCUUCCUCCGUGCCGGCCCCCUCACCCGCGGGUGUGUCCUAUAAAUGGCGUCGGAAAGCGACACCGAGGAAUUCUAUGAUGCCCCUGAAGAUGUGCACCCUGUAGGGUAAGUAACGAAGCUAUAUGGCCCAAAAGCCGGGCAUCCCAGUGCCCUGGCUUCUCCUGUGCUUUCCCCUACACCCCUCCCAGGUCCCGCUGUGUCCGCCACUGCUGUUCCUCUCAGUCUCACUUCAGCACUUCAGAGCCCAGAUCUGGGGCUCCUUAGGGUAGGGUAAGUUGGAGAAGGAAGAAUCGUCCGCCUCGGGCACCUCUCGCCCCUUUCCUUAAAGAACAGCCCGGGUGCUCGCUCGGAUCCCCUGUCUCGUCAUAUUCAACCUUCUUUGAGUGGGACAGUUUACGUGCUUGAGAACCGGAGAUUUCUAUUUGUGGGGUUCAGACUUACCUUUUUCAAACAUCCGCUUUGGCCUCGGGGACCAUAGAUUAAAGGAGCGGUAACAGGAGAAAUUGCACUUCCCAAUUUUUUUUUCUUUUACCGCUACCUUACCUAUUGGUGUCAGAGAUAGCUGUAACUCUUACCUACUUGCUGUCCACUUUUUCUUGCACAGAAAAGGAGUGGAGGAAAGAUUGGCUAUUUACUUAAGGAAGUCCUUUAGCCGAGACAUUCUGAAUCAACAGUGUUUUACUAAAAUAGCACCUUACAGUGAGGCAAACGGAAUCAAAGACAAGACCUUUACCAUUGGGGAGAAGGAUGUGAUCUAAAAGGGGAGCCGGACAUAAAUGUAUACAACAGAUUAUAGAGGUACAAACAAGUGCUGAGUAAUCUGGUGCUUGGACCGGGAGCCCCAGCAUUGUGCCCUUUAUCUAAUUUUGCAAGAUGUUUUAGUGGUGAUUAAUAUGGGUGAUUCUGAGUUGAAAGUACAAUAGUUGGAAUACUUCCCUUGACCAGAACUUCUACUUACUUUCCACUCUUCUACUUUUCAAAGUCGAAGUAGUGUUUAAAGCGUUUUUGCCAAACUCUUCUACUAACAUGAGUGGAACUAGGGGCAGUGAAAUAUAUUUUCAUGCUGUAAGAAUUUAGAAUUGGUAAAAUUUGUAUGUUAGUAUAAAUCACAAUAUGGUUCUGGGAGUUCAACAGCCUUCAAUUCUCAUGCUUACCCCGUGGAAGAAAUACCCUGUUUGAUAAAGUUAUCUGUACAUUUUAGAAAUCAUUCUAAAAUCUUUAUUAUACACAACUUAUACCAAAAAACUUACAGCCACAAAAUCAGAAAGAAAUGUAUGUUGGCAGAUUGCAAAUGUGUAUGUUCUCACUAACAUUCAUAUUACUUCACUGUUGUGAGAUUUGGGGAUGGUAAUGCCAGAUCUUGAGAUGACACUGAAUCUCCUUCAAGUUCAAUAUCUGAGACAUGUUCAUAGCUACAUAGUAGAGAAUAAAAAUGCAUUUAAAUUUUCAAAUAUUUUGUAUUACUUUAAAAUUUUUGUGCAUGAUUUUCCCUUCGAAGUAAUGAACUAUCAUUUCAGGUUAAAUGAGAGACUGAAUCCUUUAGUACGUGUGUGUGUUUGAGUGGGGGAAGGAAAUGAUCUGUUUACUUGAUUAUCAAUCUAGAAUUAUGUGGAUAUUAAGUUCAUUGAAUAACUUUAAUCUCAAAGAACAGUUAUUUCAGAACCUAUGUAAACUGUUUAGUCCAGUACUUGGUACAGAAAAGCAUUCAAAUAUUCAUUCCUGUCUUUCUUUCUGGACAUUAGCAAAUUUGUUAUCUUUACACAGUGUUUGCUUUGGGAGGUUGUAUCCAGAACUUGGAAGUAUUGUGAGACAAGCACUCUACCAACUGAGCUACAUCCCAGCCCACUUAUCUAAACUAGAUGACUCAUUUUGAUAGAACUGAUAGUCACUUCCUCCCUCUGGGAUAAUAUAGCUUCUUAAACACUUUGAUACUAGGUGAAAAUAAUAAUAAUAAUAAUAAUAAUAAUAAUAAUAAGUCCUUGGGACUCAGCUUCCUAAUUUUAACUCUAGACUUGCCUAAAAUCUGAGUAUGUUGAAAAAAAUUCUGUUAACAGAAUAUAGGAUCUGUUUGGAUUUCGUGGCUCUGCUGCAUUAGUGAAAGAAUUUGGAAGAAAAUAAACUCAUCUGGAGAAUUACAUCUGAAAAGAACUAGCUGUAUUCAGAGGAGAGAAAGGGGUAGGAUCAUUUACAUUUUCCUCUAUCCUUUGUGGCAGGUUUGUUUGCAUAAGCUACUGUUAGCCCACUUGACCGAAAACUAACUACCUGGAAACUCAGUAAGAAAUCUUGAUUUGUAGAAACAGAAGGCAUCACUCAAUAUGUGGUCAUCAGAAUUAUCUUCUGUCCCUUGAUAUGAACUGGAGUAACACAUCUUACAAACCCUAAGAGAUAAAUAGACUGAAUCUGGACACUUUUAAGAAAUACUCCUUGCUUUGUCUAUUUGGGUACACACAGACCUUUUCUUCAAAUUGUAGUUAACUGAGCAGACAGUUGAGCAUUAUCUCAUGUGUUUUUAUUGAUCAGUGAAAUUCAAGUAUACAGUCCAUUUCCUAAAAAUGUAUUUCUUGCAUUGCCCAUCCAAUAUUGUCUUCAGUUUUGUUAAUCUGCUCUUUGAAAGUAAAUGUAAAAAGUUGAAAAUUAGCAAUUUUUUACAGAAAGAGUUUUGAGUUCAGUACAACAUACUUUUCACAGUGGCAGAUCAUCUCCUCUUGCCCAGGUUUGCAAAAUGUACUAUAUUUAUAAUGCUUUAUUUUGACUGAUACUUUAGGUCUAGUUUCUUUAUUCCUGUCUCUGGUUUUACAAAUAAGGAACCUUAGACUCAGAGAAGUUAAGUGGAUUAUUUUAGGAGAGACAACUUGUAAGUGUCAGAGCUGGGAUUUGAAACCAGCUCUUCAAACUCAUUAGUCCAGAAUUUUUUUCUAGUACAUCAUAGCUUCCUCCAUACUAUGUAUAGAGUGGGGUCAGGGAGAUUCUCCCCAAACAGGUUCUGGGUCAAAUACUUUAGGGCCAACUUGCUGAAUUGAACUGAUGCAUCAGUUUAAAACCAGCAACCCAGAACUAGAGACCCUUAUGUUAAGUAAAAUAAGCCAAACUUAGAAGGUCAGAGGAUAUAUGUAUUCUCUUAUAUGUGGAAGCUAGAGAGGAAAAAGGGGGGGAAAGGUGGGGAAUAGGUGGGAAUCUCAUGAAAAUCAAAGGGAGAUCAGUAGAGGAAAGAGACCACCAUGUGGGAGGAGGGAAGGGAGGGGGGAAGUUCUGGGGAUUGAUAUUGGCUAAAUUAUAUUAUUACAUUCUGUGCAUGUAGGAAUAUGUAACAAAAAUCCUAUCAUUAGGUACAACUGUAAUGAACCAAUAAAAAAUGUGAAAAAAGAAAACCAGCAUCCCAACUAGGUGUGGUGGUGCACACCUGUAAUCCGAGCUGCUAGAGAGUCUGAGGCAGUAGGAUCACAAAUUUGAGACCAAGAUAUGCAAUUUAGCAAGACCUUGUCUCAAAAUUUAACCCGGGGUUUGGCAGGGGAAGCUCAGGAUGCAUCUCAUCCAUAUAGCGCUUGGCUAUGGGUUCAAUCCCCAAAAAUUAAAAAUCAGAAAAAGCCAGUUACAGUGACACACAGCUGUAAUCGCAGUGACUUGGGAGGCUGGGAGGAUCACAAGUUCAAGGCCAGCCUCAGCAACUUAGUGUCUCAAAAAAUUAAAAGGGCUGGAGAUGUAGCUUAUUGUUAAAGUGCCCUGGGUACAAUCUCCAAUACCAAAAAUAAAAUUAAAACCAGCAGCCCAAACUUUUCAGUUCUCUUCACUAGAAAUUCCCACUUUUUCUUUUAGGAAUAUGUAUUUUUGUUAGAAAGGAAUCUUAUAAGAUUAUUUUCUGUUAUUAAAUAGGAGGAACAUCUAGUUAAGCUAUUUCUUAUAAAAUGUGAAAACUUGAAGCCCAUAGAAGGAAAGUGAAUUGUCCAUGGUGCUAUGACAAAUUCAUGGCAGAACCAGGACUAGAACACAGACCAGUUUCACAGUCUGUCAUUUUCUCUGGUAUCAUGGUUAAUACAGCAGGAAAGAAAAGAGGAACUGUGGUAUAGUAGAAAGGAGCUCUGAACUGAGUCAUGUCAUUUCCUCAUCUUUAAAUUGAGAUUACAUUUUGAGAACCCUUCUGACUCUAAAUGCCUGUCAUUAUAUGGAGAUUUGAUAGUGUGCUUUUAUUGAUAAGCUUUUGUUCUUGGAAAUCAUACACACACAACUUUGAGUUUAACAAACUUGAUGUCUUUGGUACAUGAUUCAAGAAAGACCAAUAGAUUUGAAAUUAUUUUUUGGAUAAAUUAUAUAUUAAUUGAUUGCCUCUGCUAAAUCCUGUAGCUUGUAUCUACACAUUCUAAAGGCUGACACUGAGAACAUGUUAUAAAAAUUAAUGUAGCAUUUUCAACACUGUAUUCAGCCAAAAUAUAUUUGAGGCCUCAGAAAAGGGAAUCAUAUAUUUUGUAGUAGGAAGGGAUCCAUUAUUUAACCCAGUCCUCCCAUUUAACUGAAAGUGAAACCUAGGCUCAGAGAGGGGAAGUAACACACUGCUGAUUAAUGGUAGACUAGAACUAGAACUUAAGUUGUUUUUUGAUUUUGUUUUUUCUUUUUCUUUUUUUUUUUUGGGGGGGGGUACUGGGGAUUAAACCCAGGGGUGCUUAACCACUGGGCAACAUCUGCAGCUCUUUUUUUUGUGUUUUAUUUAGAGACAGGGUCUCGCUUAGUGCUUAGGUCCUCACUAAGUUGCUGAAGCUGGCUUUGAACUUGUCACCCUCCUGCCUCAGUCUCCUGAGGAUUACAGGCUUGUGCCACUGCACCCAGCACUGAACCCAGGUUUCUUGAUUCCUCAUUUGUAUGGUGCUGCCAUGUGGAAUUGAGGAGAAUAAUGCUGGUUAUCCCUGUUAUAGGUUUCUGAUACAUACCCUGUUUGCCAGACUUCCAAGAUGGUCUACUUCUAUCUAACAUGACUAUUUCUUCAUGCUUUACUUGUCAAAGGACAUUGACUGUUCUAGGAUCCUAUUGCUCACUACUUUUCUCCAAGUCAGAAUGAAAAUGGUGGCAGACUGGCUUAUGUAGAACAGAGUUCAUAUUAGUUUAUUUUUAGGAGUCUAGUUAGUGUUACUUGCAACUACCAUGUUUAGAAUAGAGUAACGGCAAAAAUAUUGAUUAACUUAUGGGAACUGUGAUAAAAGUGUCUAGAAGAAUUUCUACAUCUAAAAAACAAAACUGUCUUUGUUGAAAAUUCAGCUUUCUUACUUAGCCCUCAGAAAUGUUUCUCUCUGAAUUGAAAAUUUAUGCAGUUUUAUUUAAACAAUAUUUGCAUGAUGUGAAUUACUUUAGGGAAGCAAAACCUCCUUUAUGGCCAUUUGUUCCUGAGUUUUUGACAUUCAAUCAUAGAUUAUAUUUGAUUGCUGUUGAUUUUGUGGAUUGAUAGAAAUUCAUUUAUAAUGCUGUUUUACCACAGUCUUAUCAUAUUGAAGUGGAAAAACCUUCAACAUAUUAAUUAGUAAAAUUAAGUUCUAAAUUUAGUGACUUCCAACUGUCAAUUGGUGACUCAUUUAGGUAGGACAGUUGGUAGCAGGAUGGCAAUUUGGGGGGAUCAAUUUGAAUCUGUAAGUUGAAAGCUUUAUUCUGAUUUUGAUAACCUACUUCAUAAAAUAGAGUAGACAAAAUUUAAUUUUUAAAAAUAUAAAAAACCUAUACAGUUUUAGGAUAAAAAUAGUUCAUUGACUAUCUUAUAGGACAGGGAAAAAAACUUUUAAUUUUUAGUAUGCAACCUUUGUACAACACUCUUGUGUGUGUCUUCUUCAGUUCGUUGUUAUGACAGAUGAAUUUUUCAGGUAAAUCCCUUAAAGAACCUGUUUGUUAAAUAAAGUCAACAGUUUUUUUUUUUUAAACUAUUUCCUCUUCACACUCUGGCUACAAUUUGGGGAGAGUACAUCUUGGGGUAAUGAGGUAUAGGAAGAGAGUAUGAAAAGUAGAUCAUGAAAGAUGUAGUGAAGGAGGUGGAGGGGGUGAGGGGACCAGGUUAUGAAGCUGCUUCCUAGGGCCUGCAUAACUGAGAUAAGACAAAUUCCACCAUUUAGUAUUGUUUUACAUACACAUAAAUGGUUUGUUUUAAAUAACCCUAUAUUCAAGAAAUUAAUAACCUGUAAGAAAUAUCUCUGAUAAUAUUUAAAGUCACAAAAUUGGAGCCAGGGCUGUAGCUUAAUGGCAGAGCACUUGCCUAGCACAUAUGAAGCACUGUGUUUGAUCCUCAGCAGCACUCCAUAAAAAUUUUAAAAAUAAAUAAAAGUACUCUGUCCAUCUAUGACAAAAAAUAAAUAAAGUCACAAAAAUUAUAGGUACCGUAUGAUGCCUUACUGAUAUUGACUUGAAUUGAUAAUUAACCUACAUUUCUAUUUUCUAUCCAGAGCUAAGGUAAUUUCUACUAACAUUCACAAAGCCUGUUCCCCUUUUUCUUUUGGAUAUUAUUCAGUUAACCAGAUAAAUCUUUAAUUGGGUGCUCUGUCCUCUCAUGAUUCAAAAUUGAGGGGAAAGCACCUAAGACAAAAUGUGAGCCUCAUAACUGAUGACAACCCCAAUGUUUUUCCCAGUCAGUAUACAAAUUUAUCUUGGUUACUAUAGCAACCAGUCUAUCAGUUAUUCUUCUAGCUCUUUUGCCUUCUCUCAGAUGCUAGGAUUACCAUAUAAUCAGGUUCUGCUAAAGUGCUCCAGGUCUUAGCAUUUUAUUACCAGCUGCAGCUGUCUGGCAGUUUAUAAUUUGGCAUUCCAUCAGGGUCAGUUGCUUUCAAGCUCAUGAAACCUUUUUUUCCUCCAAACACUUUUAAACAUUUUAAACAUACAGAAUUUAACAAAAACAUGUUCAUGCAGCAAUUUCUUCAUACUAAUUAUCUCAGUUCCAAUGUUAACCAUUGUCUUUUAGAUUGAAUGCAUCCAUUGGCCAUCCUUUGUAAUAAUACCAAGUAGAAUAAAUUUCAAGAUCAAGGGUGACCUUUAGGAAAUAUAUUUGCAAAUAGGAUUUUAGACUCAGUAUCAUCACAGCUUAGCUGAAGUGCUUUAAAAGCAUCUUGAUUCAUCAACAACUACCAAAUAAUAUUUUAACAAAAAUGAUUUCUAUGGGUUGUAGAAAGAAUAUUUGGCCUUUAGAUGAGUUCAUUAUAAUUUGAGAAAACUGUUUAGAAAUUUAAUAGGAAAUGUUAUCUUUAUUUCACAGCCUUUGAAUAAACAAAGAAGGAAAGAUAAAGACUGAAUAAUUGGAUGGGUCUUUAAGUUUUUUUUGUGUUCACUUAACAUUUUUAUCUCAUAAAAACUCAGAAUUCAAAUAAUUAAAGUUAUACAUAUGUUAUUUAUUUUGCUCAAAAUAAGGAUAUUGAAGAACUAUAUCAAAUAUUUAAGUCACUUCCAUUAAUGUUUGGUUUUGGAGCUCAUGCUUAUUAGGAUUGCUAGGUAUAGUAGUAACUUCUAAAUGUGCACAAUUGAUCUUUUGUAUUUACUAAAUUGGAGGUGGUUAUUCUGUUAAGGUUUAAGCUUUGUUAUCAUUUCCAUACAUUACAAUAAUAUAAGUCAUUUCUAUUUAGCAAAGUAGAAUUCUACUUUUUAAAUUGAUACAUAAGAAGUACACAUAUUAAUGAGGUGCCAUGUGAUGUUUUGAUGCAUGUAUACUUUGUGUAAUGUUUAAAUCAAGGUAAAUCUGUCUCUUUAUUUAUCAUUGUUUUAUGGUGAAAACAUUCAGAAUCUUUCUUUUAGAUUUAAAGAAAAAUUAUGCAGUGCAUUAUCAUUAUCUGGAGUCACUCUGUUAUGUCAUAGAAUACCAGAACUUCUUUCUCCUAACUGUAACUUAGUACCUGUUAAUCAACUGUAAUCUGUCUUCCCUCACUUCUUAUUUCUUCAGCCUCUGGGAACUACCAUUUUACUCUCAACUUCUAUAAGAUCAACUGUUUUAGAUUCCAUGUGAGUGAGAUCAUGUGGCAAUUGUCUUUCUGUGCUUGGCUUAUUUCAGUUAACAUAAUGAUCUCCAGUUCUAUACAGGAUGUCACAAACAACAAGUUUUCAUUCUUUUUUAUGGCUGAAUAGUAUUCCAUUGCAUAUAUUUUCUACAUUUUUUUAUCUAUUCACCAGUUGAUAAAUAACUUCAGUUGCUUCUCUCUCCUGGUAAUUACCCUGGGCAUGUUGAUAUCUCUUUGGAUUGAUUUCAUUUAUUUUGGAUAUAAACCCAGUAGUAGUAUUGCUGGGUCAUAUGGUAGUUCUAUUUUAAAUUUUUUGAAGCACCUCCAUACUGUUUUUCCACAAUGUAUUAAUUUACACUCCAAUCAUCAGUGUGCAAGGGUUCCUUUCUCUCCAUAGCCUUGACAGCACCUGUUAUCUUUUAUCUUUUUGAUAAUAGCCAUUCUAAUUGAAGUGGAGUGAUGUCUAGUGGUUCUGUUUCAAUUUGUGUUUCCCUGAUGAUUAGGGAAGUUGUACUUUUUUCAUGUACCUGUUGGCCAUUUAUAUGUCUUCUUUUGAGAAAUGUAACUUUGUAACUAAAUGUCAUUUUAAGUGGGAUUAUGGGGGGGGGGGCGUUGCUGUUGUUUGAGUUCUUUAUAUAUUCUGGUUAUCAAUCCUUUGUCAAAUAUAUAGCUUGCAAAUAUUUUCUCCUAUUCUGUAAGUCAUCUCUUUGCUGUGUUGACUGUUAACUUUGCUGUGCAGAGCUUUUUAACUUGGUAUAAACAAAUUUUUCUAUUUUUAUUUUCAUUUCCUAUGCUUUUAGGGUCUUAUCCUAAAAAUCCUUGCCCAUUCAAUUGUCCUGAAGCAUUUCAUCUAUGUUUUCUUCUAGUAGUUUCAUGGUUCAGGUCUUACAUUUAGAUCUUUAAUCCAUUUUGAAUUUUUUUAUAUCAAUUGGUGAUAGGGGAUUAAUUUCAUGUGGAUAUCCAAUUUCCCCAGCACAAUUUAUUGUCCUUUAUCCAGUGCAUGUACUAAGCACCUUUGUCAAAGAUCAGUUGGGGAUGGAUAUGUGUAUUUAUUUCUAGGCUCCUGCUCUAUUCCUGGUCUGUGUGUCUUUUUAUGCCAGUACCACUUAAUUUUAAUUAUUAUAGCUUUGCAGUAUGUUUUGAAGUCAGGUAGUGUAAUUUUGCCUGCUUUAUUCUUUUUGUUCAGGAUUGCUUUCUCUAUUUGAGGAUUUUUUGUGGUUCCAUAUGAAUUUUGUAAUUUUUUUUUCUGAUCUGUGAGAAGUGUUACUGAUAUUUUGAUAGGGAACGCAUGGAAUCUGUAGAUUGAUUUAGUAUUACAGACAUUUUAACUAUUGAUUCUUCUAAUUCAUGAAUUUCAGAUGUCUUUUUGGUAUCUGUUUUGAUUUAUCUCAUCAGUGUUUGAUAAUUUUCAUUGUAGCUCUUUCAUAUCUUUGGUUUAUUCUUAGGGUUUUUUAACUAUUGCAAAUGAGGUUGCGUUUUUGUUUCCUUUUCAGACAAUUUGCUAUUGGUAUGGAAACAAACUGAUUUUUGUAUGUUUCAUUAAGAUUUUACUUUUAAGAUAUUGUGAUAUUUUUCAAAAAGUAACUUUCCUGAAUUAGAAAUUAUUAUAGUAAGCUUGUUAGUAUAUACCUUUGGCACUGAAUGAUAAAAUCUUAUCUUUAAUUUUUAUUUAAAUCAUACGUUGAAUGGUUUCAUUUUAAGAUUAGUACAUCUUAUUCAACACUGCAGUUAAGUUUUAAUAAUGCCCCCUAGGAGAAUAUUAAUUGCACAAGUAGACUUCAGAGCAGAAAGUUUUACUCUCUCCAUGGGACGCUGAUCCUUAAAAUUUUAAAAGAGGGAGGAUAAAUUUUUAAAAAUCCAAGGGUGGCACAUAAAAUUAUUAGAAACUUAAGAUGGAAAACUUUUAACCAUUUUUUUCUAUACCAUAAUUUUUUUUAGUUGUUGAUGGACCUUUAUUUAUUUAUAUGUGGUGCUGAGAAUGGAACCCAGUGCCUCACACAUGCUAGGCAAGUGCUCUACCCCUGGACCACAACUCUGACUCCAUACCAUAAUUGAACCCUGAAUGUUCUGAUGGACUGCAGAUCAAACUUUCUAGAGAACCAGUAAACAGCAUGUUGUGCUGUAUUCAAGCUUGGUUUGUUCAAAGCAAGCAUUUGAUCACUAAGUAGGUUUGAGAGUAGGGAUAGGAGUAUUCUUUCUGGCCUUAUUCUUGAACUGAUAUGAAUAGCUAUGGAUGAACUUAAAACCCAUAGUCCUCUUUUAAAUAUGUCUCGGAAAUCCUUUAUUUAAAUUAGGGUACUGGGUAAGUAAUCUUUCUGGUUAUUAGCAGUACUAGUAACAACUUAAGUGUUUUUGAAAAAAACCUCUUAGCUGGAUGUGGUGGCACACGUCUGUAAUCCUCAUAGUUUGGAAGCCUCAGCAAUUUGGUGAGGCCCUAAGUAACUUAGUGAGACCCGUCUCAAAAUAAAAUAAAAAAUAAAAACAGGCUGGGGAUGUGGUCAGUGGUUAAGCUCCCAUGAGUUCAAUCCCCAGUACCAAAAAAAAAAGUUAAAAAAAAAAACCACUCUUAAAAUAUGCUUAUUUUCCCAUGUCAAACUGAAAUGACAGGUGGUUUGAACAUUUUCCUCAGCCCCAAAUCCACUCUUUAUUGCCAACUUUCUCCUUCCUAGUAACAUUACUACAGAGAUUUCCUAGCGUAACAGUUCUUGUCCCUUAUAACUGAGAAGGAACAGUGGUGGAUGAAAUAUGAAGAGUGGAAGGAUUGGGGAAGGAAUAAGGGGAAAAGUCAGUUAAAUUGGAUAUAUACUUUCGUAAGUGAAAUUUUUUUAGUAGUGUGUCUGGUGGGUAUGGGUUAUUGGAUUACACAGAGAUGGGUAAGCAGAGUGAAUUCAGUAGCUUGAUAAAAUUAGUACCUUGAUGAGUGAGAGCAAGUAGGUCUGUUGAUAUUUUGCAAUGUGUACUUUAUUUUUAUUGAAUUGGAUUAAGGGCUUAAGGUAAAUGACUUUUUCCUUUAAAUGAAUUUUAUUAUCCCUGUUAUAUCCCAGGUCAUAGUUCUAGGCUGCUGUUCUUUAUUUUAGCCUUUUCCUUAUUUCCCAGCAUGGAGAGAUAUCCACAGUUGAAGUGUAACAGCAGCAGAAGGUUUAGAUGGGGAUUGAGUUGAUGAGUAUGCAUGUUCUGUGGCGUUCCACUUCCCUUCACAAUUUCUUCUACUUUCAAACAUCCUGGUACACUCAGAUCUUACCUAAUCAUCCCAGCUCCCCUCCCACACAUUCCAGUUACUAUAAGAGAAGUAGGGGAGGGGCUGAGGCAAGGACAGUGGUUUGUAUUUUUUGUAACUUGGGGACAUCCUGUACUCAAUAAAUAUUAAAUGUUAACAGUGAAACCUUGGGAAAUAUUGACAGUUAUCCUGCCAUUAUAUCAAAUUCUUGUUAUUAACUUUUUUUCCAGGGGUAAAUGUGUUCAAAAUAAAAAAAAAAAUUAGUACUAUAUAAUUCUAUGUGUUGUUACAUGCAAAGAAUAAGAACUCCAUAAUGCCUACUAAUGUUGGACAUUGAUUUUCAAAGUUUUUCUUAAUACACAGUCACUUCUGACUGUCUUGUAGUUCUGUGUGAUAGGACAAUUUUUUAGAUAGGUGGAAAAAUUGAUAGCUUAGGAUAGGUUAGGGACUUGUAAGUCAGCAAGAGGUAAAAUUUUACUAACUUGUGGUAAUUAAACAAAUGGUUUUGAAUGAAGAUUUAAAACACUAGGUCACCCCUACUUUCAUUUUCUAAACUAUAAACAUUUUGUGAUGUUCUAGUUUACAUAUAAAUUAUUAAAAUGACAAGGCUAACUCCUGACAUUUGGGUAUAUAGAACUUUGAAAUAAUAAAAGGGAGAGUUUUUUAUGCCCUUCUUUUUAAGCUUUGACAUAAUUGAUUGUUACGUAAGCCAGAUCAGGAAGUAACCUUGCUACUGAAAAAGAUGGAAUCCCAGACAACUGUUCACUGUCUUUCAAAGGGUGCGUUCUUCUCUCUCUCUCUCUCUCUCUCUCUCUCUAUCCCAGGGUCCCAGGGGUGCGUAUCCACUGAGCCACAUUCUCAGCGCUUUUUACAUUUUAUUUUGAGUCAGGGUCUAAGUUGCUUAGGCUGGCUUUGAAUUUGCAAUCCUUCUGCCUCAGUCUACCGAGUUGCUGGGAUUACAGGCCUUCACCACCAUGCCCAGCAUGUUCUUUGUUCAUAAGGGUAACCCAGGAUGUGAGCCACUCAAAAGUCUCUAUCCCCAGAUUUUUUUUUUCUGUAAUUGUUUUAUAAAUUGUUGUCAGUUGUUUAGUCAGGCCAUGGUACUGUGGUGGGAUAAUUAUUUAUAACUCUCACUCAUACUUUUGGCCACAACUCACUUACCCAAUAUUUCUUUUUCCCCUUUCUCCUUCAUAUGUGUUUUCUAGUAGUCACAAUGAGAUACAUGAUAGUUAUUAACAUUUUCUACCUAACCAAAUCUCUAUUGACUAUUAAAUUAAUGGGAAAAAUGCAUUCCUGAUAACUAGGUAAUUGAAAAAUUACAUGAAUAGUAAUUACUAUUUAAGAUGCCGAUAAGAUUGAAUAAGCUUUUUUAUAAUAAAUCAUAAAGGACUUAAACUUGACCUAUAGAAUGUUUAAUGUAUGUAAGUAUUCUAGGUAAUUUAAGAUUUUUCUAGAAUAUUUAAGUCCUUCAUACAUUUUUCAUAAAAAAUUGCAGAAGGAGAAAUUCAAGUCAAAAAAGCAUAAAAAUUGAAUUUAUGUAGUGCUUAAUAUUAAAUGUUAUCAAAAUAUGUUUGAUUUUCCAUUUAUGAUGGUGAAGAAGAACAUGAAUAAUUAAAACCUACCCAUUAACUGGAUGUGGUGGUACAUUCCUAUAAUGUCAGCUACUGGGGAGGCAGAAGAUCACAAGUUCAAGGAUAGCAUGGGCAAUUUAGUGAGGCUUUUUCUCAAUUUUUCUUAAAAAAUUGAUUGCUUGGCUAGCAUGCAUGAAGUCCUAUUUAUAGGAUCUCUAGUACUGUCCCACCCUCAAAAAAAAAAAACCUACACUUUAUACCAGAAUCUUAGUUAAGUCAUUAGUUUACCACUUAUUUUCCUUUAAGACCUUUUUAUCAGAGAUAACACCUGUAAACGUUCUUUAAUUUAAAAAAAAAAUGGUUUGAUUUGACUUUUGUUCCUCUGCCUGUCUUGGGUGAUUAUCAGUGAACUCAACCAGGAAUCUUGAAGACUGAAAUGUAAGUUCACUGAUCAUAGAAGCGAUCCAUUUGCGUUUUUUAAAGGGGGGUUUACAAGUACUUUAGAGCCCUAUUUUUUGUUUGUUUGUUUGUUUUAGGUGGACACAAUAUCUUAUUUUUUUAUUUUUAUGUGGUGCUGAGGAUCGAACCCAGUGCCUCAUGCAUGCUAGGCAAGCACUCCACCACCGAGCCACAACCCCAGCCCCCUAAUUUUUAUUUACAAGUUACUGGUAUUUACUGUUUACAAUUAAGUGUUACACUGAAUGUUAGAUAACUUACAAAAUCUUAUAAACAUAUUAGUUUGAUAAAGUUUCUGUAAUGUGGCCUGCAGCCCAACAUCUUGUUUGUUUACUUUUUAAAAAUUACGUUACAAGGUGAUUUCACAUGUUUGCAAUGGUUAUUGACUUCUCCAGACAGGCAUAAUUUUAGUUAUAUGCUUCUGUCUAUUUUUUACUAGAAAUUACUUUAAAACAUUAAUAGAUCUGAUUUUUAUUUUAACCUACUUAAUUGGAAUAUUAUGAUAUUGCUGCCUUACCCCAGAGUUAUUUUUUUUAAUGUAGGUAUUUAUUGAAUGGUUUUAAAUGUGCAGAGUAGAAUGGUUUUCGUGUAACAUUCUUGAGUAGGGCAAAGAACACAAUUUUUUUUGGUUAUUUUUUUCAAUAAACACAUUAUUGAAAAAUGACAUGGAAAUAUAUGGAAAAUAUAGGAAUAUGACAUGGAAAUAUGAUAUAUACAUAAUAUUUUAAAAAUCAGUUUGUCAUUUUAGACAAGAGAGUUGCUUAAGGGUCUACUUUAAGUUUGUAAUUUACCUUAUGUGUGAACAGAUUUAUAUUUCACCACUAAAUUUCCUUUGAUUUCAUUAAAGGUUAUUUAAAAAUAUUGCCACAAAACAUACUUUCAAAAAAUAUAGAGCCAUUGUGCCGAAUUUUCUCACCAUUUCUGUCAAUAUCAUUGAUAAAAUAGGUACUUUUGAUACAUUUCUACUUUGGGGCUUUCAUCAUAUUUAAAACUUAAAAUGACCAUUCAAAUAAUAAUAUGUGAACUAAAAAUAGUUCACAUUUGGAGGAUUCAGUGUAUUCCCUGUUAUGUGAUUAUUUUAACUGUUUUGUCAGCUUUUUGUCAGUCUUGUUAGUAAACCAGUAUUGCCUUAUGUCCAGGGAAAUUUGAGUGAUUUGUUUUCUACUGCCUAGUUAAAACAUGACAUUUUAAAAUGUACUAUGAAUUGAACUGCUAUAAACAUUGACGUGGAUACAUCACUAUAGUAAGCUGACUGAUUUUAAGUCCUUCAGGUAUAAACCAAGGAAUGGAUAGCUGGAUCAAAUGAUGGUUCCAUUCCAAGUUUUUUUGAGGAAUCUCCAUACUGCUUUCCACAAUAGUGGCACCAAUUUGCAGUCCCACCAGCAGUAUAUGAGCGUACCUUUUUCCUCACAUCCUCGCCAACAUUUAUUGUUGCCUGUAUUCUUGAUAAUUGCCAUUCUGACUGGAGUGAGUUGAAAUCUCAGUGAAGUUUUAAUUUGCAUUCCUCUAAUUGCUAGAGAUGUUGAAUAUUUUUUCAUAUAUUUGUUGAUCGAUUGUUUGGUUUUGAUUUCUGAUUUUUGCUGCUGCAUUUUUUUUCCUGCCUGGCCUCAGUUGGCAAUAAUAGGACUCCAUGUGAGUGUUUUCUGAGCACCAGAACCCUUCCGAUUCCAUGCUUAGAAUUAGCACUUUAGUGUUGGUCUUGGUUUGCUAUCAGAUCUUACUAUUUCAAGCUUGCUGGGCUUUAGAAAUCAGAACCCUUUAAUUAGCUGUUUACUUUAAUGUUUACUUAUCUUUGCUCAUAUCCAGUUCACCUCAAGGACCUUAGAAUCCCAGUACUUUCUUUGUAUCAGCAAGCUGUUCUUUGUUCUGCUUGUUUCAGUUGCUUGAAACACUGCUUAAGCUCAUCUUACUUUUUGUUUUGUUUUGUUUUUCUUAUGGCAAAGGCAGAAAAGGGGGAUAAAAACAAAAUUAUAUUGUAGAGUGAGUCACCUUUCUCUAAGAAACAUGUUUCCCAAGCUACAGGCUUUAUUCCACCAAACUCGCUCUAUACUACUACUUCAAUGUCAUUGCUGCUUUUUUCUUGGCUUCUUCAUAGCCAGCCACCUUUUAUUCUCUGAAAAAGAAGUAAGUCUUCUUAGGAACAAAAAUAAAGACCUAGUUAGUCCAUUUCUCUGUGCAGUGCCCAAUUGUUUUGGUAUAUUUCUUUCAUGAAAUAUAAUAAGAAGUUUGGAAAUGGUGAUGUUAAGAAUUAGAUUGCACUAAUAUUUUAUUUUUAUAUCAUAGGAGGUGGUUUUUUGCGUUUCUAGUUGUUUAGUUAAAUGUGAAAUAGGUGGCAAAUGUAGGUUUCGCCUGCACACUGAUUUCUCCCUAUUUGCAAAAGCCUUAUAAGUUGUGUUUGUUUGUUUUCAGGUAAAUCUAAUAGGUGGAGAAACACCAAACCCAAAAGGCAGAAAAUCUGCCUAUAGGUAACAGGUGAGAAACUAGAAGUAGGAUAGCUUAUGAGGUCUGGCUCUUUGAAAAUAUAGAAAUUCAAUGUUCUUUUUUAAAAGUAGAUUUAAUUACUUAUACCAUGAUUUUAAGUCCCAAUUACCCUAAGGCAUGAGUGAUGAAGAUCCAGUAAUUGCCUGCAGGGAAACUAAUGGUCAAAGCUCUGAAAAACCAACUUACAUUCCUACUGUGGUCACCAUGUCAGUAGCUGAUUUCAAAAUGUGGGUUUUGUAGUGGGCCUAGUAAGGCAGUUCAAGUAGCUUCUAUUUAGGGAAUCUAAUCUAUGGGUUGGGUUUUUUUUUUUUUUUUUUGGUACCAGGGGUGAUUAACCACCUCAGCCACAUCCCCAGUCCCCAUAUUUUAUUUAGAGACAGGUCUCACUAAGUUGCUUAGGGCCUCGCUAGGUUGCUGAGGCUGGCUUUGAAUUCACAAUCCUCUUGCCUCAGUCUCCUGAGCCACUGGGAUUAUAGGCCUGCCCCACUACACCUGGCUACAUGGGUUCUUAAUACACAUUUGUAUCUAUUGCUAUUCAUAUCUAGGUUCUAUUAGUGCCUCAGGCGGUGGGAGGAUGUUUAGAGUAUAAGUUGACAGAAUUGAGAAGCAAAUUCUACUUCUUGUUGCAGAAGGUUCAUCAGUUUUUUGAUUGAUAUAGAAAUAGUAUAUCUGAAAUAUUUCUAGUAUCCUUUUUAUAAAGGGAGGAAAGUGUCCUAAAAUAACUAUAUACGUAGUAUGUGAUUCUCUUUUUUAAUGAUAACAUACUUUCAAUUGAUUAAUCUAGAAAGUUAGCUGUUGAUGUUUAUUUUACCUAUAUCAGUUAACCUCAUUUUGAUCAUGUUGAAUGAGAAUAGUUUUACAUAAAUAUCUAUAUAAACAAUGGCUACAAGUCAACUUAAAUAUCUAGAAAUUUUGUCAGUUUGUUACAAUAGCCUUCUUGAGUUUUUUUUUUUUUUUUUGGGGGGGGGUGGGGGGAGGUAUAGUAUUUGCAUUUACCGAUAUGCACUGAAUGCCUUGUCCAGAAAAACUUUGACUGAAUAUGCAAAUGUAUAGAUCUUUUCCCCCAUUCAGUGAGUGUUGUAAAAUAUUUAGAAGAAUAUUUAUAUAAUGACAUUGGCCAUGUGAUUCUUCCUUCUUAAUUCUUUUAAACACACACCAGCAUAUCACAGGAUUUUUUGGUUCAUCUAAUUAACUUGGGUAUGAAUUAGAGUUGCUGACAAUGUACAGAACAGUCUGUUAAAUUCCAAUUUCAGAUAAACAACAAAUACAUUUAUAUUAUAUUUUUCUGAAAUUGGAAUUUAACUGAACAUUCUGUUUUUAGUUGCUAAAUCUGGCAACCCUCAGUGGGGGAGAAAUAGAGGGAAAGUAGUGGAUAUGGGUACAGUUUUAAGAUUUAAGUGCAACUGGAGUGUAUGCAAUGCCAAGAGUGGCCUUUAUACUUGACAGGAAUAGAUGAUUUUUUCAGUGCAAUGAUUUUUUUUUGGUACCAGGUAUUGAACCCAGGUGCACUUAACCACUGAGGCACAUCCCCAGCCCUUUUAAAAAAUAUAUUUUUAGUUGUAGAUGGAAACAAUACCUUUAUUUUAUGUAUUUUUAUGUGGUGCUGAGGAUUGAGCCCAAUGCCUCACAUGUACUAGGCAAGCACACUACAGAGUUACAACUUCAGCUCCCCCAGCCUUUUUUUAAUUUUUUACUUUGAGAAAGGGUCUCACCAAGUUGCUUAGGGCCUCACUAAGUUGCUAAAGCUGGCUUUGAACUUGCCAUCCUUCUGCCUCAGCCUCCUGAGCCAUUGGGAUUACCGGCAUGUACCACCGCAUUCCACAGUGCAAUGAUAUUUAGUGUCCAACAUUUUUUUCUUUGAAAUACAUCAGUGAAAACAGAGCUCACAAAUGACAAAACUUACCAAUGUAUUGUUUAUGAAUAUAUAUACAUGCAUGUUUUGAUGAAACUUUUUAAAAAUGAAAAAGUUAAGGGAACCAUACGUAAAAUCUGGGAUAGCGGAUACCUCUAUGGGAGAGAUAGGCAAAUGGGGUAGAGUACACAGUAAGCUGCACUGCUAUUGCAGCUGUUCUAAUUGGUAAAAUGUAAAGUGGUGAGUCACAGGAGUUCAUAUUACUUAUUAUGUGUCAUAAUUAGUUAUAUGUAAAGAUUGAAUAUUUCUUCUCUAAGAUACUUGGGAUAAAAGUGGUUUGAAUUUUAGAUUUGUUUUAUUUCAUAUUAUUUUGGAUUUCAGAAUAUUUACAUGUACAUACUCAGAUAUCUUAGGGACAGGACUCAGGUCUAAACAUGAAAUUCAUCUAUUUCUUAUACACAUUUUUUGGGAGGGUACUGGGGAUUGAACUCAGGGGCACUUGACCACUGAGCCACAUCCCAGCCCUAUUCUGUAUUUUAUUUAGAGACAGGGUCUCACAGAAUUGCUUAGCACAUCACCGUUGCUGAAGCUGACUUUGAAUUCUGAAUCCUUCUGUCUCAGCCUCCCAAGCUGCUGGGAUUACAGGCAUGCACCACCAUGCCCAGCUUUAUACACAUAUCUUCAAGGUAAUCUUCCAUAAUAUUUUUAGUGUGCCUGCACUUUGAUUACCACUUGUCACUUGAGGGCCACUAUGGAAUUUUCCACUUGUGACAUAUUGGCUUUCAGAAUGUUUCAGAUGUUGGAGCAUUUUGGAUUUUAGAUGUUUGGAUUGAGGUUCUCAAUCUGUACGUGCUACAUAUACUCUUGUAUAUAUCAAAUAUAGAAUGGCAGUUCAAAAGUUAAAACAUAAACUUAAAUAAGAAAAUUAUUCCAUGUAUUAAGUUUCACUGUAUAUACUUUGCAAAAUAAAUCCAAAAAAUAAGGUCAAGAGGCAUUAACUAGUUUCUCAGAGAUCAGAUCAACUAAUUAAUAGCAUUUAGAAUGAUUACUUAUCAUAUAAUACAUCUAAAAUUAACUUCUCAGUUUAUAAAAUUUUCAUUUGUAUCAUUUGACCUCUACAGUAACAAGCUUCAGUUUUUUACUUAGAAAAAGUGAUGGUUCCGAUGUGUUAUGUGUCAAGUUAAAAGAAGAAAACAGCAUGCAUAAAGAUUUGAUUAAAUCAAAUGGCCAAGGUAUAAAUUUUAAGAUUUGUAGGGCAGAGCAAAAAUCACAAAGAACUCUGCUCUCCUUGAUUAAUUUUUUAAAAAUUAGAUUUCUAACUCCUCUCACCUAAGAACUGUAGUCAUGUGCUGCAUAUUGACCUUUUUGGUUAGCAAGAGACUUACAUAAAUGGCAGUGGUUCCAUAAGAUUUAUCUUGCCUAGUGACUUAGUUUGUAUAAGAACAUUCUCUCAGCUGGGUGCAAUGUUGCAUGCCUAUAAUCUCAGAGGCUUCAAAGGCUGAGCAGUAGAAUCACAAGUUCAAGCCCAGCCUCAGCAAUUUAGUGAGACCCUGUCUCUAAAUAAACUUCAAAAAAGGACUGGAGGUGUGGGCUCAGUGGCUAAGCACUCCUGGGUUCAAUCUCCAGUAUCAAAAAAGAGAACAUUCUCUGGUGGUCACGCAAUGACAAAAUUGCCUAAUGACACAUUUCUCAGAGUAUGUCCCCAUUAUUAAUCCAUGUAUGACUGUAUUUGGACAGUUUGCAACCAUCAGUAAAUAGAAAAAUUCAUCUUUAGCAAGCACCAGUUUAGGGCAAGCUAAAGUAUUUUGUGUGCAUUUACUUAGUGUUUUAAAGCACUUCUAGUUCUCAGUAUCCUUGUAUAAUUUUCUGUGGUAGAAAUAGCUGGAGGGCUGUUCCAGGAAGCCUUUCUAAAUAUAAUCCUUUCUCCCUCUUAUAUACACUUGAGUGCCCCUCUGUGCUUCCAGGAGAUUAUGUGCUUAUGUCUCUCAUUGAAAGUAUUGAAAUUAUCUGUUCAUGUAUUUGCCUUCCCACCAGAUUGUGACCUCUCUGGGGGCAAAGGCUCAAUCAUUCUCAUCCUCCCCCCACAAUGCCUGGCAGUGCCUGGCAGUGCCUGGCACAUAGUAGACAACCAGUAAUGGUUUGUUGACUAAUGAAGGAACUUAAGGGGUCAACCAACUUAAAUCUAACUCCUUCAUUUCACAGGUGGAAACCAAAAUUUAGAGAGAUUAAGAAAUAGAAGCAGACCAGAGUGGUUAUCCAUUCCAGACUUCUGCAGUGCCCAUGUUAAGGUUAUUAUUCAGUUUCUGUUUGAAUAUCAGGGAAGCAGCUCAUUCCUGUUUCUAAACUCCAAUGGAUAACUAAACUCAUUAGGUUAAGCAAAAUACCCACUUAGUCCUUGUUCUGCUGUAUGAUGCCUGAAACAUUUGAAGACAGCAGCUGCUUUUCUUCUUUCUUAUUCUCCAGGUUAGCCAUUCUUGUUUCUUUGUAUCAUUCCACUUUAGUAUUUAUAGCAUUUAUGAAGUUGAUUUCUCUCUUUUGGAUAUAUUCUAUUUUAUCAAUGUUCCUUUUUUAAGAUGUGAUAAUCCAAAUAGUACACAAUAUUCUUAAGUGUGCUCUUUUCAGUGAGAAAUUCCAGAACACUCACACCCCCCUUGCUCUGGACAUAAUGAUUCUUCUAAUGGUUCAGUCUAAGAGCACAUUAGCUCUUUGGCAGCCAUGUUAUGACAUUUACUCUAUCCAAGCCAUCAACAAAAAUACUAAAAUGUUUUCACCUGGUUUCUGUUAAGCCACAACUUCCUUCCCCAUGAAUUUUACAUUUAUCCCUACUACAUUUCAUUCUGUUAAGAUUUGAUUUAUUGCUUUAGUCUGUUGAAAUAUUUUGAAUCCUUUUGCCCAUUAUAAUACCUACCCAUCCCAACUUUUUGUCAUCUGCAAAUUUGGAAGAUACACCAUCAGUGUCCUCAUCUAAGACAUUAGUAAGAAUAUCAAAGUAGGAUAGGGAACUUACUGCUUUAAUCUGUAUAUUUCUGUGUACAGUAGUCCCUUUUUAUUAAUGUGUUUAAGAAAUUUGUUUGGAGUCAGGUGCAGUGGCACAUGCCUAUAACCCCAGGUAUGAGGAGACUGAAGCAGGGGGAUCCGGAGUUUGAGGCCAGCCUGGCCAAUACAGUGAGACUCAAUCUCAGAAAAGAAAUUUGUGUUUUAUUGACAUAAAAUGAAUCUGUCUAUAGUUUGUGGCAUAUGCCCGUUCAGUGUUGACUCUUAGAGUGUUUUCCUCUUCCAUUUUCCCAGUUUUUUCAAAGGUUUUUGAUAGAAAUUGAGCUCAUAAUUCUCAGAUAUACUAAGAAAUAGUUUGUCUGGGACCAUAGAGCUGAACUUACUUGGAAUAGUCAGGUACUUUCAUCUCUUUGAAUGUUUCAGGAUUCUAGACACCAUUCUACAAUUGGUUUUUCCCUUUAUGGUUUGUCUAUUAAAGAUCUUAAUUGGAAAAAAAUAUUAAACACUUUUUACAUUAUAAUAGUGUAUACUUAUCCACAUAUAAACAGCCUGCACUUUUUGUUCUUGUUGAAUACUAAUUAAAGAAAAUGUUUUUCUCUGGCAUUUUUUGAAAUCUUGCACAUCAUGAGCAUCAGCUUUCUGAUACUUUUAUUACAGUUUUUUUUUUUUGUGAGAGAGAGAGAGAGAGAGAGAGAGAGAGAGAUUUUCCUUGGAUAUGUGCCCAUUCUAUCUCUCCAAUAUCUCCUGCAGUUUUUCCUUUAAAAUAUGGCUUGUGACAUGUAACCAUAGAGAUGCAAUCAACAAAAUUUAGAUCAUGUGAAAGUUUACAGGAUGAGCAACCUAAUUUCUUCACUAUACAAAUUGCAAGAAAAUAAAAGAUUGAGGGGGAGCCUACUGAUUGAAAUAGACAUGUUAUCUGAUUGCAAUAUAUGAACCUCGUUUGAUUGAACUGAACCAACUGUAACAAAAAAUUGAGGCAAACUGGGAAAUCUGAAUGUUGACUAUAUAAAAUAAGAAAUUGUUAAAUUUUAUAAUGGUCUUAUGGUUAUGUUUUAAAGAGAAGUUUAUAUUCUUUUUAGGUACAUACUAAAAAGUUUAUGGGGAAAUGAAAUUGUUUCUGACAUUUGCUUUAAAAUCUGACAGGACUGGAGGAAAGGGUAUGCUGUAGAUGGACAUAACACCUUUAUCUUUUUAUGUGGUGCUGAAAAUCAAACCCAGUGCCUCCCACAUGAGGCAAGCACUCUACCACUGAGCCACAACCCCAGCCCAAAAGGGUAUUUAUUGAUCAUUGUUUAACAAGGUCAUCAUGUUGUAUGUAUGGGUUCAUGAUAUUAUUCUCCCAGCUUUGUGUAUGUUUGAAAUAGCCAUAAUUAAAAACUGGAAAAACUCCCCCCAAUUAUUUUUUAUUAUUGCAUAAAUUGUUACUGUCUGAUUUAAGUCUGAAACUCAGGUCUCCUGAUUCUAACUCAUGCUCUUUUAUUGUUUAGCUAAAAUUCCAGCAAUUCUACUUCUAUAUUGAUGUUAUAUUUUUCUUUCAGUGUCUGGAAACUCCAAGCUUUGCCUAGAAAAUUGGUGGAUAAAUUCUAAAUAAAUCAAGGCUUUAAUAUAUUGUUAUAGUUUUAAUUAAUUGGCUACCAAUCCAUUGAAAACUUGAAGGGACAUUAGAAUUAAUAGGGUAUUAUAUGGUUUUUUGGAAACUGCAAAGGAACUCCUUGAUGACCUAGUCUAAACUAGUUUUUUUGUUGUUGUUGGGUUGGUUUUAUGUUUUGUUUUGUUUUUGAUAGUGGAGAUUGAACCCACAUGCCAAGUAAAGUUCUACUACUAAGCUAUAUAUACCCCAGCCUAACUAGGGCUUUUGUUCUUAGCAUAAUUUCUAAGAUGGCAGGGAUAUUGUUUGUUUUGUUCACUACUUUACCCCAAACAUCUAACAACAUACCUGGUAUAUGAUAAGAAAUAAGUAAAAGUUAAAUGAAUUUAAUUUAACCUCUUUUGGUCUCAUUUUCCUUUAAUUAUUAAUAUUUCUUCAAACACUAAAAAAUUACUCUUGACUUCUAACUCAUUUUUAAAAAUCUUUGGGGAUUUUUAAUGAAUUACUGUAAAUCUCUUUAAUACUAGGUAAUAUCAAUAGGCAGGCAACAUGUUCACUUUUAAUAACUUGUUAUUUAAAAAAAAAACAGUAGUUAUAUGUUGCAUCCAAAUCUGAAAAAAAAAUAACCUAUUGCUAUAUACUGUGUGUGUGUGUGUGUGUGUGUGUGUAUUUUACUAGAGACUAAACUCAAGGCCUUAUGCUUGCUAGGCAUGGGUAUAUAUUUUCUGUUGGAUUGAUUUUUGUUUCUAUAAAGUAAAUGUAUACUCUUCUUAGCAUACUAGAUUAGAGAGUCAGGUUUAGCAAGUUUCAAAGUCCAACCAUAUAAGAGGAUUGAUAAAACAUUGCUUUGCUUGCAUAUUUGCAUGUUUCACUGCAGUUGUAUUGAAUGCAGUACUAUUAUGUGAGAGAUUAUAAAGGAUUUGACAGUUUACUUCCUAUGAAUCUCAGCAACUCUUGGGUAAGUUGCUCAUUAGAUACAUAUACUUUGUGACUGGGUACCUAUGCUUGGGAGUAAUAACCUUAUUAUUCUAAUGAAAUUUUGCUUCAUAUGUCUGAAGGUUAUGGCUGGAUCAGGUUAGAAUUUAUAAAAGAAAAAUACUAUCCACAAAAAAUACUACUACUAUCCUACAAUAUUACAAGAGCAACAUUUUGUAACUACAUGAAAAUUUUUAAAUAGUGACUAUUUUGAAGAUAUUAAAAUAUAUUGCUACUGGACACCAGUACCCUAGCUUCAAAAGGAAAACUACUAUAAUUAACAAUGCCAGAGCCUGGCAUGGUGGUGUAUGCCUAUAAUCCCAGCAACUUGGGAAAUUGAAGCAGAAGGAUCACAAGUUCAAGGCCAGCCUCAGCAAUUUAGCGAGACUAUCUGCAGAUAAAAAGUAAAAAGGACUGGAGAUGUAUCUCAGUAGUAAAGUGCCCCUGAGUUCAAUACCCAGUACCAAAAAAAAAAAAGAGUAAAGCAAAACAAAAACUAAAUGAGUUGGGACAAGAGAAAGUAUCUACCACAUUAUUUUAUAUUCAGGCAUGAAAUUUGUUAGUAUAAACUGAAUGUUAGUAUAUGAAAAUAACUCAUAGAAAACAGGAUAUAGUGAAUCAAAAUAUUCUGUCUACUUUGAAAGUUGCUGAAGUAAUAAUCUAAAAAUCACUUUUACAUGCAAUAUGUAAGUAGAAGCCACACUACUUUUAGUAUUUGUAAGUCAUGUUUUCUUCUUAGUAGAAUACCAAUAUUAUUUAAAGCAGAGUUUUAUUUUGAAACUGUUUUGGAAAUUGUUUUUCAUGUUUAAAUGUAAUAACACAGUUGAUAGACACUGUCUUCAAUUUGGGAAGCUACUACAAAAUUAAAAUUUUACUUUGUUUUCUACAUUGAUCUGAGCAAUGAUCUUUUGUAUUUAACCCCAAAAGCAUAGACGGCAAAAGCAACAGUAGACAAAGCUCCUGCACAGCAAAUGAAAUGGUUAACAGAGUAAAGAAACAGCCUAUGGGUUGGGAGAAAAUAUUUGCAAAGCACUUAUCUUAUUGAUAUCCACAAUAUAACUAGGUGGAGUAGCUGGCACAUACCUGUAAUCUCAGUUACCUGGGAGGCUGAGGCAGGAGCACUAGUUCAAGGCCAGCUUUAGCAACUUAUGCCCCAAGCAAUUUAGCAAGACCCUGUCUCAAACAAAAAAAUAAGAAGAACCAGGGGUGGAGCUCAGUGGUAAAGCAUCCCUGGGUUUAAUCCCCAGUUCCAUAAAGAGGAAAAAAAUGAAUAUCCAAGGUAUAUCAGGAACUUGGACAAUUUAAUAGCAGGGAGAAAAACGUUAAAAGACCUGAAAAUCCAGGCACAAUUGGGCAUGCUUUUAAUCCCAGUGGCUAGGGAGACUGAGACAGGAGGAUUGCAAAUUCUAAGUCAGCCUCAGCAACUUAGCAAGGCCCUGGUCUCAAAAAAUAAAUAAAAUAAGCUUGGGAUAUAACUCAGUGGUAAAGCACCUCUGGUUUUCAAUCCCCAAUAAUCCCUCCCAAAAAAAAAGAAUACCUGAAGAAACAUUUAUCAAAAGAAACAUAGAUGGGCUAGGGUUGUGCCUAGUGGUGAAGCGCUUGCCUAGCAUGUGUGAGGCACUGGGUUCAAUUCUCAGCACUGCAUAUAAAUAAAUAAAAUAAAGGUCCUUUGACAAUCUAAAAAAAAAGAAAAAUACAGAUGGCCUAUAUGUAUAUGAAAAAGUAUUCAGCAUCACUAAUCAUAAAUGUGAUGCAAAUUAAAAUCACAAUGAGAUCUUACCCCAUACCUGUUAGAAUAGCUAUUAUCUAAAAGAUAGUGUUGGUGAGGAUGUGGAAAAAAGGGAAGCCUUGUACAUUGUUGGUGGGAAUGUAAAUUAGGAUAGCCAUUGUGGAAAACAUUAUGAAAAUGCCUCAAGAAACUAAAAAUAGGACUACCACACGAUUCAGUAAUCCCACAAUUGAAUAUAUAUCCAAAAGAAAGGAAGUCAGUAUAUCAAAGAGAUAUCUAUAUUUCUAUGUUUCUUGCAGCAUUAUGUGUAAUACCAAGAUAGAGAUUCAAGCUGAAUGUUCAUCAGAGGAUAAAUAGAUAAAGGAAAUGUGGUGUGUAUAUAUAUAUAUAUAUAUAUAUAUAUAUAUAUAUAUAUAUAUACACACACACACACACACACAUACAAUGGAAUAUUCAGCCAUGAAAAGAAGAAAAUUUUUAUUUAAAACAACAUGGAUGAGGGCUGGGGUUCUGCUCAGUGGUAGAGUGCUUACCUAGCACGUGUGAGGCACUGGGUUCAGUCAGCACCACAUAAAAACAAAAUAAAGAUAUUAUGUCCAUCUACAAUUAAAAAACAAAAAUUUUAAAAAAACAACACAGAUGAACCUAGAACACAUUAAGUUAAGUGAAAUAAACAAGGCACAGAAAAACAAAUGCUUCAUGAUCUCACAUUUGAAAUCUAACAAAUUCAUAGAAAUGAGGGGCUGGAGAGAAAGGGAGGUAUGGGAAGAUGCUGAUCAAAGUGUAUAAAGUUUCAGUUAGGAGGAAUCAAAUUUUAAGAUCUAUUAUACAGAAUGUGACUGAAGUUUAUAAUAUUGUGUUUCAAAAUUGCUAAAAGCAUAAAUGUCAAAUGUUCUUACCAUAAAGAAAUAAUAAGGGCUAGAGUUAUAGCUCAGUUGGUAGAGUGCUUGCCUUGCAAUGCAUAAGGCCCUGGGUUCUAUCCCCAGCACCACAAAAUUUAAAAAAAAGCCAAGAAAUAAUAAGUAUCCAAAGUGAUGGAUAUAUUAGUUAGCUUGUGAUUUAGUCAAUCUAUGAUGUGUAUAUAUAUAUAUAUAUAUCUCAGAACAUCUCAUUUAAUAUUUUUAGUUUUAAAACAUUUACCAUGUUUGCAAUCUACUGUUGAAAUUUAGUUCAGUUUUGUUUUUGCUAUUAGGUAUGCAAGGAAAUUCAGUUCCUUAAUGUUGUAUUAUUGUUUAGCAUUAACUUAAAAACUCAGCUAAUCAGAUAACAAAUGCAUCAAACAUAUUUGAACCCUAUGAUAAAAGUUUCUGAAAUGAAAAAUGAACUUUCAAAGUUCUCAUUUUGGUUUGUUAGAUUUACUUUGAAGUGGGAUCCACCGCCAACCUUAUUUAAUAUGUCUACAUGUAACUUUAGGGUUUACUGAAAGAUUUUCCACUUAUAAGUACUGUUAAAAAGGUUAUUUUAGGGGCUGGGAUUGUGGCUCAGCAGUAGAGCACUCACCUAGCACGUGCAAGGCACUGGGUUUGAGCCUCAGCACCAUGUAAAAAUAAAUAAAAUAAAGGUAUUGUGUCCAACUGCAACUAAAAAAAUAUUUUAAAAAAAGGUUAUUUUAUGUAGGCAUUUGAAUGGGCUUUUUCUGGGAAAAAUUAUAGACUCUAACAUAUUAAAAGGAAAUUUUUAAUUUGCCUUAUUCAGCAUCUACAGAAUAUUUGAAGAAAUAUUUUUCAAGUUGACUAGAGGUAGUAAGUAAAACUUCUGAAUGUGUGUGUCUGUUUGGUUAUGUCUAUGUUUUAUAUACUACAUCUCAAAUUUAGGGGAACCAGACAGUAUAAAUUUAGAUCAUUAAUCUUGGUGUAAAUUAUAUCUUUACUCCGUAACUAACAAAGGUUCUUAAGAUAAAAUUUCCUAAAAUUACAUAAACUCUACAAACCCUUGCAUAAGAUCUUGCAGCUAAUUGGUGGGAGAGCCAAGAGUAGAAUUUAAUUUUCUUGACGUCUAGUGCCUCAUUUCUCCUUCCCACACCAAACUUGACCUGAAUGGUUGUUUUCUUCAGACACAUAAAUACUCUGAACUAGUAUGAUUUUAUCUUUGCCUUGAAAAUAGUUACCAAGCCACAGAGAAGUUGAAUUGUCUAGAAAUACAGAAGAUGGUUAACAACUCAUUUAGCUGGCAGCCACUUCUUUGGUAGUGACAAUUCUCAAAUACAGCCAAAUGCUUAAAAAAAUAAAAAGCAUAUUGAAAACCUCUCAAUGAUCAAAAGAAGUGCCACAAAGCCCAUAAUAAGGUCAUGUACAUAAAGUCUCCUGGAGAGACUCCCCAAAUCCCUAUUCUUUCUUUACCAUAUAUUUUUAAAAAUCUGGCUUCCUGGGCUGGGGCUGUAGCUCAUUGGUAGAGUGCGUGCCUCACACAUGUGGGGCACUGGGUUCGAUCCUCAGCACCACAUAAAAUUAAAUUAAGAUAUUGUGACCAACUACAACUAAAAAUAUAUAUAUAUUAAAAACAAUCUGGCCUCCCAGUUCAAUACAGGUUAGAAACAAAAAUUAAAACGGGGAAGAAAGCUUUUAAAGGUAGGCACCUGGCCAAUUAUAAGAAGUGACUACUUAAACUGAGGAAGGAAACACAAAACUCUAAGACAUUCCAAACAUAGUAGCCUGGGGUACUUUGGUGUGAACACAAAUAAAUUCCCUGCAUUUUAGAGUUUUAGAGUCCCAGAAGGGCAUUAUUGUAUUAAUAUAUUAUGAAUGAGUGUAAUAAUUAAAGAAGAAAGAGAAAUUUGUAUAUCCUUUGUUUGGGAAGAUAUUUUGAAGGGAUAGUUUAUUGAAACUGUAAGACCAAGCCUAUUCAUAUACAUGUACUUAUUUUUUUUAAAAAAUUGUAUUUGUAGAUGGACAGCAUGCCUGUAUUUUAUUUGUUUAUUUUUAUGUGGUGCUGAGGAACCAACCCAAUGUCUCACACAUGCGAGGCAAGUGCUCUGCCACUGAGCUACAGCCCCAAACCUACAUGUACUUAUUUAUAAUCUGCUUUUGAAAGUUUUUACUUAAAAAUAGUUAAAAGGAAAUGAUUAUGAGCUGAGUGUGGUGGUGCACACAUGUAAUCUCAGUGACUUGGGAAGCUGAGGGAGGAAGGUUGCAAGUUUGAAGCCAGCCUAGGCAAUUUACUGACACCCUAUCUCAAAAAAAGAAAUAAAAGAUUAGGGAUGUAACUCAGUGGUAAAGUACCCCUGGAUUCAAUCUCUAGUAACACAAAGAUCCUAGUUAUAAAAAUUUUGUUAAUGUGCUAUUAUUUGAGUUGGACUAAACUGAUUAAGUCAAAGGCUUUUGAAUCCUGACCUGUUUUUAACAACUACAGUUAAUGCCUGACUUGGCCAGGAAAUGAACUAAUGAAUUGUUCCAUAUGUAAAAUUUCUAGAGAAAUGGAACUUUCCUUUGAGUGCCAAACUUUUGAUAAGAAAGGAAGCAAUAUUAUAAAGUGAUUGAAACAGUGGGCCCUGGAGUACAUACAUAAGGUCAUUCCAGCCCUACUAUUUACUAACUAUGCAGUUUAAAUGAUUGUUUCUGACCUAAGUCAGAUUUUUGUUAUGUGACAUAGGGGAAAGUAAUAUAACUACCAAAUAGGGGUCAUGAAGACCAAAGCCAGUUAAAAUGUUAACAUAGUUUGGGGCACAUAUUUUAAAGGAUAGUCAUUGUUUUAUUAUUACUUACAAGGCCCCUUUUAAGAAAACUUCUAAUCGGGAUAUUACAUAAUUAGUGCUUUUUGUGGUGAAACAAAUUAUUCUUUUCUCAUCUUUGCACACGACACAAAUCAUUUUAGCCAACUUUAAAAAUUAUAAAUAUUUUGCUUUUUUACUAGGUGUUGAUGUUAUAUAUGUGGGUCAAAAAUUUGAUCACAAAAGAAUUCUAGUCUUACAGACUACCCUGGUAACAAAGUUCUAGGUUUAAUAGAUUGGAACAAUCCAAGACCUUAACAACUUUAUAAUACUUAAAAUAUGCUUCAAACGUGAAUGUCUUUGUUACCAGUUCUUGGUUUAAUGACAACACCAGUUGCAAGCAAAAUCCCAUUUUAAUCAUUAGCUCAAUAUAAUAUUAUUAGGUAGAAGUUCAGUGUCACCAAGAUGGCAGAGGCAAGGUACAAGAAAAAUGCUACUAGAGGUUAGGACAGGGAGAUAAGUCAUCAUGUCCCUGUUUAUGAUAAGUCCAGUUACCAUAACAACUCCCGCCACAGGUUCAGUAUUCUAAAAUAACCAAUGGAGGUAAAGUGGACAGUAUUCUAUUUAGGUUUUCUAAGAUAACUAAUGGGAACAAAUGGAGUACGGUCUUCAGUCAGGUCCAUAUAAGGAAGAGAAUGCCAUAUAGCUCAGCAUAUAAGACACUAAUUUCCAGACAUAGAUCCUUGAACCACUCUUUCUUGUUCAGCCCACUCCAUUCUAUCUUCGGAAUGCUACUUUCAGCUUCACUGUCAAUAAAUCUGUACUUCACCUGUUACUUGUGUGUGUCUUACUCAGUUCUUUGUUUGGGACACCAAAGACCUGGAUCCCAACUAGACACCCCAAUGAUAACAAUCUGGCUUUUUCCUUAUGUUCUCUGUUGUUAAGGCUGUAGGGUACCUUUUCUGUAUUCCAUUGACUGAUCUUAGGCUCCUCGGUACUGACAGACUGCCAAGGUACCUUUGAGAAACAUGUAGCAUUUCAAAGCUGCUGAAGAAAUUACUGCUUAGGGUGUGGGCCCCAGAUAUUCUCACUGAAUCCUCAUAUCAGUCCUGAAUAGAUGGUUUUAUCCCUUUUUACACAGGAUGAGACAGGGACUUAGAGAAGCUGAAACUAUUUGAUCACACAUAGGAUAAAUGGCAGAAAUGAUAAUUCGAGCAAGGUUCGUCUUCUCUAAAGCCUGUUUUCACUGUGUCCCUUGUCUCUGAAAAGGAAGUAAUUCCUUUGCAUAAUCUGAAAUAUCUCUAUAUGUGUUGAGAAUUGGCCAAUAACAGAUUCUGUGAAUAAAUAGCUGGAAAGUGCUCUUUAUGAGCUGUGUGAUAGAGUAAAAGGGAUAAAACCAUUUACUCAAGGUCUUGAAGGUGCCUUUCAACUCAAAGUUGUACCAUCUGGUAUCAUUGUAGCUUAUUUUUUAAAAACUUAGAAAUGAAAUGGCAUGUUAAUUAUUUAAAAUUGUAUUAUUAUAUGUGUCUUUCUCCCUUGUGCUUUGAAGCAGAUAUCAGACUGUUCUUAUUUGGAAAAGAAUGUGAGGGAUGAAAAUAAUUGGUGAAAAGUUACUUUUUAAAAUUGCUAUAUCUAGAGUAGUCUAUGUUUAAGAAUAAAAUUUUACUCCAGUAUAAAAAAUGAGCUGAGAAGAAAAAUGAUUAUCUUCAAAAGCAACUGUAACUAUCUAAUUGCACAUGAAAAUUUUCAACACUAGAAAUCAAAGAAGUGUAAAUUAAAACAAUGAUGAGAUAUACUUUUGCCUGUCAAAUAGGUGAAAAAAUUUUAAAACAUUCAUUUUUGACAGAGGUGUUAACAAUAAUUUAUAAAGCAGUGGGAGUAUAAAUUGAUACUGCUGUUUUGGAUGGCAAUUUGAAAAUUUCUCAAAAUUCUGAAAAGUUUGUGUAUUUUUGGCCUAUAGUUCCACUGUUAGACAAGUUUACUUUAAGGAAAUUUAUCAUGGAGUUGAAAUUUAUUUACGGGGAUGCUUGCCAUAUAUAUAUAUAUAUAUAUAUAUAUAUAUAUAUAUAUAUAUAUAUAUAUAUAUUUGAAUAUAUGUAUAUGCUUGCUAUGUAUAUACACACACACACACACACAUAUAUAUUUGAACACCAUAUGUAUGUGUUUGUGUGUAUGUUUGUUUAUACAUAUAUAUAUAGUGUUACAUACAUAUAUAUUUUAUAUUUAUAGUGUUCAAAUCUCUAGGUCAUAAGAUUAUAAAUCAUCUUAAUUUUAUUCUGAUUUUUGACAUUUUCAUAUUCUCUAUAUGCAGGCAAGAAUUUUCAGUCACAAAAUACAUGUUUAUUAAAAUGCAAGUUUGGCUUUAACAGUGUAUAAAAGUAGUUUAUCUUUUCUAUUCAGCACCUCAUUGUUUUGUUUUUUUUUUUUAAUUUCUGAACAGGUCUCCAGGAAAAGUUGGGCUUUCAUCAUUCAAGGUCAGUGUGCUUUCUUAAAGAUGUGUUUAUAGAAAUCAUAUACACUUUUCAUUUAUUUUCUUAUAUAUGUAAUUUGUCAUUUUCCUUAUUUUGCUUUUUAAAAUUUUUUUUAUUCAACAAUAUUGUCAUUAUAUCCUAUUGAGUAUAAUUAAGUAUUCUAGAAAUACCUAACCAAAUAUUAUGCUGUAAAGAAAGGGUUAUAAAUAUUUUUUAGAUUUUUCACUAUUUUUCUUUGGUUUUUAGAAUAAAAAGAACACUUUGUAAUACCUUGUGGGUAUGUUAACUAAAAAAAUAGGACUUGUAUGACAAAAAAAACAUUUGUAUACUUCUUGUGGGCUCAUGAAUUUGUACCAUCAUUAUAUAUUAAAAUAAAUCCCAGCCUUAUAUUAUCCAAGAAGAAUAGUUUGGUAAUGAGAUAUUAUGCCAGUGAGAACCUUAAUUUUUUUCUUUUGUGUUGAUAGAGAUCAGAUUCAGGGCCUUACACAUGCUAGUCAAGUGCUCUACCACUAUACCCCAGUCCCCUAAGAGAGACCCAUUUCAAGAACAAGAAUGUCACCAAACAGAACUAUUUAUAUCAAAUAGAGUAUGUAUUAUAUAUGUGUGUGUUUGUGUGCAUAUAAUCUCAAGCAUGCCCUUUUUUCAGUUCUAGUAUACUUCUUUUGUACAUAUUGGAUGCCAGUCUCUUUGAUAAAUUGUGGUAUACUUAUUUGGAAUAUUCUACAGCAGUAGAAAUGAAUGAAUUAUUUAUAUACAAUAACACGAAUGAAUUUUAGCCCCAGAAUAUUGGGUGGGAGCAAUCCAUAGAAAAAUAUGGACUCUGUGAUUCCCUUUAUAUUAACUUUAAAAAGCAUGCCAAAUCAAAGAGAUUUUUUUAGGGAUAGAUGGUUUAGGGAUACAAGCAUGCUAAAAUUACAAAUAAUUCAAAGGGAAUAAUAAACACAAAUUUUAAGCUUUUGUUCAUUUCUAAAGAGAUGAAACUAUAAAAGAAAUAAAGAACAAUACAGACUUGAAAGGUAAUAGUAUUGAAUUUGUUUUUAAACUGAGCACUUAAAGUUAUAAUUACUUAUUCCUUGUAUUUUAUAAAAAAAUAACAUUUACUCAAUAUUUAAUAAAAGUAAUAUUAAAAGUAAUAUAUGUACAUGGUUAAAAUUUGCUCAAGGCAAAGGUAUAUGAUUGAAAAUGUACUUUUUGCCUCCAUCUUCCAUCCCUACCUCCCAGUAUCCAUAUCCAGAGGCAGUUUCUCUUUAUUCUUUUAGGUUUUGAAAGUCACUUAGCUCUAAGUUAUAUUUAGGUUAUAACAAAUAAUUUGGGGAAUUUAUUUUAUCCUAGUAAUUGCUUAUUAUCCUUUACUUGAAUAAAAUUAGAUAGCAGUUGUACAUAUUUAGUAAAUAAAGUUGAAUAUUGUUCCUUUUUUACUUUUUUUAUGUUGAAAUAAUUGUAGAUUCCCAGGAAGCUACACAGAUAGUACAGAGAGGUCCUGUGUAUUCUUCAUCCAGUUUCCCCAGUGAUUAUAUCUUAAUUAUAGUAGAAUAUCAAAACCAAGAAUAUAACAUCAGAAUAAUGUGAGUGCAUAGUUCUCUAUCAAUUUAUCACCUGUGUGUCUAGGAAACCACCACCACAACCAAGAUACAGAAUUUGGAGUAGUCCUUGUGCUAGUCCUUUAGAGUCACGUCCACCACCUCCCCAAUAUCAUCCCUAAAUCUGUUUUCCAUCUCUUUAAUUGUGUCAUUUUGAGAGUAUUUUAUAAAUUAAAUCAUAUAGGAUUGUUGUUUUGAGGUCAACUGAAAGGAUUGAGAUUCAUCGAAGUUGUUGCAUAUAUCAACAGUUCCUUUUUAUUGCUAAAUAAUAUUCUAUGCUAUGGAUAUACUGAGAAUAUUCAGUAUAUAUUAUGUAUAAUAAUUUAUCAGUUGAUAUCUUUUUCUUUUUUUAGUACCCAGAAGUGAACCCAGGGGCAUUUAACCACUGAGCCACAUCCCCAGCCCUUUUUUAUAUUUUAUUUAGAGACACGGUCUUGCUGAGUUAGAUAGGGCCUCAUUAAGUUACUGAGGCUGACUUUGAACUUGGGGUCCUCCUGCCUCGGCCUCCCAAGCUGCCAGGAUUAUAGACACACACCACUGCACCAGUGUCUGUUGAUAUCUUAAGCAAUACAAAGAAAGGUUUCAUAAGAGUCCUGAUUUUGGGUCAUUGUAUAGUCUUAUAGAAGAGACAUAUUCAAAGAGACAGUAUAUGAGAUCUUGAUGUUUGUAGACUAGAUGCUGAGUGCUAAAAGAAGGUUUCAGGGAGAAGGUAAAACUUGGGCUUUGAAAAUUGGGGACAUAGAGAACAAUUGGGAAAGCACUGUAUGGUAGGAAAUUGUAUGAACAAAUUAAUAUGCAAAGGUGUGAGAUUUACUGGGAGUAUUGAAAUACUAGUGUAACCAGAGGGAAGGUUUCAGUGGUAGGAUGUUGAAAAUAUAUAUUGAGGCCAGAUCAUGAUGAGCCCUAGAUAGCAGGUUAAGAAAUUUGACCUUUAUCCAGGCACUGUGGCACACGCCUGUAAUCCCAACUAUUUGGGAGGCUGAGGCAAACAGGAUUGCAAGUUUGAGAUCAGCCUCAGCAAUUUAGGGAAGCCCUAAGCAACUUAGCAAAACCCUGUCUCAAAGAAUAAAAAAAGGGCUGGGGAUGUGGUUCUGUAGUAAAGUUCCCCUGGGUUUAUUUCCUGGUACCAAACUCAACCAUUAAAUUUUUGAAGUAAGGCACUUAAAAAGUCAGUUUGCACAUGAUUUACAGUCAUGGUGACCCAAGGUUUUUCCUGGGAAAUUGAGAAAAGAAAACUGGUGGAAGGGUGGAAGACAGUUUGAAGGAGAGAGACUUAAGUCAGUGAAAGGCGUUCAGAGGUAGUUAGAACAUUAAGAUGUGAAAUGUUGACAGGGAAUGAUAUUGAAAGGAAUGGAUGGAUAUGACAAAUAUUGAAGUGUUGUUUCCCAUUUUUAUUUUCUCAGCAAAAAAGAGAAGUCACAUUUCUAAUUUUUUAGAAUAUUUUUUUAGUUGUAGUGGUUUUUUUAGUGUAGUAUUUAUAUGUGGUGCCGAGUCUCGAACCCAGUGCCUCCCAUGUGCAAAGCAAGUGCUCUACCACUGAGCUACAGCCUCAGCCCCACAUUUUUAUUUUUUUUAAAUGUCACUUCAGUCACUGUUAAUAGUUUCCUCUUCCCUCACUGCUAAAAAGGAGAAGUGACUUGAAUUUUUUAUAAAUUCUUUUAGCUUAAUGUUUUUAGUUGAUAAUAAUGAAGAUUUCUGUGAGUAUAGAUUACUUUUUUUUUUACAGUACUAUAGAUUGAACUGAGGGACUUGCACAUGCUAAGCAAGUGAUCUACCGCUGAGCUACAUUCCCAGUCCUUUCAAUUUUUUAAUUUUGAGACAGUGUCUCAUUAAGUUGCUGAGUCUGGCCUCAAGCUAGCCAUUCUCUUGCCUUAGCCUCCUGAGGAUUGCAGGCAUGCACCACAAUGUGCAGCCAUUAUAGAUUGCUUUUGUACAAAUUCUUUGUGAAAUGAGAUUUCACAAAGUAUUGUUGGGUGUGCUUACUAAAAUUAGAAGACUCAAAUCUUAUAGCCAAAUACCAUGAGGAAGAUAAGCACAUGCUUUAUUUCCAUUGCCUUAUUCCCUAAAGCCUGAUUGAGGUGUUGGAAAAAGGACCCGGACUUUAUAUAUCACAGAAAGCAAAUUGCAGUUGACUAUAUAUACUAAGUUGGGCUUUACUAAGAAAUCUUCUAAUUCACAUUUCUGAAGAUCUGGUCAUGUGGCAGGUUAGCAGCAGUUUACAAUGAGUCCCUUUCUUUCAGAGUUCAAAGUCCAAGAUGGUUUUUUUUAAAGCCAAAUAAAAUACAAGUCUAAUCACUGCUUGUCCAUUUUGGUCUGUAUAAGAAUGUUAAUCUGUGAUCUUUGUAAGUACUUUAUUAAAGCAAAUUAAAUUGAGGUCCAGGAAUUACUAACAUGUAUUUUUGCUUAGCUUGACAUAGACAAAAUAUCUACAGAAUUUUGUUAUAAAUGCCUCUCAUUUUCCUAGUAAUGAACAGUUAUUGGAGGAUAAUUGGAUUGAUAUACCUAAUUGGUAGAAUGGUUGAUGGUGUUUCUCUAAUGUGCCUUAACGGCUCUUAUAAUGAUGAUCUCCUUUCAAGUUAUCAUCUUGUCAAGGUUAUUUUACUAAUUUGUUUUGAUUAGAUUUUCUUUAGUUGAAACCAGGAAUCAAAAAUAUAUAACCUUAACGUGUAUUAACUGAAAAACAGCAUGCAUUAUUCAACAUUCAUAGGGCAAAUGACUGCUUAAUGCCAGGCACUAUUAUAGGUACUGGGGAAAUAGUAGUGAACAAAACAAAUCAGGUCCCUGUUUUUAUGGGACAGAGACAAAAAACAAGCAGGUAAAAAAAAUGUCAUUUCAGGUGGUGAUAAGUCAUUUUAAGAUGAUCAUUGAAGGCAUUUCUGAUAAAAUUACACUUGAAUCACCAACUUUGUGGCAAGGAAUGACCCAGUUGGCCAGAGUGUAAUUGAGGGGGGAAAUAGGAGAGGGAUAUCAGAAGUAUAGGGAUUGCUGGGCAUGAUGGCACAUGCCUGUAAUCCCAGCAUGUCUGGAGGCUGAUGCAGGAGGAUCACAAGUUCAUAGCUAGCCUCAGCAACUUGAUGAUGCACUAAGCAACUUAGCAAGACCAUGUUUCAAAGUAAAAAAUAAAAUAGGCUGGGGAUAUGGCUCAGUGGUAAAGAAACCCUGAGUUUAAUCCUUUAUGCAAAAAAGAAAAAGUAUAGAAGAUAUCUAAAGGGUCAUGUCAUUUUAGGCUCUCAUUAGCAGUGGUGGAGUUUGGAUUUUACCUAGUACCUAAGAUUCCAUGAUUUUUUUUUUCUCUACAAGAGUUUGUAUAAGAUUAGUAAUAUUCCCCAAAUGCUGGGUAGGAUUUCAGUGAAACAACUUCUCAGAUUAAGGUUAUUGAAGUCCUUUGGAAAUUUCACUUCCUCAUUAAAUCCAUAAUAAUAAUCUCUGAGGCAGUUUUAUCAUGGAGUCUAUCAUGAUCAUAUCCUGGUAUUUAUGUAAGUACCACCUUAAUACUUAUGUAAAUCCUUAUAGGCAACCUUUAUGAGCCUUGAGUGACUUAUCUGUCAAAAAUGAUUAUAGUGACAUUCUAACAUGCUAUGGGAUGUACACCCAAGAAUUAUGCAAUGUUUCUCAGUAUUCAAUAGUAGCAUUCAAAUUGCUGUACUUCUGCUGGGUGCAUUGGUAUACUCUUGUAAUCCCAGUGGCUCAGGAGGCUGAAGCAAGAGGAUUGUGAGUUCAAAGCCAGCCUCAGCAACUUUGUGAGGAACUAAGCAACUCAGUGAGACCUUGUCUUUAAAUAAAAUACAAAAUAGGGCUGGGUAUGUGGCUCAGUGGUUGCGUGCCCUGGAUUCAAUCCCUAGUACCCCCCCCCCCUAAAAAAAAAAAAAAACCGCUAUACUUCUGUAGUUAUAAAAAUAACAAGAUGGAAAAGAAUAUUAUGUUAAAAUUUGCAACUAUAUAAUUGUCUUAUUUUGCCCUGAUUUUUUUUCUAGCAGAAAUGAAGAUACAUUUGUACCUUCUCUAACCUCCCAAAUAUAUAUAUAUAUGUACGUAUGUGUAUAUAAAUGUAUACGUAGAUAUAUAUGUAUUUUUGGUGGGUUUAAUAUUUUUCAUCUGUUACUAUUCUGGGGGCUUCAUUUAACUUCUGGUCAAGUCUUGAUUCCUUUUAUAAAGCAUGUAGACUUUUUUUAAAAGAAAUGUUCUCUGAAUGUGUUUUUCUGUAUUAUAUGCUUUUGUAUUAAUGUCUAUUUAUGGAGCCAUAUUUUGGGAACAAUAAUUCUGAUUCAACCCUUUGCUUAAAUCUUUAAUCAUUUUCAGGUACAAAGGUACUUACACAUUCUUAUUUUAUUAUUAUUAAUCUUCAGUUACAGUUUUUUAAUGUUAAAGAGUUGGGCAGGAUUUCACAUUUAAAUGUAAAUAUUCUAUUAUGUUAGAUAAAUAGAAAAUUGCCUAUUAUCAGCCUUCUUAUUCAAUUCACAUAGGCAUGAAAUCUGUAGGCAUCUAUCAGUAUAUAGACAUCUAAACCAUUUGUGGAUCUUAGAUUUAUUAAUGCUGUAUUUUCUCAUUUGAACCCUUUUUAAGCAGAUUUUUUUUAAAAAAGAAGUCAUCAUUUGGUCUCUAUUUCUUUUCUUUUUAAAACAGGAAACAGAGAACACUGCAUACAAAGUUGGAAAUGAGUCCCCUGUACAAGAAUUGAAACAAGAUGUGUCUAAAAAGGUUGGAAAGAUAUGUCAAUAUUAUUAUAUAGCAGACAUUAUAUUUACAUGGUAUAUUUAAAACAGAAAAUUUCCUACUUUUUUAGUGUAGUACACUAUUCAGAAAUUAUAUCUUGGAUCCAUUGAAUUUGUAAUUGAAGGCACACAGGACUUUUUGUAGGUCAUUUUUACAUUCUAACUAAUUGAUAAUUAUCCUUAAAACAGUAUUUUAUAGAACAUUUUUAUUUUUUCUUCUUAUACUUUAUUAGAAUAAUCUGUAGCUCCUCUUGAAAUUGCCACUGGGCAUUACAGAUAUUGAAAAACUCAGUGCAUCAAAUUCUGAUGUCUUUAGGAAUCAGUUCUUAUUCUGAUAAUAUCUUUGAUACUGUUUAAAGAAUCAGUGCUGUGAGGCUCCAGAAGCUGGUUUCUUAGAAGAGACAGAGCACAAGAUAAAUAUUUUUAGAAUGGACAGUUUUAAAUAUCAGGAUAAAACUCACAGAAAGACUGGAUGUGUGUGUUUACUCAUUUCUACAAGUUCUGAGUUUUUUCCCGUCUCCUAGGCACUGUUAUAGCAAGUGAGUUUUUGAAAGCCAACAAAAUGACACAUUUACUGUUUCUUUAGUUGUAGCUGUAUUAACUUUGGGGGCUGGAUAAUUCAUUGUGUUAGAGGGAAGGGGAAACUGUUGUAUAUAUUGUAGGAUUAUUCUACCUACUGGGAUGCCAGUAGCAUCCACACCCCUACCACCUAGUCAUGACAACCCAAAAUGUCUCCAAGAAUCACCAAAUAUGUGGGGAAAUGCAUAUGGUAAAAUCACCCCUAGUGUGGAUUGUUUUCCCCUUACAGAAUUUACAGAUUUAGUGGACACAUAGUUUAAUGUUGGUCAUACUUUUUCCUUUAAAAGAAAAAAUAAUCCCUUUUGGAAGAAGAUAAUCCAGCCACCUUACAAGUCCUGUGUUAAAAUAAUUAACAAUUAAACGAUGGUGUGCAUACAGGGCUUCUUUCUUUUGGAAGAAGUAGUAGUAUUGUGUACCAGCAUACAAAAUAGGGAUGUAGGGGCUGGGUUGUAGCUCAGUGGUAGCAUGCUUGCCUAGCAUGUGUGAAGUACCGUGUUCAAUUCUCAGCACAGUAUAUAAAUAAAUAAAAUAAAUGUCCAACAACUAAUAUUAAAAAAAAAACAGGGAUGUAACGAUUUUUUAAAGAAUUUUUCAUAGUUCUACACUGUAACAUAUCAGUUGUCAGGAUUCCCUUCUGGUUCUCAUGACUUGCAUAUUUUUAUAUACUUGAUUGUAGUGUAGAUAGAAUUUUAUAUUCUGUUUUACUCUUAUCAUUUUUUUAUUUUUCUCAUAUUUCUACCCCAUUUCAAUACUGAGUCUUUGCUUGAUGUAUCAGUUUCCAUCAAACAAAUUUAUUACAAUGUAUCCAGCCACUUUUGAAAUGAUUGUUGAAAUUGAAAUGUUUAUAUUUUUUGCUAUAGCUUUUCUUUUUUCCCUUUUUGAGAGUAUUUUCUUAGUUACCCAUUUGUAAUUUAUCCUAUCUAUAGUUAGUAGCCAAGAAAAAGGUGACUUUAUUGAGAAUUUAGGAGCUGAAAAAGUAGUGAGGGACUGGGGAUAUAGCUCAGUUGGUAGAGUGCUUGCCUCAUAUGCCCAAGGCCCAGGGUUCAAUCCCCAGCACCACCAAAAAAAAAAAAAAAAAAGUAUUGAGAAAACACCAUGAGACAGUAGAAUGAAGCUUAAGACUUGAGGUGUCACUUUUUAAGUUCUACACUUUUUAAUGAUAUGUAGAACAUUUAUGAUAAAGAUUAUGGGCUAUACCGUGGACCAAGACCCUGAGAAUAGCUUCCAGUUUUGUAGGGGAUAUUUGAUAAACAUAAAGCUAAAUGUAAUAAGCAUUCAAAUAAAUUUGCAAGCUAGUAUAAGAACUCAAAGAAGACUUUACUUCCUACUUGCUGAUAGGAAUGGAGAAGACUUCAUGGAGAAAGUAGUAUCUAAACUGGUUCUUAAUGAAUGGAUAAGAUUUAGGAAGGCAGAGAUGAGAGAGGAAAGACAUUACCAAAGGCAUGGAGAUGGGGAAUGUGAAGAAUGUUUGACUAUUAGUCUAGUUAGGGCCAGAUUAUGGUAAUGCCUUUUAUCAUACUAAGUAUCUGGGGUUUAUUUUAUAACCACUAGGAAAUCAGUGAGCUUUUUAUAGCAAAACACUGCUUUAUGUUGCUCUUGUUGCUUUGUGUUGGUCAUGGUUUUUCACUGUUCUCUCCUUUCCCUUUUCAUUACCUCCUACAAUCUAGGGUGAGGCAAUAUAUAUAUAUAUAUAUAUAGAGAGAGAGAGAGAGAGAGAGAGAGAGAGAGCCUGAAAACAUGGGCCUUACUCUCCAGUAACAAAUUAUGUAGUAUGGAGAAAAUGAAUAUGCAGAAUGCCCAUAUGCUCCCUGUAUUUGUAUUAUUGUUCAUACUGUAAUGACCAGCAAGAACAAUUAAAGUUUAGAAGAGAGGGAGAGAGAGAUUGUUCUCAGGGGGUUAGGGAAAACAUGAUUUUCAAGCUCCUUUUGACCCCUCUCUUAUGUCAAGUGCCUUUACGUUAUGUACAAUGAUUAUUUAUAAACCCAUAUACUCAUCUUGUACUCACUAUGCCCACUUGCAUGCCCCUCAGCAAAUAAUCUUGUUUCAUGUUACAUGUAGACAUGAGAGGCUAAGAAGCCUGAAUCCAUUUCUUCUAUCAUCUCUCUCUUCCCUCCCCAGCAAACUUGUUUUAAUCUCUUACCUCUUCUUUUUUUUUUUUUUCUCUUUGUUUGCGGGGCAGUGGGGGCAGUGCUGGGGAUUGAACCCAGGGCUUUGUGCAUGCGAGGCUAACACUCUACCAACUGAGCUAUAUCCCCAGCCAUCUUACCUCUUCUUAAUGUCGUUCAUCACUGAUCAUUUAGGUAUUUUUUAUUUGUUUUGUUUUCUAACACAGGGGAUUGAACCCAGGGCACUUAACCACUGAACCACAUCCCCAGCCCUUUUUAUUUUUUUAUUUCAAGACAGGGUCUUGCUGAGCCUGAUUUUGAACUUGUGAUCCUCCUUCCUCAGACUCCUAAGCCGCUGGGAUUACAGGCAUGCACCACCGCUCUAAGCCCAUUUAGUAUUUUUUUUUCCCCAUCCAGAGUAGUGUGGUAUAUUUUAAAGAACACUUGCUUUUUAAGAAAGACCUGGAUUUCAAUUUUUGUCUUUGUAGCUAGCUAGCUAUGGGACAUUGUACAAAAUUCUUCAUGCCUUUACCUCAGAUGCCUUCCUUUGUAGAGGGAAGAUAAUCCAGCCACCUUACAAGACCUGUGUUAAAAUAAUUAACAAUUAAAUGAUGGUGUGCAUACCGGGUAUAGUACACAGUAGGGCUUCUUUCUUCUCCAGAACUUUGUUCAGUUAUCUUAAUUUCAAGGCUCCUUCCCUUCAGUUUAUAAAAGUGCUAGGUCACUUUCUGGCAGUCUGUUCCAAUUAUAGCCAAGCCUUUUUCUUUUCCUUCCCUCCCUCCCUCCCUUCCUCCUCCUCCUCCUCCUCCUCCUCCUCCUCCUCCUUCUCCUUCUCCUUCUCCUCCUUUUUUUUUUUGUGUGUGUGCACGCACAUGCACACAUGUAGUGCUGGGGAUCAAAACCCAGGGCCUCAUGCAUCAAGCGUUUUGAGAAAAGAAACCAUACCAGCUGUCUAUGUCUUUACUUCUUGUUCAACCUGAGACCUGUUGUAGUCUGAGUUUUGUUAUCACUAAGGUCCUUACCGCCUAAUUGACAAAUGAGGUAGACCCUAGUUAAUAUUCCUCUGGCAAAAGUAGUGAGGGAAUUUCUAGAAUUAAAAAAUUGAAGAUUGAGGGAAAAAACUGAUAUAAGGAAUGUGUUGAUAUUAAAGAUGAAUAUUAUCAAGUAGUAGUAAUAUCCAAUUCAUUUAGCAUGACUGGUUAUGUUCAACCAGAUGAGGAUGGUUCUGUGACAUACUCCAUUUACUUGCUGGAUUCAAAGAAUUGAGAAAUCAAAAGUUAUUCAUGAUUGGGUGUGGUAGAAAAAUAGUGGGUUGGGAGAUUUAAUGUGUUAGUAAUCAUAAGACUGGGUAGAAAAUAUAUUUCUACUAAAUGUUGGUAGAAGACAAACUUUCUAUAUUUUUCAGCUACAGAUAAGAAUGUGGCAGGGUGAGGCAAGAUGGGAUGGGUGUUUGAAUUCUUUUCAUAGACCUGCCAUCAGUUUGAAUAGUGGAAUAUUGGGUAUAGUUUGUUUAAGAACUUUAAUCUCCUUGCAUCUGCUGGCUUUUCUAACAUAGGCUCAAGUUUAGACCUAAAUAAGUUGAAUUCUUGUCCUGGGUGGGUUUUUAUUUUCAUGGUUUUGUUAAAAAAAAAAAACUCAAACCCAGCAGGCAGUUAUUGCAACUAAUUUGACACAACUCUAUAAAUAAACUAUGACCUUAUGAGUCUUAAUAUAAGUUUAGGCUUGAUUUUAUUUUACAGGUUUGAUUGAACUUUUGUUACUAUAUGCUAACACAGAUUCUCUGUUAUAACGUUAAAGAGUGUAGAUUCUAGAACCCAAAUACCUGGGUUUACACCAGCUUCAUCACUUAUUAGCUCUGACCUUGGGCAAAUCACUUGAUCCCCAUAUGCCUUAGUUCCCUCAUUUGUACAUUGAUCACAAUAGGAACAUAAUCUCAUAAGGUUGUUGUAAAGAUUGAAAUUUAUAAAGUGAUAAGAACAUUGCCUGAUACGAACUAAGUACUAUAUAAAUUAUUAGCUAUUAAUAUGUUUUUAUAAAUAGCUUCAUAUUUAAAAAAAUGCUUUUUAACCUUUCAUUAGAUAAUUGAAAGUAUUAUUGAGGAAAGUCAGAAAGUACAUCUUGAAGAUGACUCUUUGGAUUCCAAUGGAAAAGGACUCUCUGAUCAGGCUACUGCCAGUCCUGUUGUAUCUGGAACAGAUCUUAGUAAUGUACCUGGACUGUUAGGCAUAGAUCAAGUACUACAGGAAGAUUCCACAAAGGCAGAGAGUCAGAGUGCAUUUGAGGAAACUGAAUUAGAAUCAAAACAAUGUUUUCCAUCUGAUGAUACCUGUGAGAAGUCAGUAGACGAAACCAUAAAAUUAAAUGAAAUAAGUUCAACUGAGCAACAGAAUGUGCCUGAAAUGGAAAUAGAAGUAUUGAACAAGGAAGCAAUGGAAGUAAAACAAAGUGAUGUUGUAGAUCCUGCAUCCUCAAACUCUUCAUCUACUAAAGAUUUUGCUGCUGUGGAAGAAGUGGCUCCCGCCAAACCCCCAAGGCACCUUACUCCAGAACCUGAUAUAGUAGCUAGUACAAAGAAGCCUGUUCCAGCACGCCCACCCCCUCCAACUAAUUUCCCACCUCCUAGACCCCCACCUCCAUCUCGACCUGCUCCACCACCAAGAAAAAAGAAAAGUGAAUUGGAAUUUGAGGCUCUAAAAACACCGGAUCUAGAUGGCAAGUAUUAAUUGAAAAGUAACUGUUUUAAUGGGGAGAAUUGGGAGUUGAAACUGUUUUGUUUAACUUUCUGCUUUUGCUUCAGUUCAUGAUUUUUAAAACCAGUAAAACCACACUAAUGACCACAUUAUAAAAAUUAUUUAUUUAUUACUAGAUAAAAAAUUUUCAUUGGUGAUGUUACUAUUAUUGAACAUUUCAUCUAACCUCAAACUUUCACAUCUAUUACCAGCUGAGAAAUAAUGUGUCAUGGUGAAGUGAACAUGGGAUAUAGAAACUUAAGGUCUAAAUUUGAAUACUUCACUCCUUACUGUAUGAACUGAAUAAUCUUGAGGAAGUUAAAUAACUUGGUUGAACCAUGGUUUCUUCAUAUAAAAAAUGAGAGUAAUAAAACAACUUUCCUCAUAAGCUUGUUUUAGGAACCAAAUAAGUGCCGGGCGCAGUGGCACAUGCCUGUAAUCCCAGUGGCUUGGGAGGUUGAGGCAGGAGGAUCGAAAGUUCAAAGCCAGCCUCAGCAACUUAGUGAGGCCCUAAGCAACUUAGUGAGACUGCGUCUCAAAAUAAAAAUUAAAAAGGUCUGGGGAUGUGGCUCAGUGGUUAAGCACCCCAGGGUUCAUUUCUCAGUACUAAAAAAAAAAAAAAAAAGAAUCAAAUAAAAGUUAAAGCACUUUUAAGAUAUGUUUAAGGGCCUAUAUAAAUGUUAGUUGUUAUUAUUUUUAUCGUUGCAGUACCCAAAGAGAAUAUUACGUCUGAUUCUCUCCUAACUACAACAAUGACUUCAGAAAGUACAGUCAGGGAUUCUCAGCCUUCUCUUGAUUUGGCAAGUGCUACCAGUGGAGAUAAAAUAGUUACUGCCCAGGUUGGUGAAUUAGUGUUAUAUUUGAUAUAGGCAUUAUCAGACUUUCUGCAAUUGGAUAAUUUGUUAAUUGUUAAACCCUCUUUCUCCUCCAAGCCAAAUAAUUUCUUGUCCCCCAAACCUAGCCCCCUUAUUUCCCUUAUGUAGCUCUGUUACUAACUAGCUGGGUGAGCCUAGUAAGUUAUUUGGCAUCUGAGUCUCAGAUGCCCCAUUGAUAAAAUAGAAAAAAAAAGUAAAUGAAGUAUGGCAGGUAGUAGGUAUUCAAAACAUGACAGAUGCUUAUUAUUGAUUAAAACUAUACUCUUCAUUUACCUAAAUAAUAUUGAUCAAAAUCAGUGGACUUUUAUAAUUUCCUAAUCAUAAAAAUCUUUUGUACUGGGCAAUGGGCUAUACAAAAGACUAAAUAACAUGAAUUUUGCCACAGCCAAAUUCUGAGACUCAAGGUUACCUGUGUUUUAGUGGAGGCGGGGCAGGGUAGCAGACUGAGAGGUCUAACACUGUAGUCUUGUUAAAACCUUAAAGCAGAGGUCAGCAGCAGAUUGUUUUGUAGGCUAAACAUGAUCAUUACAGUUUUUUUUUUCUUUUAAGCCAAAAAUGGUCUUUACAUUUUUAAAGAGUUGUUAGAGAAACUGUAUGUGAACGAAAAGUCUUAAAAUAUUUACUAUCUUAUCUUGACAGAAAAAAGUUUUCUAACUCCUGCCUUGAAGUUAUCCACAUAUAGCCUGAUUAGUAGCAAUUUUAGUAGAGAGCUGCUUUUGGGUCAGAUUCAAAUAGAACAUUUACUCAUUUUAAGACAAGUAAAUUAACAAAUAAAUAUAUUUUUAUAUCAUGGGCAGCAAUAGUUUUGGUAUCUAAUGUUUUUCAUCAUUCAGGGAACAAUAAAGGACUGAAAUGGAGUAUACCAUUUAAAGUUUCAGUAGACUCCAAUGACUGGAUUAUAGAAUUCUUUAGAACUAUGUAUAAUAAUGAAUAAUUGAAUUUAUAGAUACUGACUCAGUCUACUUUCUGUUUAUAAAAUUAUAAUUUCAGGAAAAUGGAAAAGCACCUGAUGGGCAGACAAUAGCAGGUGAAGUGAUGGGCCCUCAGAGACCUAGAUCCAACUCUGGGAGAGAGCUUACUGAUGAGGUAGAAUUCGGUUGUCUUUUUUUCCCCAUUAAGAAUAUAAAAUAUAAAAAUCAUAACAAGAAAAUAAGAACAUUCUGUAAAUGGAUGAUCCUGAUAGUUGCCCACCAGUAUGAAUGUACUUCAUGUUAUUAUAGGUCACCACAGUUAGACUUUUUUUAUUGACAUUUAACAUUUGUACAUAUUUAUGAGAUACAGUAUGAUUUAAUACAUGUUUAUAAUGUGUACAUGUACCAGAGUGGUUAGCAUUUUCAUCCUUUCAGACAUUUAUCAUUUCUGCAUUGAAAACCUUUGGACUCUUCUAGUUAUUUUAAAAUAUAGAAUAAAUGACUGGGGCUGGGGUUGUGGCUCAACGUUAGAGUGUUCACCUAGCAUAUGCGAGGCACUGGGUUCAAUCCACAGUACAAGUAAAAAAUAAAUAAAUAAAAUGAAGGGAUAUGUCCAACUACAACUAAAAUACAUUUUAAAAAAAGAAUAAAUGACUGUUAGUCCAUAAAGUUAUAUUGAAAAACAAUGAAAAUUGAAGAUUAUCUUAAUUUUUUUUGGUGUGCUGUAUCUUGCAUUCCCUGACUGAAACUUGAUCUUUUAAGCAGUUAAAUAGUAGAAUAAACAUGUUCAAAGUAGGAUCUAUAUUUUAUAAAAAGCAAGUUUAUAGAUACAUGUUUUUAUACAAACAUAAAGUGGUUUUUAUCAUUUGAAUGGUUUUUACCAUUAAAACUUUGUAUACAUCUAUUGCCCAAUUUAUUCAACAGUCUUGAAGCAAAAUAUUUUUUAGAACAACACAUUUUUUUUAAAUUAUGAUACUUUGGAAAAUAGUUUAGCAGUUCCUUAAAAUGUUAAACAUGAUGUUGCCAUGACCCAGUAAUUCCAUUCCUAUGCAUAUACCUAAGCAAAAGUAAAAUAUGUCCACACAAAAAUAUACACAGAUGUACAUAGCAGCAUUGUUCAUAAUUGAAAAAAAAAAAUAGAAAGAACCCAAAUGUACAUCACUAAUGAGUGGAUAAUGAAAUACAUUAUAUCCAUACAAUGGUGUGUUUUUUAAUAAUUAAAAGGAAUGAAAUGCUGAUACAUGCUACAUUGGUGGACCUUGUAAACAGCCUGCUAAAUAAAAGAAUCCAGCCACAAAAGGCUACAUAUCAUAUAAUUGGAUUUAUAUGAAAUGUCUGGAAUGGGUAAAUCCACGAGACAAAAUCUAGAUCAGUAAUUUCCAAGGGCAGGAAAGAAAGGGAAAUGAGGUAUGACUGCUAAUGACUUCUUUUGGGGUGAUGAAAAUAUUCUAGCUUAGUGGCAAUGGUAGCACAACUCUGUGAACAUUGUUUUUUUUUUCUUUUUUGUGCUGGGGAUUGAACACAGGAGCACUCUUAUCACUGAACUGCAUCCUUAGCCUUUUCAUUUUUUAUUUUGAGACAAGGUCUCACCAAGUUGCCUUGGGCAGCCUCAAACUUUUUAGUCCUCCUGCCUUAGCCUCCUGUGUAGCUGGGAUUACAGGCAUGUGCCACCACAUCCAACUAACUCUGUGAAUAUUCUAUAAGCCAUUGAAUUAUAUGCUUUAAAGGAGUGUAUUUUGUGGUAUGUGAAUUAUAUAUUAAUAAAAAUGUUUUAAAAUUAUUGUGCAUAGUAUUGAAUGUAUCCAGAAAGUUCUUAAAUUUUUGAGGACUUUAUAGAUUCAAAAAGAUAAUUAAAUUGUAGGUCAUCUUGGUGUUAUUUUAACCUCAGGAAAUUUUAGCCAGUGUAAUGAUUAAGAACCUAGAUACUGGAGAAGAAAUACCUUUAAGUCUUGCUGAAGAGAAGCUGCCAACAGGUAUUAAUCCUCUCACUCUACACAUCAUGAGAAGGACAAAAGAAUAUGUAAGGUAUGACCUAAUGUUGUUAUUUAUCAUUUAUAAUAUUCAGAGUAGUGAAGAAUUCUUGAACCAUGACAGGCCUUAAUUUGGUUUCAUUCAGUGUUCUUUAUUUAAAUAUAUUAUUAUAUAUAUUCCUUAACUUUGUUCUUUUUUUAUGACUAUAUAGUUACUUGGAGAAAAUAGUGUAAAUCUUAAAUUGCAUAGUUUUUAGUUUCUCUUAAGAUAACUUAUACUAGAGACAAUACAAAAACAUUGAGGCUUAAAGGCUAUAUGGGAUAAAUACUUGGUCUUCUGAAACCUUGCUUUAAGGAUGAUAAAUUUUAUAAUAUUUUAUUGUUUUGGUAGGGCUGGGAAAUAUCUUUAGAGUGAGGCGAUUGACUUUACUAUAUAAUAUAUGUAGAUCUUAGGAACAAUUUCUAGAAAAGCAAGAACUUUUUAUUAAAUAUAAUAUAUGAUGUACCUGUAGAGUUGGAAGGAAUAUAUCCACAAGUUAUUUUUAACACUUCUGUGCAGUGCCCAGUUAAAAAAAACUUAUUUAUAAUAAGUUUCUUAGAAGUUACUAAAUGGCAUUCAGUUUUUAUUCUGAUAGCUGAUUAUAUAGUAAGUAUAAAGAGAUUUUUGAGAAAUGAAAGAGAAGUGGUUUCUUUUACAAUGACUUCUCCUUCUUGUAGUAAUGAUGCAGCACAGUCAGAUGAUGAAGAAAAGUUACAAUCUCAGCCAACAGAUACUGAUGGUGGAAGGUUAAAACAGAAAACGUGAGUUAAAAGUAUAACCCUUUUCUUUAUUUCAAGCAUUUAUUAGAAAAAAAAUAUGAGAACUGCUAUAUUCUUUUAAAUCUACAUUUUAUCCAGCUUAGUAUGUCCACCUACCACCACUACUCCCUGCUCCCAGCUAAUUGAUUAUGAUGAGUUCCUUAAGGUUGUAGUGGUCAGUUUUAAAGUACCUGACGUAGAUAAAAUGACCAAUAAGUUUUGUAUCAUCCCUGUAUUAUUUUUCUGGUGGUAAGUACCAGAAGUAUUAGAAGAAAAACAUGAUUGUCCUUGAAUUUGUCUUUCCCCAUUCUCUUAAUCUCUUUAAAUCCUAUUAAUCUUUCUAAAUCCAACUUUGUGAGAUUUUUCCUUGCUGCUCCAGUUCAUAGUAAAUAUCUUUUUUCUCAAUUUCAGUAAUACCUAGAAUUCAUAUAACUUACUUUUCCCUUUUAUCAUAUAUUAUCUUAAACUCUUUUCUGAUUUAAAAAGCAAAACAAGUACAUGUUAAACAACUAAGCCAUAUAUUGCAAAAAGAUUGUGUUCAUACCAUCGUGUUGAGAUGUCUCGCACAGUAGUGGGCAUAUGGAUUGUGCUUGACUACACAGGUCCUUUAAUUGGCAAUAAUUUGAUUUAAAGUCCAAAGUUAAUUCUCUACCUAAGUCUAAUUUUUUUCUAGUGUAUAACAAAGAAAACAUUAAGAAUUUUUUAAAAAGAUGUACUUAAAAGGUAGAUAUAUAGUGUCACCUCAGAUAUCUGAUACUUGGCUGUCUAGCAAUGGCAGCUAUCAGGAACCUAAGAAUUAGGAAUUUUCAGGAGACAGAUAAACAUCCAAGAAAAUAUUGUGUAGUCCAUGCACUAAAGCUUGUUUUUCUGAGAGAAAAGCUCCUCAGGUUUAUUCAAAGCAAUUAUACUAUGUUUCAUAAAUCAUUUUUUAAAAUCUGUUCAUUUAGUGUUCAAUGAGCUCACAGCAAAACAGAAGCAAUAAAACUGUGACAACAUGUAAGUUGACACAUAAGAAUAUCAGGUAAUCUGAUUGUAAGGCCAUGAUAAGAAAAUUUAUAAAAGAACUCAUACAUAGCACAACUGUCCUUAGAGCAGUACUUUUCAACAUUUCCUCAUGCCACGACACACAUAAAUUUAUUAAUAUUUGCACUAAAUACUGGUUAAAACUGAUGAGGCAGCUGAUGGCCAGAAGAGAUUGGCCCAGAGUUCUGGCUUCCCUUGACCAUGUUCAUUGGCUUUGAAGUCCAAAGGGAAACCAAUAGUAUGGCCAGACUGCAACCUGUUGGAAAGGCUCUAUGUGUAUUAAAGAACAGUAAAAAUGGUAACAGUGGGACUACACAUCAAGGAAGGAGCCAGGAGAGGUGGCACACACCUGUAAUCCCAGUGGCUUGGAGGCUGAAGCAGGAGGAUCAUGAGUUCAAAGACAGUCUCAACAACUUAGUGAGACCCUGAUUCAAAAUAAAAUAUUUUGGGGAUGUAACUCAGUGUUUAAGUGCCCCUGGGUUCAAUUCCAGGUACCAAGAAAAAGAGAGAAAGAGAGAGAAAGAAAACUUAAUUGAACAUUACAUGCCAUUUUAAGAAUGCAUGAAAUUUUAUGUUUUAGAAAUAUUCUUAUCUGAAAUGGUUAAAAUGUUUUCUUGUCUUUUAAAGUAGUAAACCUAUUGUCGUCCAGAGAAUAUAACUUUAGGGUUAGAGGUAGUGGAGACUUUAUAUUGGUUUUAGAAGUGGUUUGUCUUCUGUUUUGUCUGGUUAUCAAAAGUAAUAAUAGAAAUGCAUAAAAUAGAAAAUGAAAGUUUCUUAUAAUCUCACCCCCAGAAAUAAUCAAUGCAAUAGUUUAGUGUAUUCUCCACAGAAUUUUUUUUCUCACAAUGUUGCUAUUUAUAUUGUGCUUAAUAGUUAACUUGUUUUUUUUUAAAUCUAAUACAUUAUAAAUAUCUCUUUAUAUCGGUACCAGUAAUAAACAUAUGCAGUCUUUCUAUGAGCCAGGCCUAGGAGUUAAGUGCUGGGUAUACAUCAGUUAAGACAGUCUCCAUUCUCAUAAAAUUUCAAGUUAAAUGGAAGAGACAGAUGUAAACAUGAAAUUACACAGAUAAAUCCAACUAGGUAUGUACUAAUGGUUAGAAAACUGAGGCUGGGGGGAAUGCCAUGGGAGUAUGUAAUAGGAAAACUGGUCCUAAAGUCAAGGAAGGUCUUUUUGAGAGAGAAUUAUUUGAUCUGAGGCCUAAAAGGUGAAUAGGAAUUAUCCAGGAGAAGACUCUUCUAGGUUGAAACAACCACAAGUACAGAGGUUUUGAAGUGACUGGGAGCUUGGAACAUUUAAUGAACUGAGGUUUGGGCACUGGGCAAGGGGGUACAUGCCUGUAAUCACAGCAGCUCAGGAGGCUUAGGCAGGAGGAUCACAAGUCCAAAGCCAGCCUCAGCAACUUGCUGAGACCAUGUCUCAAAAUUUAAAAAAAUAAAAAUUAAAUGGUUUGGGGAUGUGGCUCAAUGAGUCAUUAAGCACCCCUGGGUUCAAUCCCUGGUACCAAAAAAAGAAGAAAGAACUAAGGUUUGCCUCAUUCAUUUAUUAUAUUCCAUACCAGCACUUAUAUUCAUUCCCCUGUUGAUUAAAAUGUAUUUCUGUAUCUUACUUAUUCUAAAAACCGUGACAGUAAACAUCUUUUUUUUAAACCAGUAACAUAUAGGCAUUUAUUAUCAUUAUUAAGUCUUAUGUACUAUACAUAAUUGUAUAUUCUGUACUUCAUUUCCCACAUUUUUAUUGGUGCAGUUAUAAUUGUAUAUAAUGGUUGAAUUUGUAGUUGCAUAAUUGUACAUGUACAUAAUAUAACAAUAUAGUUUGACCAAUAUCAUUCCCCAGUAUUCCCCUCCUCCCUACUGCCUCCCCUGCUCCCUUUCCUCUAUUCUACUCAUCUUCCUUUGUUUUUCAUAAGAUUGAACAUCGUGUGUGUGUGUGUGUGUGUAUGUGUAUUUGUGCAUGAGUUAUCAACUCUUUUUAUUUUUUUUAAAUUUAAUACAUUAUAGUGGUAUAUAAUAAUAGGGUUCAUUUUGACAUAUUCGUAAAUGCAUGUUACAUAGUUUUUUCUAUUUUAAUCUCUAGUACUACUCCUCCCACCCCCACUCCCUUAUCCCCUUCCUAUACUCUCUUGGACUUCCUUCUAUUUACUUUUUUUUGGUUCCAGGGAUUGAAUGCAAGGGCACUCAAACACUGAGCCACAUACCCAGUCCUAUUUAUUUAUUGAUUGAUUGACUGAUUUUGAGACAGGUUCUCACUAAGUUGCUUAGGGCCUCUCUAAACUGCUGAGGCUAACUUUGAAUUUGUGAUCCUCCUCCUGACCUCCUGGGAUUACAGGUGUGCACCACCACAACUGGCUUACUCAUUUAUUUUUAAUUGAUACAUUAUAGUUAUAUAUAAACUUGGGAUGCAUUGUGGUAUAUGCAUAUGAAUAUAGCAUAAGUUGGUCAAUUUCAUUUCCCAGUUCUUCCCCUUUCCCUUCCCUCCUUCCUUCCCCUGGUUCUGCCCUUUCUAAUGUACUGAUCUCCCUUCUGUUUGUUGUUGUUGUUUGCUUGUUUGUUUGUUUGGGGUACCAGGGAUUGAACUCAGGGUCACUCGACCACUGAGCCACAUCCCCAGCCCUAUUUUGUAUUUUAUUUAGAGACAGAGUCUCACUGAGUUGCUUAGCACCUCACCAUUGCUAAGACUGGCUCUGAACUUCCAAUCCCCCUGUUUUAGCCUCCUGAGCCUCUGGGAUUACAGGCGUGCACCACCAUGCUCAACUUUUUGUUCAUUUUGUUUUUUUGUUUUGUUUGUUUGUGGUGCUGGCUAUUAAAACCCAGGGCCUUGUGCAUGAAAGGCAAGCACUCUACCAACUGAGAUAUAUCCCCAGCCCUUCCUUCUGAUUUUGUAAGGCACCUUUUUUCCCCUUUUUUCUCUUUAGUUUCCUCAAAAAUUUAGCUAUUUUUAAAAAUAGUAUCAUUAAUAUCAUACAUUUCCAUGGAUUAGUAAAAAUUACCCUUGAUUUGUAAAUUAUUUUGCUUUAAAUAUUAUGUAGUGUGAUUUGCUUCUUAAUACAUGAAAUUUGAAACUUAGACUAUGGAAAAAGAAAUAGUUAUAUCCUCUUUGAAGAAGCUUAAAAUAAAUACUUGUGUUAACAUUGUGUUUUAGAGUACCUACCAGGAAAGUUUAGUCUAAUUUUAUAUGCACAUACCUAGACUGAAAGAGAAUGAGCAAAGGACCACCUUAGGCUACUAAAGCAUUCUAUUUUAUAAGUAAAUACCUCUUUACCCUUUCUUUUUAUUGGUAAAAUAUGUUUAAAAGGACUACUUUCUAAGCAGUCUUCUCAAAGUGAUUCUCUCUACAUCUUCAUGGCUUCACCCCAGACUCCAGAUCACAUUAUCUGUGUGUGGGGCAUGAGUACCUGGAUUUUAAAUAUUCCCUUCCCCACCCAACACCUGCUAAUCAAUUAUUCACCAUAGAAAGCUGAUACCCUUGAAUAUAUGAUACUAUAAAUUAGGCAAAACUGCCUAUAUUUCCUUGGUAGUAUAUUGACUAGAAUAUGUUUAUUCCAAGGAACAUGAAAACUCAAACACCUACUAUUUAUGUGAAAAAUUCAUUUCAAAGUAAUGUAUCAGUCACAGUUAAUGUGUUUAUCUGUGAAUUGUUAACCUUUAACAAUUAGUUGAGUUAAUAAAUAUAUUUUAUAUUUUUGUUAAGGACUCAACUAAAGAAGUUCCUUGGAAAAUCAGUAAAGAGAGCAAAGCAUCUUGCUGAGGAAUAUGGUGAACGUGCUAUAAAUAAAGUUAAAAGUGUAAGAGAUGAAGGUAAAUAAUACAAGAUAUUUCAAUUGAGUGUUCAUUAAAUUGGUAAUCAUCUCAUCUUAGCCUAUAGUUUAUAAGGAACACUAUUUUAUUGAAUGUAUUAAACCUUUAUUGCUAAUAUCUUAGUUGUGUUUCAGUAAAUUAUGAGUUACUAUAUCACUUAAUUUUUUAUAAGUGCAAAGGUAAAUGCAUUUAUAUAAUUAUUAUGUCUACAUUUGGUGAUUAUGACAACCUGGAAAGGUUGAUUAUUCAGUAAUCAGUUGUAACUUAAUUUUGUAAGGUUAUUUAGUUUUUAUAAAUAUUUUCAAAAUUUAUUACAUUUUCUAAAUUUGCACAGAUCUUAACUUCUGUGCCUUUGCCAUUAUUACUUCAUUUUUAAUUUAAUAAACACUUAUAUUGUAAUUAUUCUGUGCCAGUUUCUAAGCACUUUCAUUUGUGUUCAUCCAUUUAAUACCAUAAAAAACCCUAUGAGAUAAAUACCAUCAUUAUUCCCAUUUCAUAGUUGAAAGAAGUGAGAGGCAUAGAAAGUUCACAUAGACAAUAAAACAGAAUUGGAUUUGAACCCAGAUAACCUGGAACUAAGAUUUCAUGUUCUUCACCAAUGUUAUGUAGGAAUAGCUAAAUUUUUUUCUCUAUUUAAUGAAUUUUCUUGAUAAGCAGUAGAUAUGAAAGUAGCUAUAUGUAUAUUAGCUAGUAAUGGCUUCUGUUGCUUUUCUCUUCAGUGUUUCAUACUGAUCAAGAUGAUCCUUCAUCAAGUGAUGAUGAAGGGAUGCCAUAUACAAGACCAGUUAAAUUCAAAGCGGCACAUGGUUUCAAAGGACCUUAUGAUUUUGAUCAGAUCAAAGUGGUACAAGAUCUUAGUGGAGAACAUAUGGUAACCAACCUUUUCAUUUUUCAGGAUUGAUACUGUUUUUGUUAAGAGAAAUACUUUGGCUUUAUAAAAUUGAUCUCUAGUUAUUAAUAUGCAUGCACACACAUAUGUACUUUUGCUAGCCUGACUCAAGAAAAGUACAUUUAUAUUAGUGUAAUUUAAUGAAUAAGUGAUACAGAGUCUAUCUCUUAAUUACAGGUUGAGAGGUAUUGAAUAUGUAAACUCUAAGCUUCUAUCCUUAAUAAAACUAUGCCAAGGUAUCAAACUUUAAAGCAGUUAAAUUAGAGUAUGAUCUGUCUCUAUGAAAAAUUUAAGAUAUUUCCCAAUAUAUUUUAAAUAAUUUUAAUAAAUAUUUCAGAAGCCCAAUAUAUAUUUUAAAAUGAGACACUCAGUUAAAACAAGGAAGAAAGUAGAAGUUUAUAUUCCAUCAGAAUUCAAGUAUAUCAACAAAGAUCAAAGUACACCAAUAGCAUUACAGUUAUCUUUGAAAAUCUAGGAACACAAAGAACACAGCGAUAGAGCUCAGAGAUGGAUAAGUGAUGCUGUGUUCUUGAUCAGGGAAUCUAUUUAGAAUUUAAAUCUAAAAGUUGGCUUAACUAGAAGGAAGCAACCAUAAACAACAGAUGGCAGCCAGAUUGGAACUUAAAUUUAGGUGCUUAUAAUCUGCACAUAAAAUGUUGGAGUUGAUUAAAGUACCUAACCUGAUGAAUUUUCUUGUACUAUUUUGACUUCCUUGUUAUUUGCCAUUUUAAAUAAAAUCCCAUUGUAGUAGACUCCAAAUGACAAGUGUUUAUUGCUCUUGAACUUCAUAGAAAUGAAUGUUAUUGCAGUAAAUGAGCUUUUGCUUCUAACUUGGGUAGUCUUUUUGAUACAUCUAGAUGGGCAUUAUAGAAUUGUUGUCAUAGUAUUUGCCUCUUCCAAUUUAAGGAUUCAUAUUCUUUAGCCCACCCCACCCCCAUAUGUUACAGAACCUUGUUUCUAGGGAAAAAAAUCAGGAUGAGACCACACUAUUCCAAUAUUUCUUCUUAAGUACCCAAUGCCAUGAGAUUCGUGGCCAAGUGAGCUUUAUUUUUCCUCAGCCCUGGUUAGGGAGGCUGUUUGGAAGAGAGAGCUCUCUCUUCCCACUUCAUGUUCAGCUAGGCGACAAAGAUCCCAAACUAGGGCUUGUACUUUCUAAGAUAUCUGGCUACCUCAGAAUGCUUAUUUUCAUUAAUAUGUGGAUAGAGUUUGGGGUACUGAACUUGUAAAUUAUGGGAAACUACAACUAUCUUAUCCCACCUUUUCUCUGAAGGUCUCCCUUUGUGGUAUUAUAGCACCAUUGGACUUUUGACUGUGAAGGUCAUUAUUAAUGUGAGCAUUAUCUUUCAUAAAAAAAUAUUUUUACUUGGGGCUGGGGUUGUGGCUCAGCGGUAGAGUGCUCACCUAGCACAUGUGAGACACUGGGUUCGAUCCUCAGCAUCACAUAAAAAGUAAAUUAAUUAAAUAAAGGUAUUGUGUCCAAUUUUAGUUGUAGAUGAACACAAUACCUUUUUAUUUGUUUGUUUGUUUAUGUGGUGUUGAGGAUUGCACCCAAUGCUUCACACGUGCUAGGCAAGCUCUCUACCACAGCCCCAGCCCAUGAACAUUAUCUAAGAUAUGUAUAAUUUGGCAUCAUUUUAAACUUUGACUUAAAGUUGCAUCUCUAAACUUUCAAAAUAACAACCUGAAACUUCUUUUGUUUUCACAGGGAGCUGUUUGGACCAUGAAAUUUUCUCACUGUGGCCGGUUACUUGCCUCAGCUGGACAAGACAAUGUAGUGAGAAUAUGGGCUUUAAAAAAUGCUUUUGAUUAUUUCAACAAUAUGCGAAUGAAAUACAAUACUGAAGGUAUCUUUCAUUUAUUUAAAAAUCUACAGAAAUCUGGAAUUUUUACAUUUUAGGUACAGUACAGAUUAAGCAUAUUGAGCAUCCCUAAUCCCAAACUCCAAAAUCCAGAAUGCUCUCUACACUUGUUGAACACUGGCAUCAUGCUCAACAAAUUUUUAAUUUUAGAGCAUUUCAGGUUUCAGAUUUUUAGAUUGGGGAUGCUAAACUGAUAAAGUAUAUGCAGAUAUUCCACAAUCUGAAGAACUCCAGAAUCUGAUAAGGGAUAUGCAGUCUACAAUGCCCUCCUUAUCUGUCUGUCAUUUGGUUACUUAAAAAUAAGACAGAAGUCAGCAGCUAAAAGCCUCUAAAGCCAAAUGAAAAGAACUAUCACAAAGCUUUUGAUUUAUUCCUUGUCAAGCAUCAACCAUUGAGAACAAAGCUAUUUGAUUCCCCAUGGCAACCUUCAAAUUUAUCCUAGGUUUAAGGAAGAAAAGAUCUCAUUAAACUGUAAAAAGAAUGAAAGUAGUAUGUACACCUUAAAGAAUGUAAAGAAUGAUUAAGGAAAUAGCCAUGAAAAUUAGGCCCAAAUUGUCAAUAUAUCAAGGAGUAUAUGAAAAAAUGUGAAGUGGAAAAGAAAACCCUCAGAAUAUUAGGUAUACAAACACCUAUGUUUAUAUAUAGAUAGAUAGCUACUCACCUAUGUAAAAAUGUUUGUCUUGCGGUAAGUUAUCAGGAAAUGUAAAAUUGAUGUAAAUAGGGGCUUUUCAUUUAUAGGAUUCUUUUCUUAUUAUUUAGCAGCAUAAUACAUUUUCUCCAUAAACCUCUCCCUCUCAGUCACCUAAGGCUGAAAACAAGAAGUUAAGAAUAGGAAAAGGAGAAUAGAGGUAGCCAUUGAUGAGAAUAUAGAGUACAUUCAAAGCAUCAAUUUAAGGAAUAUAGAAAUCUAGAGAGAUUUUUUAAACUGGCAAGCUAGGACUCAUGUUUUUUAGAAAACUCUUGUGAAUUUAUUUGCAUUAUAUUGUAAUAUAUAUAAUUGAAGGUAAUGAUGAGUUUAGCAAGAAAUUAAACUGUUUUUACAAUAUAGUGAGGUUUUUUAGUAUUAGUUGUUUAUCAUUUCUUUAAUUGCCCUUCCUAAAGCAAAAAGACUAUUUCAGUGGCCCUUGAGACAGAGACAUAGCUACAGUCUUGACCCUUCCUUGCCCCUUUCUUGUUCCUCCUGCUAUUUGUUAUAAUUAAUAAGAAUGUAUUCACUAUGAAUACUUGGAACUUGCAAGUUCCAAGGCAGCCUAUACUUUCUGAAAAUAGAAAGGACUGAAGAUGUAGCUCAGUAGUAAAGUGCCCCCGGGUUCAAUUCCCUGUACCAUAAAGAAAAAAAAAUAUAUAUAUAUAUAUAUAUAUAUUAUUUAUUUUAUAUAUAUAUAUAUUUGCUUUUGGUGCUUAUAUAUAUAGUAGGGUAAUACUUGUAUAAAAAGUAUAUUUUUCCUAUGAUUUAUUAGGCAUUACUGUGUUAUUAUUUAUGAUUAUUUUUUGUUUGGGUGGAUAUGUGUACAUAUAUGCCUUUUUACAAUUAUUAUGCUGUUUUUAGGACGUGUGUCCCCGUCACCUUCUCAGGAAAGUCUAAAUUCAUCAAAAUCUGAUACAGAUACAGGGGUAUGUUCAUUGUUUUAUGGUUACUAUUAUGAAAUCUAUGAUUUGUUUGCAAUAAAGUACCUUUUGUUAAUCAGAAAUUACAGUUGUUUGAAGACACUUAAAGUAUUAUAUAGAAUUUAUAGCAAGAUUUUCUCAUUCUUGAGAAUAUUCUAAAAAAUCUGUUGUUUAUAUAAAUAUAUUCAUACCCUAUCCAUUAGUAAGUAUCCUUAAUUCUUAGUUGAGAAAUUUUAUAUUUUCAUAUCCUCUGUCUCUCUCUUUUUUUUUCAAUUUUAAACCAGCUUUAUUUUAUUGUUUUUCUACACUUUUAAUUGGUACAUUAUAGUUAUACAUAAUGACAGAAUUUGUGGUUACAUAUUCAUAUAUGCAUAUAAUAUAACAAUAUAAUUUGGUAAAUAUCACUCCCUAGCACUUCCCCCUUUUCCUCCCUAUCUCCCACCCCCUGUUUCCUUUCCUCUACUGAUCUCCCUUUGAUUUUCAUGAGAUCUACCCCCACCUUUCUUUUUCCAUCUUCCUCUCUAUAUUCCACAUAUAAGAGAAAACAUUUGACCCUUGACGUUCUGAAUUUGGCUUAUUUUGCUUAACAUAAUGGUGUCUAGUUCCAUCCAUUUUCCUCCAAGUGACAUAAGUUCAUUUUUCUUUAUAAAGUUCAUUUGUGUAUAUAUGCCAUAUUUUUUUAUCCAUUCAUCUGUUCGUGGACACCUAGACUCAUUCCAUAGAUUGUCUAUUGUGAAUUGUGCUGCUAUAAACGAGUAUGCAUAUAUCACUAUAGUAUGAUGAUUUUAAUUCUUCAGGAUAAAUACCAAGAUAUGGUAUAGGUGAAUUGUAUUGUAGUUGCCUAGUCUUUUCAGGAACCUCCAUCCAGAUUUCCUUAGUGGUUGGACUACUUAUGUAGGCACUCAUACCUAUAAACUUCCUUCUUAGAACUGCCUUCCUAAUGUCCGAAAGGUUAUGGUAUGUUAUAUCACUAUUCUCAUUUGAGUCUAAGAAUUUUUAAAUUUCUCCCUUGAUUUCUCCUAUCACCCAUUCGUCUUUCAGAAUUGUAUCUUUUAAUCUCCAUGUGUUUACAUAGUUUCUUUAGUGUUUUGUUUGUUGAUUUUGAAUUUCAUUCCAUAAGAUGCAAGGGAUUAUAUCAAAAAUGUUUUUUUUAUUUGCUAAGAGUUGCUCUGUGGCCUAAAAUAUGGUCUGUUUUGGAGAAGAUUCCAUGAGCCACUGGGAAGAAAAUGUAUUCAGCUGUUGUUGAAUGAAAUAUUCUAUAGACGUCUGUUAAGAUCAUUUGGUUUAUAAUAAUUUUCAGGUCAAAAUAGUCUUUACUGAGUCUGGAUGACUUAUCUAAUGGUGAGAGAGGUGUGUUGAAAUCACCUAGUAAUGUUUUACUGGUGUCUGAGGUUUCAAUUUGAGUGGUGUCUCCUUUAUAUGAAUUGGUUAUACUAAUGGUUAGGCAUAAAUAUUUAUUAUUAUUAUAUCUUCUUGUUGGAUUAUUCUCUUUACCAGUAUGAGGUGAACUUCUUUGUCUCUUCUGACAAAGAAGUUCAAAUUUUGGUUUCAAAUACAAGACUUACUCCUGCUUAUUUUCAGGCUCCAUUCACAUAGUAUAUCAAUCUCUGUCCUUUCAUUUUCAGCCUGUGGCUAUAUUUGCCUGUAAGGUGCAUCUUUUGCAAACAACAUGUAGUUGGGUCUUGCUUUUUAAUCCAUUCUGCCAGCCUAUGUCUUUACAUUAAGUAAGUUCUGUAAUGAUGGUUUAGUAGUCGUAAAUUCUUUUAGUUUCUACUUAUUUUGGAAGGUUUUUAUUUCCUUUUCAAUUUUGAAGGAUAGCUUUACUGGAUAUAGCAAUCUUGGCUGACAGUUUGUUGUUUUUUUUUUCCUUCUUUCCGGAACAUGGAACACAUCAUUAUAAGUUCUUCUGGCUUUUAGAGUUUGCACAGGGAAAUUGGAAAUUAUUCUGAUUGGCUUGCCAUUAAAAGUGACCUGACAUUUUUCUCUUGAGGCCUUUAAAAUUCUAUCCUUGUUCUGUAUUCGAGGCAUUUUAAUUAUAAUGUUUUUGUGGAGAGGUUCUUUUUAUCUUGUCUGGAUAUCCAUUUCAUUCUCAAGGUUUAGAAAAUUUUCUGUUGUUUUCCCUAAAAAGGUUAUCCAUUCCAUUAGCCUGUAUCCCACAACUCUCCUCAGUUCCAAUGAUUCUUAAAUUUGGUUUGUUUAUGUUGUCCCAGAGUUCUUGUAUAUUCUGAUCAUUGUUACUUAUUUUAUUUUCUUUAAUGCUGAGUGUUCAAGGCUGGUGAUUUUGUCUUCCAUGUCUGAGAUCCUGUCUUCAGCAUGGCCUACUCUAUUAGAGAUACUUUCAACUGAAUAUUUUAUUUGAUUUAUUGUGACUUUCAUUUACAAUAUUUGUUUUGUUUUUUAAUGUCUCUAUCUUCAUAUUGAAUUUCUCAUUCAUAUCCUGUAUUGACUUCCUUAAUUCAUUCAGUUGUCUUACUAUGUUCUCUGGGAAUUCUUUGAUCAUCUUUAUAAUCAUUCUUUCAAAUUCUUUAUCUGAUAUUUCAUCCACUUCAGUAUCUUUGGGGUCAGUUGCUGUUGAAUAAUGAAAUUUACGUGUCGUGUUACCUUUUUUUUCCAUAUUUCUUGUAUUCCUAUGUUGGAUUUUAUGCAUCUCUUAGAAAGGAUUUCUCUUCCACUCUUAUGUGGUUCUUUUUAGGGUACAGUCUUCACUUGCCAAGGGUGUCCUAGAGUGAUCUAGGUUGAGACCUCCUCAUAGGUCUGGUAUACUUUGUGUUAAUUCUGUUUUUUGUUUUGUUUUGUUUGUUUUGUUGCUAUAACAGUUUAUGUCCAUGAGUGGGACCUGAGGGCCCACCUCUUGCCAUUUCUACUUGGGGCCUGGUUGUUAGUCUGGGUUUUUGUCUCUUCUAUUCUUUGUAUCAAAGUACAGCUGAAGUUUGGGUGUUGUUAAUUUGUUUGUGGAACAAGUUGCACUCUCUUGUGGUUGAAUUUAGUUCAGCAAUAGUCUCUACUCCGUGAACUUGUAGUAUCCCCAUAGGUCCCCAGAACCUCACAGAGUAGGAAGAAACAAACAAUAGUAAAAAAAACAAUGCAAGCAAUUCACAGCAUUAAAAUAAAUACCUGGGGCUAGGGUUGUGACUCAGUGGUAGAGCCUUUGCCUAGCAUGUGUGAGGCACUGGGUUCAAUUCUUAGCACCGCAUAUAAAUAAAUAAAAAUAAAGGUCCAUUGACAACUAAAAAAUAAAUUAAAAAAAUAAAGGCCGGUCACAGUGGCACACGCCUGUAAUCCCAGCGGCUUGGGAGGUGGAGGCAGGAGGAUCGCAAGUUCAAAGCCAGCUUCAGCAAAUUAGCGAGGUACUAAGUAACUCAGUGAGACCCAGUCUCUAAUAAAAUAGGGCUGGGGAUGUGACUCAAUUGUCAAGUGCCCCUGAGUUCAAUCCCGAGUACCCCCCAAAAAUAAAAAUAAAAUAAAUACCUGGUUCCUACUAUGACAUCUAUAAGGUUAAUUACCACAAAACACAUAAAUGAUGGGGUCAGCAGUUACCAACAGCAAAAAAGAAAAUAAGUAACCAUAAACUAGAUCUUGCAGUAAAACAAACAGUAGGCGUCAACUAUGUCAUCCAUAGCAGUAGUAAGUAAUUAAUGGGUAAAGGAGUUAUAUAAACCAAUUAGUUCUAUAAUAUCAUCAAAAUUACAGUUAAUUAAUGGAAAAGGUUAUAAGAAGGGAGAAAGAUGUUUAUGACUUUAAAAAGUGAACAAAGAAUGGAAAAGAGAUGUAUCACAUGAUGAUUAUAAGAAAGGAGAAGAAAAAAUCUGAAAAACAAAGAAGAGAGAGAAUGAGAGAAUUUGGCUAUUCUGAAGAAAAGAGAGAGAUAUGUAUAUAUGUAUGGAAGGAUAUAUAUAUAUAUAUAUAUAUAUACACACACACACACACACACACACACAUAUACAUAUCUUCAUGAACCAAUUAACACAGCAAGAAUUUAAAAAUAAAGAAAAGAAAAAUAUUCUUAAUGAAAAAUGAAGGAAUCAUCUCUACUGAUGUGGUCAAGGUAAUCAACAAAAAUGGAUGGUCACUCUCUAGCCCAACUGUCUUUUCUUUCCAUUUCUUCUUAGGCUAUGUACUAAGAGAGAGAAAGGAAGGGCUGGGGAUAGUGAACCCCUUCUUUUUGUGUUGUUCUUCAAGCUGCCAGUUGGAGUGUCCUAAGACUGAAGCUGGUUGAAAUAAGUCUCAGCUUCCCUUCUCACCAAUAUAAGGUAGUAUGGAAUAGGAAGUACUAUCAGUUGGAGUUUUGUCUGCACAGACCAGUUGGAUGCAAUCUCAGGAUGGGAUUACUGCAGAGUUCUACAAGUCGAGUUCCUUUGGCUGGGGCUUAGGUCUAAUCAGGGCUUAUGGGCUUUGUUGGGUGGUACCUGCUUUGUAGAAAUUAGAUCAACACACCCCUAGGGCCUGGUGGUUGCCAGUCUCUGUUGGGAGUCUGGAUAUCAGGAGCCUCCUAAGAAUUCUACUUAUGAUGCAGUGGAGUCAAUCCUCCACACACUCUGCUGCCCAUAGCAUUCACACUUGCUUGUUCAGAUUCCUGACUUGCUUCAGCUGGUCAUGUGAGCUACCAGACUCAAAGGAAAAGCAAAUUGGGCUCCCCUUCGCUUUUCUGACUUGAAUCCGCCUUUUUUCUCUGUGUGAUGUUUCCUUCCCGUUCUGCUAUGUACACCUUAAGUCACACGGCAUGCAUUUGCUGAGACAACAUGGCAGUGUUUGCUAUGAUCUCCUGGCUCCACAUCAGUAGCUGCAUUGUGGCUGCCUCAAGAUGGCUCAGCCUCAGCUCUCUAUGGCCAGUUGGGAAAUUGGGAAACAUAGGGCAGUUUUCAAACACUAGUUCACAGUGCAACCUCUGGAUUAUCUAAGUUCAGUCUGCUUUUCUGAUCUUAGGUUUUUUUCAUACCAAAUCUGUCCAUUGUGUUUCUCUCUGUAUUAUCCCUCUCCCCUGGUGAACCAGCUCUCUUAAUGGCUUGGCUCUAAUGUACUCUUUCUUCUUUGUUUAAUAUGUCCAAAUUUCUGAGUCUCUAAGACACUCUGACUGUCCAGUAUUGAAUUUUAGUGAACUUGUGCUUUCACCCACCUUGCUGAGAAGUUGCUUAAAUCUCUAGCCACAGAGCAAGUAGGAAUACAGCCUUCUUCUAAUCCACCAUCUCGAAUCCUCCUCUUUCUCUUUCUUGCUAUCCAUGAGAAGACAGAAAAUAAAAGGAGUAGAAUCCAAAAAAAAAGAAAACAACAGUUUCUUCCAUUAGAGUUGACAAAUAAAAAAUUUUGAUAUUUAAAGAUUGCCAGAUAGUGAAUAAUAUUACUUAAGGUACCAAACUACUAAUGUAAACUUAAAUUUUUUAAAAAUAUUUAUUUUUUAGUUGUAGUUGGACACAAACCUUUAUUUUAUUUGUUUUUAUGUGGUGCUGAGGAUCGAACCCAGGGACUCACACGUGCUAGGCAAGAGCCUACCACUGAGCCACAACACCAGCCCAUGUAAACUUAAAUUUAAAAAAAAAAAUCUCCCUCCCUCAGAUUCAUGUUAGAUACUUUUAAAAUAAUAAUAAUGAAUGCCAUUUUAUGAUUUAUCCUCCAGAAUAAGGUCUGUCUUAAUAGUGCCUCAUCUUACCUUUGAACUCACUUCUAAUCCCCCAGUGCCUGUGCAGUCUACUUACCAUGCUGGAUAUAAAUCUGUAUCCUAAACACUUUUUCAUGUUUGUUUCACCUGGAUUUUAUUCUCUGUCUCCUUUCUUAACAGUGCAAACCUGUAUUCAUCCUUCAAGAUUCAGCUCAAAUAUGUUACUUUCUCUUAGUAUUUUACCUAAUCCAGCAUGCAAAAUUGUUCCUUAUCUGUGUUCUGAUAGUACAAAUAUACUUUUAUAUUGAUAUCGCUUAUACAUCUUCCUUAUCUCCCUGGCUAGGCUGGUGGCUAAUUUGAGCCACAGAGCUUUACUUCACAGAUUUUAAUAUCCUUGGAAUCUGAUUCCAUGGUCACUGUAAUAGGACUGCCAUCAGUGUUGAAUUUCUGCCUGUAUGCCUUUAUUCCCAUUGUUGCCCCUAUCUGGGUGCCUUCAAUCUCCAUUCUUUCAAUUCAAACCUUGCCUAAUUUUUGUGGCCUAUUUCCUCCAUAAAGCCUUCACUGACUAAUACAGUGGUAGAAAUUCUAACUGCUUUGCUUCAGAGAAAGUAGUUUACCCUUAAAAGUUUAGUUUACCUUUAAGUUUCCAAGCACUGAUAAUUAUUAAAAAUAGGGGCUAUGUGUACCACCUUGUAUUAUGCUCAUUUUAACAAUCCUACCUAGAGAUUCUUAACUACUUCCUUCUACUCCUGCCCCCGACAAACCAGAGUAACUAAAAUCUUUAUUGAAUACAAGGCCUUUUAAAAUGAGGACUGUCAUGUAUUUUGACAUAAAAAUUAGUGGUCCUUCCUGGAAUACUGUGAUUUUUUUUCUGGAAUAGUUGAGUAACCUUUAUCUGCUGUUUCAAGGAAAAGAUCAUUUUUGCAUUCUGUUUGGGGAGAGUUUAAAAAAGGCCUCUAUUUCAUAUGCCAUUAGAGUUUGGUAUUUGUAAUUAUCUUUUGACUUAGCUUCAGGUGCAGUGAAGCAUAGUGAGCGCAGUGGAGUUUAUUUUCCUGAUGUGAGAUUUUUUUUCCCAUGUGAUAUCUUUUUUGAAAUAUAAACUCACUCUUUCAUUUUCUCAUCAUUCAUAUAAAAUAGAAUAUAUAUAAAUAUACCUUUUAUACAGUUGAGCAGACGGUGAUAUAUUCAAGAUCACUCAACCAUUUACUUUAGUACCAAACCUAGAAUUCUGGCUAUUAUUCCAUUUAUCUUGAUUUUGUAAAGUAGCUCAAUAAAUGUAAGAAAGGAAGAGGUGCAUGCUUAGUUCUCUGUAUUAUGCUAUGGGUGUAGCUUAGACUUUUGACCUCAUGGUUUCUAAGAAUCCAUAAUUAAGCCAGAUUACAAAUAUGAAUAUUUUGUAUAAAAUUUUAUUCCUAACACUACAAGUUUUAAGUAUGAUUUUUACCUAGAAAUUAAUUAUUUGCUUGGGUAAAUAUAUAUUUAGUGUGUUUACAAUAAAAUAUCUAUAUGACUAUUAAUAGCAUUUAACUGCCAUUUAAAAUUUGAGGGAAUAGAUUGUAGGAAUCUGGAACUUGAGUGAAGGAAGUUAUCUGUAAGAGAAUGAGAGAUAAUUUCUGUGAAAUGUAGGUUUGCAACAUUUUAUAAAACAAUGCCUUGGAGACACACACAGUAGCACAUGCCUGUAAUCCCAGCGUCUUGAGAGGUAGAGGCAGGAGGAUCAUGAGUUCAAACCCAGCCUCAGCAACUUAGCAAGGCCCUAAGCAACUCAGUGAGUCCCUGUCUCUAAAUAAAAUAUAAAAAAGGGCUGGGUAUGUGGCUCAGUGGUUAAGUGCCCCUGGGUUCAAUCACUGGUACCAAAAAAAAAAAAAAAAAACAAUGCCUUGGUACUAUUAUAAUUCUCAUUUUACAGCCAGGCACCGUGGCACACACCUGUAAUCCCAGUAACUCAGGAGGCUGAGGCAAGAGGCCUUGACAACUUAGCAAGACCUGUCUCAAAAUUAAAAAAAUAAAAUAAAAAGGCUAAUACUCAGUAGAAGACUAUAUCCCCAAUACCAUUAAUUAAGAACUCUAUUUUACAGAUAAAAAAAAAAACUCUUAAAAGAGCUAAGGGUAAUAGGAAAGACAGUAGAAUGAAUUGGACAUAAUUUUCCUAGGUUCAUAUAUGAAUACACGACCAGUGUAACUCCAUCCACAUCAUGUACAACCACAAGAAUGGGAAAGUUAUACUCCAUGGAUAUAUAAUACAUCAAAACACACUCUAAUGUCGUGUAUAUAUAAAAUAAUAUUUUGUUUUAAAAAAGCUAGGGGUGCAGCUCAGUGGUAAAGCUCUUGCCUAACAUUUGCAGAGGUCUGGGUUUAUUCUCCACUACCACAUACAGGAAAAAAUAAAAAGAGGAGGAGGCUUGGAAAUACUGAGUAACUCACUAAUUUCAUCAAUCCAAAAAUAUUAAUUGAGUACCUACUAUGUAUUAGCCACUGUUCUAGGAAUCAGAGAUAUCUAACUGAACAAAGGAAGCAAAUCUAUCGGUUGUUAUAAAGCCUACAUUCUUUUGAAAGAAGAUAAAAUAAAUUUUGUAACAUUACAAGACAAUUUUUAAAACCACUUUAUCCAUGUAUGAUUGACACUCAAAAAAUCAAUAUACAUUUAAUAACACAAUUUGAUGAGUUCAGAGAUAAGUGUACAACAACCAUGAAAUGUAUGCCGUAAACUUACACAUUGACUCCAAAAGUUUACCCCUACCCUCUCGUUUACUGUUUUUUUAAAUUAUAAAAGCACUUAAAACUACUAAAGGUCUACAUUCAGUAUUUUUUGUUUUUAUUAGUGCAUUAUAGUUAUACAUAAUAGCAGGGUUCAUCUGGAAAUCAUCAUAUAUGCAUGGAGUAUAAUUUGCUCCAUUUCAGUUCCCAGUACUUCCUCUUUCCCUCCCCUCCUCCUUCCCUCUGUUCCUCUUCCUCUACUGGUCUUCCUUCUGUUUGUCAUUUUUUAAAUUCAUAUAUGUACAUAGCAUAAUUUGGUCUAUUUUAUUCCACAGUUCUUCUUUUUCUGUCCCUCCUCCCUCCCUGUUUACCUCCUUUCUUUAUUGUGCUGAUCUCUCUUCUAUUUUCAUGGGAUUUCUGUUCCCCCCACCCCAACACACACACACACACACACACACACACACACACACACCUUUUUUUCCUUUAUUUUACUCUAGCUUCCACAUAUCAGAGAAAACAUUUGACCCUUGACUUUCUGUGUCUGACUUACUUCAUUUAGUACCUGUUCUCCAUUUCCAUCCUUUUAGCAGCAAAUGCCAUAUUUCAUUCUUACUUAUGGAUGAGUAAAACUCUAUUGUGUAUAAAUGCCACAUUUUCUUUAUCUACUCAUCAGUUGUUAGGCACCUGGGCUGUUUCCAUAACUUGGUUAUACUGAAUUGAUGUUAUAAAUAUUGAUGUUGUUAUAUCAUUAUACUAUGCUGAUUUUAGAUCUUUUGGAUAGGUCUGGGGAUGUGGCUCAAGCGGUAGCGCGCUCGCCUGGCAUCCGCUGGGCCCUGGGUUCCAUCCUCAGCACCACAUAAAAAUAAAAUAAAGAUCUUUUGGAUAUAUACUGAGUAUGUGAUAGCUGGGUCAUGUGUUGAUUCCUUUCCUAGUCUCUUGAGGAAUCUCUGAACUGCUUUCUAAAGUAUAAGUUUUACUAAUUUGUAGUCCCACCAUCAAUGUAUGAACAUUCAGUAAAUUUUUAAAUAUACAAUACAGUAUUAACCAUAGUCAUUAUGCUAUACAGUAGAUUUCUGGGACUUAUUCAGUUUGUAUAACUGAAACUUUGUACUUUUUUACUAAUAUGGUCCUGUUUCCUCCUCCCCCAGCCUUUGGCAACCACCAUUCUACUCUCUGCUUCUGUGUCAUGUAGUAUUUGUCCUUCUGUAUUGAACUUAUUUUACUUAGCAUAAAGAAAAUGGAAGCAUUUUCUUUUUUAAGACUGAAUAAUAAUCUAUCAUAUGUAUAUGCAACAGUUUUUAAUCUGUUCAUCCAUUGAUGGACAUUUUGGUUAUGUGUAUGAUCUGGCUAUUGUAAAUAAUACUGCAGUAAAUAUGAGAGUUCAGAUAUCUCUUUGAUAUCCUGGCUUUAAUUCCUUUGUAUUUAUAUCAGGAAGUGGGAUUACUACUUCAAUUGUUCGUUCUGUUUGUAAUUUUUUUAUGAACUUCCAUACUACUCUCCAUAGUAUCACCAAUUUACAUUCCCAAUAAUAGUAUAUAAGAGUUACCUUGUCUCCAUAUUCAUGCCAACACCUAUGUUUUUUAUAAUAGAAUUCUAACAGAUGUUGGGAGAAAUAUCAUUAUACAGUUGAUAACUGGUGAUGUUGAAUGCCUUUUCAUCUAUCUAUUGACUAUUUAUGUACCUUCUUUGGAAAAUGUUCAGUUCCUUUGCCCAUUUUUAAUUGUUUUCUUUUUCCUUUUUAUUUUGUGGUAUUGGGGAUUGUACCCAUGGGUGCUCUAUUGCUAAAUAACAGUACUGAAUUUGCACAUAUUUUUGUUUCUUUUUUAUAUUGAGACCAGUUCUCACUGAAUUGCACAGGCUGUCCUCCAACUUGCGAGCCUCUUGCCUCAGCCUCCUGAGUUGCUAGGAUUACCAGCAUGCACUACAUGCCCUGUUUUAAUUUGGUUAUUUGAUUUGGCUUUUUUUUUUUUUUUUGCUUUCAUUUGUAGGAGUUCCUUAUAUAUUUUGUAUAUUAACCUUUAUCAGAUAUUUGGUUUAUAAAUAUCCCCCCACUCCAUAGUUGUCUUUUCAUUUGAAUGGUUGUUAACAUUUUGUGCAGAAAACUCAUUAGUUUGAUGUGCAGUAGUCAUCCCUUAUCCAUGGGGAAUAUCAUCCAAGACCCCAGUCGGUGCCUUAAAUCCUGAAUAUUACAAGCAUUUUUGUAUGUACAAACCUAUGAUAAAGUUUAAUUUACAAAUUAUACACAGGCCAGGCACACUGACGCAUACUUAUAAUCCCAGCAACUCAGGAGGCAGAGACAGGAGGAUGGCAGGUUCAAGGCCAGCCUCAGCAACUUGGUGAGACCCUGUCUUAAAAUAAAAAAAACAAAAAGAGCAUCCUUAUUUUAAGGAUGCUCAGUGGUAAAGCAUCCCUGGAUUAAAUCCCCAGUACAAUCAAUCAAUAAGACACAGUAAGAUUAACAAAAAUAAUAAUAAUUAAAUAGAAUAGUUACAAUAAUAUGUUGUAAGAAAGUUUAUAUAAAUGUGGUAUUUCUCUCUUGAAAGAGUCAAAAUAAACAAAUAUUUUGAACCACAGUGGACUGCUGCUAAGUGAAACUGCUGAAAGCAAAACUAAGAAUAAGGGAAGACUCCUGUAGCUCUGCUAUUUUUACUUUUGUUCUGUGUGCUUUUGGUGUCAUAUCCAAGAGAUCAUUGCCAAGCUCAAUGUCAAGAAGCUCUUUCCUUGUUUUUUUUCUAGACCUUACAUUUAAGUGUUUAAUCCAUUUUCAGUUGAUUUUUGUGAAAGGCAUAAAGUAAGGGUCUAAGUUUUUUGCAUAUGGAUAUAAAAAGGUAAUAAGUUUUAUGGAGAAAAAAUAAAGCCACUAAAGUAGGGUGGCAAGGGGCAAAUAAGGUGGGCAAACAAAGCUUCACCCAGAGGUUGUCAUUUGACUAAAACCUGAAAGAGGUGAGGAAAUGAUCAUGUGGCUAUCUGAAAAACAAGACCAUUCCAGGUAAAGGAGGCAACAAGCAAGACUGCUAUAAAGCAGAAGUUCUGGUGUAUUCAAUAAACAGUAGCAUGAUUUGGGUAACUGGAGUCAGUGAGCAAGAGGGAGAGAAGCAACACAUUAAGUCACAGAGAUUAAAAAUGUGGUGGGGAUUAGAACAUGUAGGCCAUUCAAAGGGCUUGGCUUUUCCUCUAAGAAAGGUGAGAGCCAGUGGAGGGUUUUUUAAAAUUGAAUGACAUAAUCUGAUGUUUUACAAGGAUCAUGUUUUACAAAGAUCUGGCUUUUAUACUGAGAGUAGACCAUAAGAGUAAGAAAUGUCUUAUUCAUUUUGGUACCCCAAAUAAUCAAAACAGUAUGUGGUAUGUAGUAAGUCUAAUAAAUAUCAAAAGCUUUAUAAUUUUUCUGAACAGUCCAACUUUAGACCACUUAGCAACACUACCAUGUGGCAGAAUAGUCCAACUUUAAAAUGACUUAUUUAGAUAAUCAAGAGACAGGUUGAGCAUCCCUAAUCUGAAAAAUCUAAAACCUGAAAUAUUCUAAAAUCCAAAACAUUUUUAGCAUGAACAUUAUGCCACAAAUGGAAAAUUCCAUGUCAUUAAACUGUAUUUCAUGCACAAAAUUAUUAAAAAUAUUGAAGGGCUGGGGGUUGUAUCUUAGUGGUAGAGUACAUGUUAAGCAUGCACAAGGUCCUGGGUUCAAUAACCAGCACCACCAAAAAUGUUAUAUAUGGGGAGGGUGUGAAAAUUACCUUCAGACUAUAUAAUAAUAGGGUAUAUGUGAAACACAAAUUGAUUUUAUGUUCAGGUUUGUUUUCCAUCCCCAAGAUAAUCUCAUAUAUAUGCAAAUGUUCAAAACACUUCUGGUCCCAAGCAUUUCUGAUAAGGGAUAUUCAACCUAUGCUUAAAUAUGGAUUAGGUACUAGAUGAUAUAAAUGGUAUUUUUUAGGUGUGAUGAUGACACGGUAGUUAUAUUUAAAAGAGGGCAUAUCAAUUGGAGAUUUAUAUAUAUAUUUACUGAUAAAAUAAUAGUGUCUAGAUCUUGAUUUAAAUAUUCCACCAAAAAUGAAUAAAAAUAAAAGGAUUGAUGAUACAAGAUUGUUGAAAUGUUGAUAAUUGUUAAAGCAGGUGACAGAUGUAUGUGAUUGAUUAUAUUAUUAUUUGGGGCUUAUUCAUUCACUGGCAUAAUGAUUAUAAGCUUUUUUAUAUUCAUUCACAUUUUUUAUAUAUUGGAUAUGUCUAUAAUAAAGUUUUACAAAAAUUUUUAUGAUCUCAGUCUCUCCCUCCCUCCUUCAUUGUUGAAUAUUAUAUGUUUACACAUAUAUAGAAAACCUACAACAUUUCACUUUAUAUUUCUACCUCUAGUAAUUUAUCGUGAGGAAAUAAUUUGAUAUGGCCGAAGAUAUAAGUAAAAAUAUAUUCAUCUUGGUGUUCUCAUAAUAGCUAACAUUUGAAAAAGCUAAAUUUCUCACAAUUGAAAAAUAAACUAUAAUAUAAUCCAUACAGUAAAAUACUAUGCAGCCCCUAAAUGUUUUCAAAGUCUGUGUAAUGACAUUAAAAAUAUUCACAAUAAAAUAAAGUGGAAAAUUAUAUACAGUAUUACCCUGAUUUUGACUAAAAACGAUAAGAUGUAAGGAAAUAUACUGAAUUCUUAAUAGUAUUAUCUUUAGAUAAUAGGAUUUUAGGUCAUUUUUAUUUGGUCUGUUUCUUAAAAUUUCCUUAAUAAAUUUAUCUACUUGUAUUAAGACAGACAAACUUUUAUUUAAAGUCUCAACUUUAAACUUUUUGACCCAGUAUUACUUCUUGUAUAAGGAUAAAGAAAUAGUCAAAUUAGGAUAAACAUUCAUGUUCCAGGACAUUCAUGAAUUGCUGUUGGUAUUAGCAAAAGACUUGGAAAUGUCUAGGUGACCAGAAAAUGGUGAAUGAUUAAAUUAUGGUGCAUUCAUGUUGUAUGGCCUGUAAGUGUUUCCAAAGUGUGAAAUGAAGAAAAUUCUCGUGGCACAAAAAAAGAAAGAUCAAACUGUGUAUACAAUAUGAUUUCAGUUAUAGUUUUAAAAAAUGAAAGAUUGAAGAUGGUCAAUAUGUAAGAAGAUUUUGGGUGAUGUUGGUUUUAGCUUUUCUACUUUCUAGAUUUUGUAAAUUGUCUAUACUGAUCAUGUACUAUUUCAUAAUAAAAAAUCUUUUUAAAAUAUCUUGAAAAAAGGUAGAAUGCAGGGAAAAGAAAAUGGGUAUUUGAGGAGAAAGAAAGAAAGGCCUGGAAUCACUGCUAGGGAAAAUAUGCUAAGAAGUUAAUGAAAAGUAAAUGAUAGUUAAACAAGAAGUGGACUCUUUGUAAUAGGGCAAGACUAUUUAGUUUUAUGUCUUGACAGCAGUCACUAAUCUGGCAGCAAAAUUAGAGGUAAAGUUUUAGUUAUCUAGGAUUAGGAGAGCUUGGUAAAAGGUCCCAAAGUCCGUGUUACUGGUCUACUUCCAUAGUUGAUCUGAAAAUGUUUUUGAUACAUGGUAAAGUUCUCUAGGGGGCUGGGUGUAUAGCUCAGUGGUAGAGCACUUGCCUAGCAUGCAUGAAGCCCUGGUUUGAACCCCUGCAUCACAAACAAGCAAACAACUAGACAAAGAAUAGUCGUAAUUUUUGUCUAUCCCAUGGCUCCUGUCCUAGUUCAAACCUCAUUAUUCUUAAACUUUUUGAUUGUUCUUCUUGCUCCAAUGGUUCUCUCCAAACUGUCUUUGUCAUUAUCCAGAGUUCUCUUUCUAAAGCACCACUCAAAUCAUUUUAUUUAUUCCUUUUCAAAACCCUGUGUUGGCUCUCUGUUGUCUUAGAAUGUCCAAACUUUGAAGCCACAAAUUCAAGACCCUUUAUGAUGUGGUCUCAAAGUAGCUUUCUACCCUAAUUCCUUACUGUAUCUCAAUGAACUUUUUCUAUCCUCAUUCUGCCCACAAUUCUAUAAAUAUGCAAGGCUUAACUAGCACUCCAUGGUUUUGCUCGUGUUACAUCCUCUAGAACAGCUGAGGGACAAAUCUGGACUUAAAAUUAGAUGACUUAUAUUCCUGCUUUGCUUCUGCUGUUCACAGCUGGCUGUGUGAUGUUUAAUAUGUUAUUUUAACCUCUUUGAAUCUCAGUUUCUUUCCUAAUUUUUUCAUCUUCACUGUAUUAAUAUCUACCUCAGGGAGUUGCUAGGACUCAUUCAGAUAAUGAAUACAAAAAGCAUGUUAUAACUAAAUGCAUGGCACACAUGUAUGGCAUUAUUUUCUACCUGGCUCUGUCAGGAUGCUUUUGACUUCAGAUAACUUAAACCAACAGAAAAGAGCUUAAACAAUGAGGAAGCAAGACCAGAGGUAAGGCUGUUCCUGGGUUGGUUAAUUCAGCAACUCAUUAGUGUCAUCAGGGACACAGGAUCCUACCAUCUUCCUGCUUUUUACUCUGUUGUUUUGUUCUUUUGGACUUUUUUCCCACAUGGUCCCAAGAUGGCCACUAUAGUCUUAGGUGUUGCACGCACACAACAAUAUUCAGAGACAGGAAAGGGGAAGGUCCCUUAAGUAUGCUCCUUUUUAAGAGUGAGAAAAUCCCUCUAGAUAAGACUCCCUUUAUUCUUACCAUCACUGUAAUCUUCUCCUUAUGUUGAAUUGAUAAAACAUCUAGCAUGUGCCCAUGCCUAAACCAGCCAUCAUUGGGACAGCUCAUCUUAAUUAACUUAAACCAAUCAUGACCCAUUGCCUGGUGCUGGCCCCUGUCUUUCCUGAAGAAACAGAUUCUCAGAAAAGGACAAAUUAGGGACUUUGUUAGGGAGGGAGAAGAUUGUGAUAGCAGGGUAUAUAUAGAGAUUAGAUAGAUAGAUAGAUAGAUAGAUAGAUAGAUAGAUAGAUAGAUAGAUAGAUCUAGAGAUAGAUAUAUCUAGAGAUAGAUAUAUCUAGAAUGAUCUAUCUUCUAUCUAAAGGAAAAUCUUAGUUUAUUAGGUAGGGCAAGGAGAUGAAAAGAAGAGGCCAUAAGUAGUAGAUCAGUAUAAAAUGGAGUUUGAUUUUGGUGGCUUAUGAUUUUAUUUUAGGUACCUUACCAACUGAUGACAAAAUAGGUGGGGUGGGGAGAGUAAGAAGCUUUGGUUUUGCUAGUUCUACACCUCUGUUUUAAAGUUUCUCUUUAUAUUUAAAUAGGUAUGCAGUGGAACUGAAGAAGACCCUGAUGACAAAAAUGCACCUUUUCGCCAACGGCCAUUCUGCAAAUACAAAGGACACACUGCUGAUCUCCUCGAUCUUUCAUGGUCUAAAGUAAGAAAUUGUUAUUUGAAUUGUAUAUUAAUUCUAUAUAACUGAAUUUAAGAUAAAAACAGUUUUAUUUGUAUCAUUAUCACACUGUCAAGUGUUUGGAUGUUCAUAUAUCCUUUGUGGGAAUUGUAUCUACAAGUUAAGUUUAAAAGAAGAGAGCUUUUGAGCCAAUUUCUUUCUUUCUUUUUUAAUAUAUGACAGCAGAAUGCAUUACAAUUCAUAUUAUACAUAUAGAGCACAAUUCUUCAUAUCUCUUGUUGUAUAUAAAGGCAUGAGCCAAUUUCUUAAAGAGUUGUCAUUAAAGGCUAGGAAGGGUGGGAGGGUAGGGAGAUGAGGGAGGGUCAAAUAACAGGUACCAAAAUACAAAUACUGGUGUUCCAUAGCACAGUUACCUUUGCUUUUAUUAUAAGCAGUAACUUUGCAAAAUAAGUUUCCUCAGCAAAAUGAAUAUGAUUUUGACUACUAAGUUGAAGUUCAUAAUAUCUAAUCAAAACUGUUUUGGGGUUAAUUGGCUAACAUUCAUGAAAUUAUUAAUUUUUGUUUGACAGUUUGUGAUAUUUUUCCUUAUAGGAAAAUUAUUUCCAAAAUAAAGAGACUCUUUUGCCACAAAAUAUCUUAAAAGUCUUGUGAAAAUUUAAAAGAGAUGUUUUAAAUUUUAUAUAAGGUAUUUGAAGUAUGAAAACUUAGAAUUUUUACAUGAUCUCUUAUGCUUUCUUCAAAUUAAAAUUUGUCAGUAAUCAGAAUCUACAAUAUGUUAAAAAUUUGGGGAAGAAAAUAAUAUUUAAAAGCCUUGACUUGAGGAAAAUGAACUGAGUUAACCAACUAAUAUCAGGCAUACCAUUGGUGCCCAUAUAUUUUAACUAUGUCAGGAGAACUUCAUGUGGCACAAAGAUUCCAGUGGUAUAUAUUGGCAAGUCAGGCUUUUUCUGAGCUCCAGCUUUGUUCUUGCCACACCUGUUUAGAUGUUCUGGGUACUCUUCUUUAAUCAUGUGUUCUUUAACCCACAUCUCUCUUAACCUCUCAAAACAAGCUUAGGUCACACCUGGUAGUUGAUUUUUAAACUACGUCCUAAUUGUCUCUUUGCACUUCUUUCCUACCCUGAGUUGUCAGAAGACGGAAAUCUGAGGUAUCUUUAAUCUGGUAAUCAUAUUCAUCUGUAAUAAGUACAAAUCAAAUAUUUAGAAUCUUUGCUUUCAUCUUGCUUUUUUUUUUAAAGCAAACCAUAUUUUUUUUUCUGAAAUGUGAUACUAACGGAAAGAACUUUUAAAUUUUUUAAAAAGUAUUUGUGGGAUACAAUGUGAUAAUUCAAUAUAUGUAUAAUAAUAUGUAAUGAUCAAAUGAGGGUAAUUUUAGCAUUUCCAUCUCCUUAAAUAUUUUUAAUAUUUUUACUUGUAGAUGGACACAAUACCUUUAUUUUAUUUAUUUAUUUAUUUAUUUAUUUACUUAAUGUGGUGCUGAGGAUCAAACCCAGUGCCUCACACAUGCUAGGCAAGUGCUCUACAACUGAGCUACAACUCCAGCCCCUCAAUCUCCUUAAACAUUUAUCAUUUUUUCAUGUCAGGUGCUUCUGAACUCUUCUGUAGUUCCUUAUAAAGCAUGUAAUAAAUUGUUGAAAAUUAUAGGCACCCUGUACUGUUCUAUGGAACACCAGUAUUUGUAUUUUGGUACCUGUUACUUGACCCUCCUUCAUCCCCCUACCCUCCCAACCUUGCUAGCCUUUAAUGAUAACUCUUUAAGAAAUUGGCUCAUGGGCUGGGGAUGUGGCUCAAACAGUAGCAUGCUCGCCUGGCAUGCAUGCAGCCUGGGUUCGAUCCUCAGCACCACAUACAAUAAAGAUGUUGUGUCCACCGAAAACUAAAUAUUAAAAUAUUCUCUCUCUCUCUCUCUCUCUCUCUCUCUCUCUCUCUCUCUCUCUCUCUCUCUCCAAAAAAGAAAAGAAAUUGUCUCAUGCCUUUAUAUGCAACCAGAGAUAUGAAGAAUUGUGCUCUAUAUGUGUAAUUGGCUCAUGCAAUGUGGUGAAAGGCAAGUUUGAAAUUUAUAGGACAGCCCUGUAGGGUGAAGGAAACAGCAGAAGUUUAUGCUGCAGUCUUAAAGCAAAAUUUUUUAUCCUCUGGGAAACCUCAGUUUUUCUUCUCAGGGCCUUCAGCUGAUUAGAUGAGGCUCACCCAUAUGCUCAAGGGUUAUUUCCUUAAAGUGAACUGAUUGUACAUGUUAACUAAGUUUACAGAAUGUCUUCACAACCACUAGAGAGGUGCUUGAUUAUACAGCUGGGAACUAUACCCUACAUAGAAUGACACCUAAAAUUAACCAUUAUAGAGGCUGGGGGUGUAGUUCAGUGGCAGAGCACUUGCCUAUCACUGUGAGGCACUGGGUUCGUUCCUCACCACCACCUAAAAAUAAAUAAAUAAAAUGAAGCUAUUGUGUCCAUCUACAACAAAAUAUUUUUAAAGAAUUAACCAUCAUAGCUAUCUUUUGAUCAAAAUUAGUACCUUUUCUUUAAAUUCAUUCUCCUUAGCCUUUCUCUGGAACUUGAUCAUUUGAUACAAUUAAUCUUUUUUUUAAAUACUCUUCUUGGUUAUGGAAACUUAUACUUUCUUGAUAUCCUCCAUGUCUUGUUGACCAUUCCCCUUUUUUCCUUCACAGAAGAAAUAGUAAAAAGAACAUUACUUAAAACCUAUGCAUACACGCCUAUAUAAAGGUCAGUACUUUCCACUCACUCAAAACAUAUCUGUUUAUCAAUCUACCAUCUAAUUAAGCAUAUGAACUCUGGAGCUAGACUCCUGGGGUUUAUAACCUACCUAGUCUAACCCUUAUAGUUUUAUAACCUUGGACAAGUUCCUUAAGGAACUUGAGGCUCAGCAUGCCUCAUUUGCAAAAUAAGCAUAAUAAAAGUAGUUUCCUCAAAGAGUUAUAGGGGAAAAUUAAUUGACCUAGGAAAUACAAAUCAAAUGGCUCAACUAAUAUUAUUUAUUAAGGUGUCAGGUAGCAGUUUAAGCAUUGAGGACACAAGCAAAAUGUAAAUACAUAUGCUCUCUAUUUGUACUCUCAAAUUGUAUGAUGUCAUUGAUGUUUCCUUAUCAAUAAUUUUUUUAAAACUGAAAUUUGUGCCUGUUAACUAGCAUGCCUAAAGCCAUAUAUCCAAGGAGUAAAGAAAGGAGUUAGGGUUCAACUCUCAUGGCUUUGGAGUAUUCCACUCUAACCCAUUCCUGUGUAAUAACAGCUAAUCACCACAUGGAAACAAAAUUACAAAAAUAACAAAAUGUUCUGUACAUCACAAGACGUAAGAAAUCAAAAUUCUUAUACACUUUCUUCCCUGUUGUUCUUUCCAAACCCCUGGANAAAUAAAGUGGAAAAUUAUAUACAGUAUUACCCUGAUUUUGACUAAAAACGAUAAGAUGUAAGGAAAUAUACUGAAUUCUUAAUAGUAUUAUCUUUAGAUAAUAGGAUUUUAGGUCAUUUUUAUUUGGUCUGUUUCUUAAAAUUUCCUUAAUAAAUUUAUCUACUUGUAUUAAGACAGACAAACUUUUAUUUAAAGUCUCAACUUUAAACUUUUUGACCCAGUAUUACUUCUUGUAUAAGGAUAAAGAAAUAGUCAAAUUAGGAUAAACAUUCAUGUUCCAGGACAUUCAUGAAUUGCUGUUGGUAUUAGCAAAAGACUUGGAAAUGUCUAGGUGACCAGAAAAUGGUGAAUGAUUAAAUUAUGGUGCAUUCAUGUUGUAUGGCCUGUAAGUGUUUCCAAAGUGUGAAAUGAAGAAAAUUCUCGUGGCACAAAAAAAGAAAGAUCAAACUGUGUAUACAAUAUGAUUUCAGUUAUAGUUUUAAAAAAUGAAAGAUUGAAGAUGGUCAAUAUGUAAGAAGAUUUUGGGUGAUGUUGGUUUUAGCUUUUCUACUUUCUAGAUUUUGUAAAUUGUCUAUACUGAUCAUGUACUAUUUCAUAAUAAAAAAUCUUUUUAAAAUAUCUUGAAAAAAGGUAGAAUGCAGGGAAAAGAAAAUGGGUAUUUGAGGAGAAAGAAAGAAAGGCCUGGAAUCACUGCUAGGGAAAAUAUGCUAAGAAGUUAAUGAAAAGUAAAUGAUAGUUAAACAAGAAGUGGACUCUUUGUAAUAGGGCAAGACUAUUUAGUUUUAUGUCUUGACAGCAGUCACUAAUCUGGCAGCAAAAUUAGAGGUAAAGUUUUAGUUAUCUAGGAUUAGGAGAGCUUGGUAAAAGGUCCCAAAGUCCGUGUUACUGGUCUACUUCCAUAGUUGAUCUGAAAAUGUUUUUGAUACAUGGUAAAGUUCUCUAGGGGGCUGGGUGUAUAGCUCAGUGGUAGAGCACUUGCCUAGCAUGCAUGAAGCCCUGGUUUGAACCCCUGCAUCACAAACAAGCAAACAACUAGACAAAGAAUAGUCGUAAUUUUUGUCUAUCCCAUGGCUCCUGUCCUAGUUCAAACCUCAUUAUUCUUAAACUUUUUGAUUGUUCUUCUUGCUCCAAUGGUUCUCUCCAAACUGUCUUUGUCAUUAUCCAGAGUUCUCUUUCUAAAGCACCACUCAAAUCAUUUUAUUUAUUCCUUUUCAAAACCCUGUGUUGGCUCUCUGUUGUCUUAGAAUGUCCAAACUUUGAAGCCACAAAUUCAAGACCCUUUAUGAUGUGGUCUCAAAGUAGCUUUCUACCCUAAUUCCUUACUGUAUCUCAAUGAACUUUUUCUAUCCUCAUUCUGCCCACAAUUCUAUAAAUAUGCAAGGCUUAACUAGCACUCCAUGGUUUUGCUCGUGUUACAUCCUCUAGAACAGCUGAGGGACAAAUCUGGACUUAAAAUUAGAUGACUUAUAUUCCUGCUUUGCUUCUGCUGUUCACAGCUGGCUGUGUGAUGUUUAAUAUGUUAUUUUAACCUCUUUGAAUCUCAGUUUCUUUCCUAAUUUUUUCAUCUUCACUGUAUUAAUAUCUACCUCAGGGAGUUGCUAGGACUCAUUCAGAUAAUGAAUACAAAAAGCAUGUUAUAACUAAAUGCAUGGCACACAUGUAUGGCAUUAUUUUCUACCUGGCUCUGUCAGGAUGCUUUUGACUUCAGAUAACUUAAACCAACAGAAAAGAGCUUAAACAAUGAGGAAGCAAGACCAGAGGUAAGGCUGUUCCUGGGUUGGUUAAUUCAGCAACUCAUUAGUGUCAUCAGGGACACAGGAUCCUACCAUCUUCCUGCUUUUUACUCUGUUGUUUUGUUCUUUUGGACUUUUUUCCCACAUGGUCCCAAGAUGGCCACUAUAGUCUUAGGUGUUGCACGCACACAACAAUAUUCAGAGACAGGAAAGGGGAAGGUCCCUUAAGUAUGCUCCUUUUUAAGAGUGAGAAAAUCCCUCUAGAUAAGACUCCCUUUAUUCUUACCAUCACUGUAAUCUUCUCCUUAUGUUGAAUUGAUAAAACAUCUAGCAUGUGCCCAUGCCUAAACCAGCCAUCAUUGGGACAGCUCAUCUUAAUUAACUUAAACCAAUCAUGACCCAUUGCCUGGUGCUGGCCCCUGUCUUUCCUGAAGAAACAGAUUCUCAGAAAAGGACAAAUUAGGGACUUUGUUAGGGAGGGAGAAGAUUGUGAUAGCAGGGUAUAUAUAGAGAUUAGAUAGAUAGAUAGAUAGAUAGAUAGAUCUAGAGAUAGAUAUAUCUAGAGAUAGAUAUAUCUAGAAUGAUCUAUCUUCUAUCUAAAGGAAAAUCUUAGUUUAUUAGGUAGGGCAAGGAGAUGAAAAGAAGAGGCCAUAAGUAGUAGAUCAGUAUAAAAUGGAGUUUGAUUUUGGUGGCUUAUGAUUUUAUUUUAGGUACCUUACCAACUGAUGACAAAAUAGGUGGGGUGGGGAGAGUAAGAAGCUUUGGUUUUGCUAGUUCUACACCUCUGUUUUAAAGUUUCUCUUUAUAUUUAAAUAGGUAUGCAGUGGAACUGAAGAAGACCCUGAUGACAAAAAUGCACCUUUUCGCCAACGGCCAUUCUGCAAAUACAAAGGACACACUGCUGAUCUCCUCGAUCUUUCAUGGUCUAAAGUAAGAAAUUGUUAUUUGAAUUGUAUAUUAAUUCUAUAUAACUGAAUUUAAGAUAAAAACAGUUUUAUUUGUAUCAUUAUCACACUGUCAAGUGUUUGGAUGUUCAUAUAUCCUUUGUGGGAAUUGUAUCUACAAGUUAAGUUUAAAAGAAGAGAGCUUUUGAGCCAAUUUCUUUCUUUCUUUUUUAAUAUAUGACAGCAGAAUGCAUUACAAUUCAUAUUAUACAUAUAGAGCACAAUUCUUCAUAUCUCUUGUUGUAUAUAAAGGCAUGAGCCAAUUUCUUAAAGAGUUGUCAUUAAAGGCUAGGAAGGGUGGGAGGGUAGGGAGAUGAGGGAGGGUCAAAUAACAGGUACCAAAAUACAAAUACUGGUGUUCCAUAGCACAGUUACCUUUGCUUUUAUUAUAAGCAGUAACUUUGCAAAAUAAGUUUCCUCAGCAAAAUGAAUAUGAUUUUGACUACUAAGUUGAAGUUCAUAAUAUCUAAUCAAAACUGUUUUGGGGUUAAUUGGCUAACAUUCAUGAAAUUAUUAAUUUUUGUUUGACAGUUUGUGAUAUUUUUCCUUAUAGGAAAAUUAUUUCCAAAAUAAAGAGACUCUUUUGCCACAAAAUAUCUUAAAAGUCUUGUGAAAAUUUAAAAGAGAUGUUUUAAAUUUUAUAUAAGGUAUUUGAAGUAUGAAAACUUAGAAUUUUUACAUGAUCUCUUAUGCUUUCUUCAAAUUAAAAUUUGUCAGUAAUCAGAAUCUACAAUAUGUUAAAAAUUUGGGGAAGAAAAUAAUAUUUAAAAGCCUUGACUUGAGGAAAAUGAACUGAGUUAACCAACUAAUAUCAGGCAUACCAUUGGUGCCCAUAUAUUUUAACUAUGUCAGGAGAACUUCAUGUGGCACAAAGAUUCCAGUGGUAUAUAUUGGCAAGUCAGGCUUUUUCUGAGCUCCAGCUUUGUUCUUGCCACACCUGUUUAGAUGUUCUGGGUACUCUUCUUUAAUCAUGUGUUCUUUAACCCACAUCUCUCUUAACCUCUCAAAACAAGCUUAGGUCACACCUGGUAGUUGAUUUUUAAACUACGUCCUAAUUGUCUCUUUGCACUUCUUUCCUACCCUGAGUUGUCAGAAGACGGAAAUCUGAGGUAUCUUUAAUCUGGUAAUCAUAUUCAUCUGUAAUAAGUACAAAUCAAAUAUUUAGAAUCUUUGCUUUCAUCUUGCUUUUUUUUUUAAAGCAAACCAUAUUUUUUUUUCUGAAAUGUGAUACUAACGGAAAGAACUUUUAAAUUUUUUAAAAAGUAUUUGUGGGAUACAAUGUGAUAAUUCAAUAUAUGUAUAAUAAUAUGUAAUGAUCAAAUGAGGGUAAUUUUAGCAUUUCCAUCUCCUUAAAUAUUUUUAAUAUUUUUACUUGUAGAUGGACACAAUACCUUUAUUUUAUUUAUUUAUUUAUUUAUUUAUUUACUUAAUGUGGUGCUGAGGAUCAAACCCAGUGCCUCACACAUGCUAGGCAAGUGCUCUACAACUGAGCUACAACUCCAGCCCCUCAAUCUCCUUAAACAUUUAUCAUUUUUUCAUGUCAGGUGCUUCUGAACUCUUCUGUAGUUCCUUAUAAAGCAUGUAAUAAAUUGUUGAAAAUUAUAGGCACCCUGUACUGUUCUAUGGAACACCAGUAUUUGUAUUUUGGUACCUGUUACUUGACCCUCCUUCAUCCCCCUACCCUCCCAACCUUGCUAGCCUUUAAUGAUAACUCUUUAAGAAAUUGGCUCAUGGGCUGGGGAUGUGGCUCAAACAGUAGCAUGCUCGCCUGGCAUGCAUGCAGCCUGGGUUCGAUCCUCAGCACCACAUACAAUAAAGAUGUUGUGUCCACCGAAAACUAAAUAUUAAAAUAUUCUCUCUCUCUCUCUCUCUCUCUCUCUCUCUCUCUCUCUCUCUCUCUCUCUCUCUCUCUCUCUCUCUCCAAAAAAGAAAAGAAAUUGUCUCAUGCCUUUAUAUGCAACCAGAGAUAUGAAGAAUUGUGCUCUAUAUGUGUAAUUGGCUCAUGCAAUGUGGUGAAAGGCAAGUUUGAAAUUUAUAGGACAGCCCUGUAGGGUGAAGGAAACAGCAGAAGUUUAUGCUGCAGUCUUAAAGCAAAAUUUUUUAUCCUCUGGGAAACCUCAGUUUUUCUUCUCAGGGCCUUCAGCUGAUUAGAUGAGGCUCACCCAUAUGCUCAAGGGUUAUUUCCUUAAAGUGAACUGAUUGUACAUGUUAACUAAGUUUACAGAAUGUCUUCACAACCACUAGAGAGGUGCUUGAUUAUACAGCUGGGAACUAUACCCUACAUAGAAUGACACCUAAAAUUAACCAUUAUAGAGGCUGGGGGUGUAGUUCAGUGGCAGAGCACUUGCCUAUCACUGUGAGGCACUGGGUUCGUUCCUCACCACCACCUAAAAAUAAAUAAAUAAAAUGAAGCUAUUGUGUCCAUCUACAACAAAAUAUUUUUAAAGAAUUAACCAUCAUAGCUAUCUUUUGAUCAAAAUUAGUACCUUUUCUUUAAAUUCAUUCUCCUUAGCCUUUCUCUGGAACUUGAUCAUUUGAUACAAUUAGUCUUUUUUUUAAAUACUCUUCUUGGUUAUGGAAACUUAUACUUUCUUGAUAUCCUCCAUGUCUUGUUGACCAUUCCCCUUUUUUCCUUCACAGAAGAAAUAGUAAAAAGAACAUUACUUAAAACCUAUGCAUACACGCCUAUAUAAAGGUCAGUACUUUCCACUCACUCAAAACAUAUCUGUUUAUCAAUCUACCAUCUAAUUAAGCAUAUGAACUCUGGAGCUAGACUCCUGGGGUUUAUAACCUACCUAGUCUAACCCUUAUAGUUUUAUAACCUUGGACAAGUUCCUUAAGGAACUUGAGGCUCAGCAUGCCUCAUUUGCAAAAUAAGCAUAAUAAAAGUAGUUUCCUCAAAGAGUUAUAGGGGAAAAUUAAUUGACCUAGGAAAUACAAAUCAAAUGGCUCAACUAAUAUUAUUUAUUAAGGUGUCAGGUAGCAGUUUAAGCAUUGAGGACACAAGCAAAAUGUAAAUACAUAUGCUCUCUAUUUGUACUCUCAAAUUGUAUGAUGUCAUUGAUGUUUCCUUAUCAAUAAUUUUUUUAAAACUGAAAUUUGUGCCUGUUAACUAGCAUGCCUAAAGCCAUAUAUCCAAGGAGUAAAGAAAGGAGUUAGGGUUCAACUCUCAUGGCUUUGGAGUAUUCCACUCUAACCCAUUCCUGUGUAAUAACAGCUAAUCACCACAUGGAAACAAAAUUACAAAAAUAACAAAAUGUUCUGUACAUCACAAGACGUAAGAAAUCAAAAUUCUUAUACACUUUCUUCCCUGUUGUUCUUUCCAAACCCCUGGAGGCAGCAGACAUAUGAUUUAGUAUCUAUCUCGCUAUCUACUUAUUUCCAGUGAAAAAUAUGCAUUUUUAAGGACUGGUGCCAGUUUAUGAACUGGCCCUUCCUAGUCUUUUUUUUUUUUUUUUUUUUGCUACUAGGGAUUUAAUUCAGUGCCACUUAACCACUAAACCAUAUCCCCAGCUCCCCCUUUUUAUAAUUUUAGGGAAGGAUCUUGCUAAGUUGCUGAGGUUGGCUUUGAACUUGAAAUCCUUCUGCCUCAGCCUCCCAAGCCAUUGGGAUUAUAGGCAUGUAAUAAUGCGCCCGACUCUUUCUGGUCCUUUUUUUUUAAUAUUUAUUUUUAGUUGUAGAUGGACACAACACCUUUAUUUCACUUGUAUAUUUUUGUAUGUGGUGCUGAGGAUCCAAACCAGGGUCUUGCAUGUGCGAGGCAAGCACUCUACUGCUGAGCCGCAACCCCAGCCCCUCUUCCUGGUCCUUGAUAGUACGAAUACCACUCUGUGAAGAGAUAAAUACAAAAACCAAGAUGAAGCCAUUUAGAAAUGUUAAUGGGAGUUUUUAAGAGUAAUUUUAUGAUUGUUGAAUCUAAUCUUAAAAAUUGGGCUUUUAGCCAGGAGCAGUGAUGCACACCUGUAAUCCCAGCAGCUCAGAAGGCUGAUUCAGGAGGAUUAAAAGUUCAAAGCCAGUCUCAACAAUUUAAUGAGGCCUUAAGCAAAUUAGCAAGACCCUGUCUCAAAAAAUUUUAAAAAUGGUUGGGGAUGUGGCUUAGUGGUUGGGCACCCCUGAGUUCAAUCCCACUUAUAUAAUAAAAAUUGGUUUGUGUUUUAUAUUUCUUUUAUUUUUUUUAUUCUUCUAGUAGUUGUUUUCUGUAUUUUUAGUAGUUCUGGCCUGUGAUUCACUGGAAAUUAAAAACAAAAGCAGUCCUUUACCACAAAUAUUUUGAGAAGCAUUGGUCCAGAUAGGUUAUUUGAAUGGGAUUUCAUCCCAUAUCAGAAUGGUCACUAAGACAAGGAAAAGAUGGGGAGAAAACACCAGUUUCUGAUCACCUUAUUGGGAUAGUGGAAAAAUUAAUAAUCAUUUCAGACCAGAUGCAGUGUUGCAUACCUGCAGUCCCAGUGACUGAGGAGGCUGAGGCAAGAGAAUUAUAAGUUUGAGGUCAGCAUGGGCAACUUAGAAAGACUAUCUCAAAAUAAAAAAUAAAUAGGAUUGGGGAUGAGACUCAGUGGUACAAUAUCCCUGGCUCAGUCCCUAGUACUGCAAAAUCAUUAUCAUCACAAUCAUCAUCAUCAUCAUCAAAUGUUCCAGGUGUUUCCUGUGUGUAAGCAGGUACCAAAGAUGCAGCUGGAUCCCAGGAUUAAACAUCAGUGAGGAGAAGAGGGAAAAAGCAGGGCUGAUCAUUAAAAGGACAUGUGUCAAUUCUAUUGUGUCUGUUGUUAUGGCCAAAAUUGGCUUGGGUUUGUUGAUGUCCCUGCUGUAUCUACUUUUAAUAUUUUGAAAUAUUUUAAGAGUUAAUAACUCUUAAAACUCAUAAGCAGUUUUCCAUCUUUAGAAAUGCAGGCUUUGAGGACUUAACCAUUUUAGUUAGGAGGAAGAAGUUCAAAAGCUCUAUUGUGCAACAUGGUGACUAUAGUGAAUAUUCAUGUGUUACAUUCUUGAAACAUGCUAAGAGAAUAGAUUUUACAUGUUCUCACCACAAAAAAAUAAGUAUACAGAUAAUGUAUAUGUUAAUUAACUUGAUGUAGCCAUUUCACAAUGGAUACAUAUCGUGCAAUGUUUAUGUGUCAAUUAAAAUCAAAUAAUAAAUUGUAAAAGUUGGGGAUGAAUGGUCUCCAAGGGUUUAUCAUAUCCCUAACUCCCCAACCCCAGAGGAAAAAAACAAAAUUUCUUCUGUUCUAACUGCACACAUGUAGUGCCUUUCUUUUUCUUCUCCACUAACCAAAAAUGUAUUCAUUCUUUUUAAAAAAAAUUUUUGUAGUUGUAGAUGGACAGCAUGCCUUUAUUUUUGUUUAUUAAGGAUCAAACACAGUGCCUCACAUGUGCUAGGCAAAUGCUCUGACACUGAGCUACAGCCCCAGCCCCAAAAUAUAUUCUUUCUUUAAUCCCAUCUCCUUUGUAAAGCAUUCCCUGACAACAAAGAUAAAUGUUGAUCUGUUUCACUGAAUUUUUAUAACACCUAUCUUGUGCUUUUUUUCAUGAACUUUCUUUUUUUAAAUUUUUUUUAGUUGCCAAUAGGCCUUUAUUUUAUUUAUUUAUAUGCAGUGCUGGCGCUCUGCCUCUGAGCCACAACCCCAGCCCCAUGAAUUUUCUUUUUACUUAAAUCUUACCUAUGUACAUUUCUGGGUCUUGUUUGCAACAAGAUUCUAAGUCCCUCAAGGUUAGAGGCCUGAUCUUCUUUCACUGUUGUUCCUCUUUAAUGUCUUUAACAAUCAGUAUUUAUGAUGGGUUUUCUAUUUGUUGAAGACUUAUUUUAUGCCAGGUAAUAAGAAUUACCUUAUUAAUUGUUAGAAUAACAACCCUCACAUGGUGGACAGUCUUUCAUUUUAUAGGUGAGGGGACUGGGCUCUGUGAUGCACCUAAGAUCACAAAACUCUAUGGGGAGAACUUGAUUUACCUCUAAUUUCUUUAACUCCCAGGAUCAAUGCUUAGUUUAAGAAAUUUAUUUAAUUUUAUUUAUUCAAUAAGUAUUUAUUAAGUAGAAACUUCUUGACAUAUAGAACAAAUCAUAACAUGUCUUCUUUACAGAAUAUUUUAGAAAUGUCUUCAUAUCUAUUUCAUAUGCUUAUACUACCUCUUUUAGUUACAUUACCUCUUCCAGCUUAAUGCAAGAACUAAAUGAAGACAAUUUUUAUUUGGAAUGUUUUAUUUUGGGUUUUUGCUGGGGAUUAAACCCAGGGCCUAGCACAUGCAAAGCACAUGCUCUACUACUAAACCACAUACCCUUGGCCCUGAAUAAAGCCAGUUUUAAUGAGCAGUGUGCCAUCGGUUUAGUUUUAUAUAGUUGUUAUUAGUCAAUAGAAAAUAAUAAUGAAAACUACAUAUACUUGUUUAAACUUUUCUGGAACUGGGUGGAUCUGCAAAGUAAAAAUAAUGGUUAUUAGAUGUUUCAAAGAAUAUUGUAGGUCUUCCAAAUUCUGUUUGUUUGUGGUACUAGGGAUUGAACCCAGAAUCUCAUGCAUGCUAAUCAAGUGAUUUAUCCCUGAGUUACAUGCCCUGCCCCCAAAUUCUGGUUUUUUAAUUGUAAAGUAUGCCAUCUAUCUAAAAACGGUUUUGCUACAUAAAUGUAUACUUUUUGAAAUAGUCAAAAAUAACAUUUAUUUAUAUCUCUGUAUAAUUACAUAUCCAAAUCCAUCUUUGCAAUUAAUGUUUUAUAGUCAAAAGAGUAAAGAUUAGUAAUUAGUAUUAGCAAAUGACAAAGUUAUCAUGGUACUUUCCAUAACAUGUCUUCUACUUAAGCACUCUGUGAAACAGUGUAGUGGUUAGAAUCUGGACCUUAAGCCAGAUCACCUGAGCACAAAUCCUAGCUAUGCCACUGAUGAGCUAUAUCUCUUAGCCAAAUUGUUCACCCUCUCUGUGCCUUACUGUUCUCAUUUGUCUAAAAGGAUGAUUUCUACCUCAGAUUUGCUAUAUAGUACUAAGAAUAAUAUAGACGAAUUAUACAUAUUCAAAAAUAUUAUUAUUGCUUUGAUUUGUUUAGAACCUUUAAGCAUACCAGAGAAUAAUAGGGUCUCAUUUGAGUUUCCUUAUUCAGUAUCACUUAAAUUUCUUACCCUUAAAUAGAUUGUUUAGAAGUUAAUGAAUUUCUACCAGCUAGAUCAUUUUGACAGAUAGAUGUUUCGUUCUUUCAUGAUGGAGCCAUCACAGUGCCUCAUCAUUUAUACUACCUCUUCAAGCUUUGAAAGUUCUAUGAUCUAUUAUGAAAGAUUUGACAAUUUGUAUUCUCUAUUUUUCUUGCCUAGAGUGUGGCAGGUGCACAAUAACUUUUCAUUUCCAUGCUGCAUUAUAAAGUAAUUUUUGAAGACUUUAAAUGACAAUUAGGAUCCAUGUGAGUUAAAAUUCACCAAUAUUAUCAAUGUGAAAAAUAACUGAACUGAAAUGACAACCAAGUGAGUAGAUGCCUUGUAUUUAUAGUUAAGUAAGUUUCCGUGUGUACAGGCUAUACCAGCUAAGGUACACCUUAGUCUUCUGCUGGUGCCUGGAAGAUUUCUUUGGACAUAGAUUGUAAGAUUCAUACAAAUUUCAGAAAAGGCAAUAUGAAUUCAUGAAAUCUGAUAUUUAAGUGAUUGAGAAAAAUGAGAUCUUUCCAGUGAAUUGGAUAAUCUUUUGUUCUUUCUGGUGCUGCAUACAAUAGCAGCACUAUGGAGGUACACAAAACUGAAAGUUCACUUUUGUUGUACAAGUAGGUUUUUUUUCAUAUGAUCAUAAUCAAUAUCAUUUUCUUCAUAGAACUACUUUCUGCUGUCUUCUUCAAUGGAUAAAACAGUCAGGUUAUGGCACAUUUCUAGAAGAGAAUGCCUUUGCUGUUUUCAACAUAUUGAUUUUGUCACUGCCAUAGCUUUCCAUCCAAGAGUAAGUAAUUGUUUGUGUACUUUAUGUCAUGCUAAAAGGAAGAUGAGGGAAUUUGGUUUCUUUGGAGGGCAGUUGGGCUACAGAAAAAAAUAUUAAUAGCUAUAUAGAUUGAAUCAGUUUAAAUUAGUCUUCCAUUUUGCUUUAAAAAUGGGAAGGGAAAUAAAUACUCUGUUACUCUGUAUCAGAAGUGGGAAUAUUUUAUUCUUAAUGUAAUAGUAAAUAAGCAUUACAAAUAUGUUAUUAGAUAUGUAGGGUAUAAAUAAAGUAUCCCAUUAAAGAUGAGAGCUGUUACAGAUGGAAGGAGAAAUCAGCAAAUUUAUAAAAUGAGAAAGGGAAGUGUAUACAGAGGAAUUGUAGGAGGAUUAGAGAGGAAAAAGAGAAAGUGGAAAAGACUAAAAGAAGCAAAGACCAAAAUUCAUUAUAAGAUAUACAAAAUUCUGCCAGGCAUGCUGACAGACACCUAUAAUCCCAGAAGCUCAAGAGGCUGAGGCAGGAGGAUUGCAAGUUCAAAGCCAGCCUUAGCAAUUUAGCAAGACCCUGUCUCAAAACAUAAAAAGGGCUGAGGAUGUGGCUCAGUGGUUGAGCACCCCUUGAUUCAAUCCCUCGUACCCCCCCAAAAAAAUGCACACAUACACACAUACGACACACACACAAAAAAAAAUUCCUAUUUAAUAUCUGGAAACUUUGUUAAUCCUUUAUUGUUGUUGUUAUUUAUUGUUUUGACAGUGUCGUUCUUUGUUUUUUAAAUAAUUUUAAUCUUUAAUUGAUUUCUUUUUUUUAAUUGAUUUCUUUUUUUAAUCUUUAAUUGAUUUCUUUUUUUUUAAGAGAGAAUUUUAAUAUUUAUUUUUUAGUUUUUGGCGGACACGACAUCUUUGUUUGUAUGUGGUGCUGAGGAUCGAACCCGGGCUGCACGCAUGCCAGGCGAGCGCGCUACCGCUUGAGCCACAUCCCCAGCCCAGUGUCUUGCUUUGUUGCCCAGGCUGACCUCAAACUCCUGGGCUCAAUGAUCCUCCUGCUUUAGCCUCCCAAGUAGCUUGAACCACAGGCAUUUGCCACCUUACCUGAUAUAUGUUGUUAAUCUUGAUAUCCCUUCUUACUCAUUUUCAAUAUAGAAAUUUUUUAAAUAUCUUUCCCCUUUAAAGAAAGUAUUUCAUAUUAUUUCAACCAAAGGAGAAAAAUCUGCUUUAAUGGAAUUAUUGUCUAUUGUAUGCCCUUAAAGGACAGAGACACCAAAUGCUUAAAGCUAGAUUGGUUUUAAGGUUUUUUGCAACUGUAAGCACAAGGGAAAUCACAUGCUGGUAUCAGUUCUACUGCCUAGACCUAUAAUAAUUGGAGUCACCCUAUGCUGAGUUAACUUGCCCUCCCCUAUGUUGACAUAUGGUUACAUUACCAGUCAUGUCCCUAUCCCAAUUUGUUUAACAAUCUUUUUUUUUUUUUGUACUGGGGAUUGAACCCAGGGGCAAUUUACCACCAAGCCACAUCCCCAGCCCUUUUUAUGUUUUAUUUUGAGACAGGGUCUCACUAAGUUCCUGACGGUGGCCUUGAACUUGAGGUCUUCCUGCCUUAGUUUCUCCAAUUACUAGAAUUACAAGUGUGUGCUGUCAUACCCAGCAAGCAUUAUCUUUCUUUUUUUAAUUUUUUUUAGUUGUACAUGGACACAAUAUCUUUAUUUUUAUGUGGUGCUGAAGAUCGAACCCAGUGCCUCACACAUGCAAGGCAGGCGCUCUACCACUGAGCUACAGCCCCAGCCCCACCAUUGUCUUUUGAAUGUAACAUUUCAAUCAUAUUCCCAUUUCUUUCUCUUUUCACCCAAAUUAGGAGAAAAGACUCUUUUUUCCCCUCAGUAUACUUUCUGCCUUUUCUAGGCAGGUUUACGACAUAGGUAGUAAUAAUUUUGAACCCUUAGAAGAACUUGGUCAUAAACUUAUGAAAAUUAAAAAUGUCUGAUCUAUGUUAAUACCUUAUCAGUUUUGACUAUCAAGUUGUUAGAGGCUUCUUUCUGAAUAACAUUGCUAUCCUGGUCCCCUAAAGAUGCAGCAGGAUAGAUUUAACCUUUGUCUCUGUUUUUAGCUAUCAGGGUAGAAAGAUACCUUACAUUGUGAUUGUACUGGGUAGCUUUUUAUUAUUAAGGCCUCUGACAGUCAGUAAUUUCUGUAUAUUUUUAUUUUUGAAACAAAAAAAGUCUACUGAUCUGGAGGGGUUUUGAGAGGGGAUGGGGAAGAAUGCAGUGGUGUAGACAUUUUCUUAGACAAUAUGACUUGGAAUAUGACUGGAAGGAAGGUAGCAGAAUUGUAAACAGCAAAUUGGAGACACACACACACACACGUACAUAAGUAAAAUUUUGGGGCUGGGGAUAUAUCUCAGUUGAUAGAGUGCCUGCCUCACAUGCAUAAGGCCCUGAGUUCAAUCCCCAGUACCACACACACACAAAAAAAAAAAGAAUGCCAAGAUGAAGUUAUUUUGUUUGUUUUUUGGUUUGUUUUUGUAGUACUAGGGAUUGAACCCAUGGCUUCAUGCAUGCUAGGCAAUUGCUGUACCACUGAGCUACAUCUCCAAUCCCCAAGAUGAAGUAUUUUUACUUGUUCAUCUCUUCUAGUAUACAAUGAGUAGGGCUGAUUAAACCAUAGUCAUAAAAAUGCCCAUUAUUUGUUGAUUGUCCUUGACAGGCAUCAUAAGUAGGUAAGAACAAUAAUCUUAAGCAGAGAAGAUAAUUGCCUCCUUGUUUUGGUGCCCCAAUUAUUUAAUCUUUAAUUCUUAUGUUGCCCAAGAUUAGGCCAGCUUGUUGGUAGGACUGAUUUAGUUUACUGCAGAAUUUCUUGACCUUGAUACUAUUGAAAUUCUUUUUGUAAAUAUUUUUUAAUUGUAGGUGGACACAAUACCUUUAUUUUAUUUAUUUAUAUGUGGUGCUAAGGAUCAAACCCGGGGCCUCACAUGUGCUAGGCAAGCACUCUACUGCUGAGUCACAACCCCAGCCUGACAUUCUUUGUUAUAGGGGGAGAGAAGCCUCUCCUGUGAGUUGUAAGAUGUUUAACAGCAUUCCUAGCCUCUGCCAACUAGUUGUUGGUAGUAUCCCAACCCACAGCCGGCUGUGACAACCCAAAAUGAUUUCAGACAGUGAUAGAUAUCUACUGUAGGGUCAGAUUUCCCCAGACUAAGAACUCCUGAUCUGAGAUUGAAUCAUGAAGUGAUUCUCUGCUGACAAGGUAUUAGAGUUCCCAAAAAAGACUGGUUCUGUAAGCCACUGACCCAUGUUACCCUUUUAUCCCUGUGUUAUGUGUAUCUCAGGGAGAGUAUGGUAUAGGAUAGUGUUUCCCAAAACAUGGUCCUUGAAGGUAUUAGCCCUGUUAGAUGUUCCUUCAGGACUCCCCCAUCUGCCCCCAAAAAAGUGUGUGGUGAGAUAAAUUGGAAAACACUACCUGCUUUACCCUCUUUUUAGAGAUUCAAAUCAUGGAUUAGUUGAGAAUACUGUUUAACAUUUUGCAAUCCAGAAUUUCUCUGAAUUAUUUAAUCACAGAAUUUUUUCCAUGCAAUACAUACUCAAACACAUUUUCUAUUAAUAUACAUACUUUAAGAAAAGCAGUUCAAGGAUAGGAUAAAAUUAUUAGAAUGCUAUUUCUCCAAAAUGAAUACUGAGGUUUCUAAUUUUUAUUAUUUUUGAUGCAUAAACUAAUGCUAGCUUAAAGAAUAGUGCUUUGGGACUGGAGGUGUGGCUCAAGGAUAGAAAGCUUACCUGGCAUGUUUGAGACCCUGGGUUCCAUCCCUAACAUCCAAAACAAAAGAUGAAGAAGAAUACUUCUACAAUGAGAUCUACAUUUUAAAACGUUAUUUAUAAUAGACUUAAUGUUUUGGUUUGCCAAGUUUUUCUUCAUGUGGUAGAAUAAAAAGCUUUUCUUUUGCCACCUUUUUAGGAUGACAGGUAUUUUUUAAGUGGGUCACUGGAUGGAAAGCUUCGUCUUUGGAACAUACCCGACAAAAAAGUGGCUUUGUGGAAUGAAGUAGAUGGUCAAACAAAAUUGAUCACAGCUGCAAAUUUCUGUCAGAAUGGCAAAUAUGCAGUAAUCGGGACAUAUGAUGGGAGAUGUAUUUUCUAUGAUACAGAGGUAAAUGAUUAUUUUGUGAGAGUAACGUAAUUGAAUACUUAAUAAAACGCUUUUGUGGUUUGGGGCAAGUCAUUAAUCCCCUGCCUUACUUGUAAAGUAGGACAAAUAAAAAAAAUAUCUGUCUAAGAAUUGGAUCAAGUGAUCUUUGAAGUUUGUUCUAAUUCUGAUAUUUUUAAUUUAUGCUUUCUUUUUAGCAUCUGAAAUACCAUACACAAAUACAUGUCCGAUCUACUAGAGGGCGCAACAAGGUUGGAAGGAAAAUUACUGGCAUUGAGCCUUUACCUGGAGAAAAUAAGGUACUGUACUAUUCAAAACCAGCUUUCUUCACACUUCACAUAGAGUUGAAGUUACUUUAAAUAUCUGGACAAAAAAUGUAUUCCCUUUCUGAUGGAAACUCCUGUUUCUAGCUUUGAGGUCUGUUUGUUUUAUAUGUGUUUAAUGCCCCUUUUUUGGCUUUGAUGAAAAUAGCUUAACUUAGACUAAAAGUUAAUAUUUUUAACUUUUCCUUUUAUUUAUUUUUAGAUACUGGUAACCUCAAAUGACUCUAGAAUCAGACUCUAUGAUCUGAGAGAUUUGUCACUAUCCAUGAAGUAUAAGGGUUAUGUCAAUAGCAGCAGCCAGAUCAAAGCAAGUUUCAGGUAAAUUGACAUUGAGAAAUUCCCAAAAGAGAUCAAAACAUUUUCCCUAUUCCCAUUUUUUUCAUUGAUCUAUGCCUUAUUUUUAUGUGAGGGUUUUAGUUUCUUUGAACUUUGUACCUGGCAUCUCAUAUCAUCAUGCAAUACUUACUUUGUCUACAUGUAUGGUUGAUAAGACUUAGAAUGGCCCCUAUUCUACAGAUGAAGAAACCAAAACCCCAAAAGUUGAUUGGUCAAAGUCACAGUUGCAGAGCCAGGAUUAGAAGACUCUUAGCUUCAAAAUUUUUGCUUUCAUUUGUUAUGUAAGCUUUUAAUAGGAGGAUUACCCCAACACCCCCACCGUUGUCUUUUUCCUUUUAGGUACAAGAGCUCAGAAAGCAAAGUGCCCUAUGUUUACACCUUUACUUAUUAUUAUUUGAACUCUUUUUUUUUUCUUUGUACAAGGGAUUGAUCCCAGGGCCACUUAACCACUGAGCCACAUCCCAGCUCUUUUUUGUAUUUUAUUUAGAGACAGGGUCUCACUGAGUUGCUUAGGGCCCUGCUAAGUUGCUCAGGCUGGCUUUGAACUCAAAAUCCUCCUGCCUCAGCCUGCUGAGCCUCUGGGAUUACAGGUGUGGGUCACAGGCUUCAUUAUUUGAACUCUUAAUUUGUGAUCUGCAGGCUCUCCUUUUGAAAUAGGAUUGCCAGCUUGCCUUUUCUUCUUCCUAGCCAUCUUUCUUUCAGCUCUUUUCCUAUCAGUUGUACUUUUCUUCUUGAAUUCCCUAAUAAUUAACUGGUAAAGUAUUCUGCUUCUCUCAUCCCUUAAGUCAUUGUUUGUUCCCGUGUGAGUUAACUGGCAUCAAAGUGACCAGAGCUUUGAUGAAAAUACAGAUGCCAGGACUAGAGGGGUUAGCUCAGUAAUAAAGCACUUGCCUAGUGUGUGUGAGGCCCUAAUUCGAUCUUCAGGAAGUACACACGUUACACACACACACCAUAUAGCACCCACAUUAGACCACCCACUCAGAACCUCCAGAAUGAGACAAUGAGUCUAGUUUUCAAUAAGCUCCUUCAAGUGUGUCUUAGGUAUUUUAAAUUAGGAAGUACUGGUAGAAAGAAACUUUAAUAUUUUUUCUUUUUUAUUAUUUUUUUACCUUUAUUCCCAAAAUUUAGCCAUGAUUUUACUUACCUCGUUAGUGGUUCAGAAGAUAAAUAUGUUUAUAUCUGGAGUACUUAUCAUGACUUAAGCAAGUUCACUUCAGUCAGGAGAGAUCGUAAUGACUUCUGGGAAGGUAUUAAAGGUAAGCAAAUGCCUACUUAUGUGUAUCUUUAUAAGUGAAUAAAGUGGAGAUUUAUCAGAAUAAAUUUGUAUCAGCAUUAUUUAAGAAGUUUAUCAAUUAUAACUGCUUUACAUCCUAUUUGGCUUUGUUUGUUUGAUUUUUCUAUGCCAAGGAAGAAUUUGUCUUGGUCUAAAAUGUAAGAAUUCAUAGAAUCUUAGAACUUUUAUGUGUUCUAUUUUUUGGUUUUGGUUUUGUUUUGUUUUAGAAAAUACUUCUAGGUUUUAAAUUGCUUUUAGUUACUUCUGUUUGUUUGUUUGAUUGAUUACCUUUUGACAAUACUGGGAUUAAACCCAGGGGUGCUCUACCACUGAGCAACAUCACCAGCCCAUCUAGAUAGGGAUUUGCUAAAUUGGCCAGGCUGCCCUCUAACUUGUGAUCCUCCUCCCUCAGUUUCCUGAGUAGCUAGGAGUAGAUGUGUGUGCCACUGGGCCCAGCUCUUUCAUUAGCUUUUAAGGAUGUUUGGCAUAUAACAUAUAUGUAUGUUAGUUUCUUUGCCCUAUCCCACACAUUGGGGAUUGAACCAGGGGUGCUUUACCACUGAGCUAUGUUUCUGGCCGUUUUUAAAAUUUUUAGUUUGAGUCAGAGUCUUGCUCAGUUGCCCACACUGGCCUCAAACUGGCAAUCCUCCUACUUCAACCUCCCAACUAGCUGGGAUUACAGGCAUGCAUCAUCUUACCCAGCUUGUAUGUUGGUUUUAAAAGAUAUUUUUCAUAUUACCUUUUUGUCUUGAUGUUUAAUAUCAAAUUUAUCAGUUAUCCUAAAGUGAAUUAUUUUCCAGCACAUAAUGCAGUUGUUACAUCAGCCAUCUUUGCUCCAAAUCCAAGUUUGAUGUUAUCUUUGGAUAUGCAAUCUGAAAAAUCAGAAGGGAGUGAUAAAGGUGAAGAUGCUGAAGUUUUAGAUACCACAUCAACUGGUAGGUACCUAUAUUUUAUUUGCCCUAAACUUUUUUCUUGUCACUACUUAGGAGACUCACUAACCUAGUGUUGACUAUGAUGAUAUUUUAAUGAGCAUAAAGAAUAUUUGUUUACAACAUAAUAGUCAUUGUUUGUUCCAGUGUGAGAUAACUGGCACUGGUUGUCAGAUAUUCAUUUUGGAACAUUUUAGUAAAUUUUUUUGCAAAUUUUGCUUUUUUAAUUCAUCUAGGAGUUAAUGAAAAAUUUGAAAGUUCAUAGUUUUUAUAGGCAACCAUUUUCCUCAAAGAAAUGCAAACAGUAUAUGUAAGUACAAAGCUUCUUUAUUAUGUGUCUUUUCUACUAGACUGUAAUCUCUAGAAGAGACUCUGUCUUAUUUUUUCUUUUUCUUUUUGUACCCACACAAUUAUACGUUUCUACACUCAUAUAUGUUUCCCCUUCAUAUUCUACAGGAAAUCCUAGCUAUGGAUUAUUCUCAGAUUUUUUUUUCUUGUUGUUGCUUUGCACCUAUGUUGGUAUAAUCUAAGAUUUUUCUAUUCCAGUACUGGAAAAUAAAGCCAGGAACAAUCAACCACUGAGCUACGUUUCCCACCCAUUAUACACACACACACACAUAUGCACAUAUAUAUAUAUAUAUAUAUAUAUAUAUAUAUAUAUAUAUAUAUAUAUAUUUGUUUGUUUGUUUUGAGACAGGUUCUCACUAUGUUGCUGAGGCUGGCCUCAAAAUUGUGAGCUUCUACCUCAGCCUCCCAAUUUACACCAUCACACGUGGCAGGAAUAAACUCUUAAUCCCAGGGUAUGGAGAACAUAAAAUAUCUGAUUGUCCUCUCUUUCUUCCUGACAUAUUUGACAGUUUGAGCCUGUCAUCCUAGUAUAUAAAAUGGUGGCAAUAACCUGCUUUACAGGGUUUUUUGAUAGGAAUUAAAGAUAACAUUGCAAAGUGUCUAGCAGAAUGCCUGGUAUAUAGUAGAUAUUAUCAGUAUCGUCUUUAUUAUUACAUAGUCUCAAUGCAUUUGUGUAUGAUGAAUUUUUUUCUUCUGUAGCCUUUCUCAUAUACUUAAGUCCUUUGCUACUGCUACACAGCAUGAGUUUGGAUAUACCAGAAGGGUGAUGAGGAAUGCUCAAAGACAUAGAAUAUGUUCUUAGUACAUCUAAGUGAAACCAUUUUGUCUGACUCAUCCUGUAUACUACUUUCCAAUUAAAGUUUAGAUUAUUCUUUUCCUUAUUAAUCAGUUCUUCUUACAUCUAUAAUCUUUACCUAUUUAUAAUAGAAUUAGUUAACACUGAAUUUAUUAAAUGUUUUGACCCAACUGGCAAUUGUUAGAGGUAAGCAUUUUUGCCAUUCGUCAUAGCUAUCUAGAUCUUCAUAUGGAAUGUAAAGGCAAACGGUGAUGUCAGCAUUCAUAGAGCUAAGGUGUUUACUUCAUUUCAUGGCAGUUUUAAUGUGUCUGCAGUACAGUAAACCUUACUGUCACUGUCAUUAGAGACGCUGUUAACAAUAGACUUGCCCAGCUAGUACCAUUCAGCCAGCAUUCCAGUCCUGCUACUGAAUAACACUCUAACCUAUACUCAUGAAACAGAAACAUUAAACGACUUAGAGGCUUAGGCUCCUGAGAGUAAAUCUGGGCCUCCAGGCCCCAAGGAAGAAUAAUACCCUCAAGCCAGGGAAAGAAGAGCUAACACAAAGUUAGUGGAAGUGAACCUCAGAGAGGAGGAAGGUACAGCAGGAUGAACAGGUUACAGGAACAAGCCAGAAAAGACUGUGGGGAAAAGAUCUUCCCCCAAAAAAGUGGAGUGUCAUGGGCAUAUGGUAAUUGUGACAGCAGGCUGCAUUUUCCUUUCAAACUCACUGAAUUUUUUUUUCUCUGCUUUUAAGGUACUGCGAAGACAGACAACACAGAAGUUCUUCUCUCUGCUGACUUCACUGGAGCAAUCAAAGUGUUUAUUAACAAAAGGAAAAAUGUAUCUUAAUUUAAAUUGACAUUUAAAAUAAACAUAUCAGUAAGUUUCUAUAUGUAUCAGAACUGAAAAAAUAUAUAGUAUUUCAGGCUAACAUCCUUUUUUAAUUUUUAUUGAAAGUUUUUCAAAUAUAAUAUAUUUUUUGAGAGGCAGUGUUAAUGAUCUAGGAAAUCCUGGACUGAUAGACUAGAAAAGAAUGUGGCUAGAUUAACAUUGCCAGACAUUAGGCUUUAUGUUUUGUUAUGUUUGUGUUUUUGUUAUAUAAUUAUGAACAUGCACAAGUUUCUGCAUGAAAGAUAUUAAUAUAUUAAUCACAUGUGUGUGCCUUUUGGUUACAUGCACUAAAUCUAACAAAGUUAAAUUAUUUCAGUGGCUCUUUUAGCCUCUUACUGGGGUAUAGUCUUGUUUCUAGCUUAAAUUUCUUUUGCACAAAAUUUCAUUUUAAAGAAAAGUGGUCUCCCUGGGUGCAGUGGUGCACGUCUAUAAUCCCAGCAACUCGGGAGGCUGAGGCAGGAGGAUCCCAAGUUCAAGGCCAGCCUUAGCAACUUAGUGAGACCUUGUCUCAAAAUGAAAAAUAAAAAGGUCUGGGGAUGUGGCUCAGUGGUAAAGCACCCUUUGGUUCAAUCCUCAGUACCAAAGAAAAAAUAAAAGUGGUCUCUUUUGACUGAGUUAUUGUUUUGAAAAUGUUAUACAGAUCUUCAAUAGGUCAAUAACCAUGGGUAAAUGGUUUUUAUAAAUUUCUCAAUUUGGGGACAAGAUUUUUUUUGUGGUCUAAAUUGUGGACUUAAGAUUAUUUUCUUUGUGUAUAUAUAUAUAUACAUACACACACACAUAUGUAUGUAUGUAUAUAUAUAUAUAUAUGUGUGUGUAUAUAUAUAUAUAUAUAUAUAUAUAUAUAUAAUUUUUUUCUUUGCCACACUGGAGCACAAUGUUUCUAUGUAAAGAAUUCUUUUCAUUCUUUAUUCAUGAGCACCAGGCUUUGCUCACUUAAAAAAAAAUAAGCCGCAUUAAGGAGUGAGUCUUCUUUUUUACAAUAAUGUAAAAUUGAACUGUUUACAUUUUUUUUAAAGCAUUGUAGUUUUUAAAAAUUCAAGCUUUUUUUUUUGUUGUUGUUGAAUUUGAAAGCCUUUGUAAAUAUCAAUAUAAUGUACCAAUGAAAUAACAUCUGGGACAGUGGAACCCUGACCAUGUUGUUGAUGGUUAGCAUAUGUUUCUGAAAAUUAAAUAUGUAUUAUUAAAAGUUGGUCGCCAACACUUGUUGAACAUGACUUAUUUUCAGAUGACUUCACUAAACAGGAAUGCAAGACAAACUCUGGUUUCAGUCAUUUUGAUUUUUAGCAAACAGAAGGCCAGAUUUUACACCCCUAAAUGAUAAAGCAUUAGCUUCAUGCCUUUAAAAAAUGUUUAAGUUUAGCCCGGUGUGGUGGCACACACUUGUAAUCCCAGCAGCUCAGGAGGCUGAAGCAGAAGGAUCGCAAGUUCAAAGCCAGCCUCAGCAAUUUAGCAAGGCCCUAAACAACUCAGCGAGACCCUGUCUCGAAAUAAAAUAUAAAAAAGGGCUGGGGCUCAAUAGUCAAGUAUCCCUGGGUUCAAUCCCCAAUACUAAAAAACAAAUUUAAAAAAUGUUUAAGUCUGAUUCUAAAAGGAACUGGUAAGAGUUCAUCUCUAUGCUUAUAUGUUCUUUACUCCAUUUGUUUUCAGUAUGUGAGUGAGAAGCUGGGGAGUCACACUCAUCCUUGUUAAUUAGCAUGGUCUUGGAGUGUUCUGGGAUUUCUGGCUAACUGUAUUUUGUUUGCCUUGUUUUCUCCCCCUAUGCUGCCUUCGUCCUCUUCCCUUUUCCUUCUCCCUUCUCCCCUAUAUUCAUCUCUCUACUUUGGUGCCCAGAUUCUCCUAUACUUUACCUGUAAGAUUGAAUUGCUUUGUCAUUGACUCUCUAACUAAUCACAAUUCCUUUAUGCCCAAGGUCUGGGUGGCAGUGUGGUUGAUCCAGAACUCAAUGUCUUCAACUUUUUGAGGCAGCUUGACUUUCCUUGACUUCUCUCUGAACACUGUAGCCUGCCAUGGUGCUGGUUGUUUCCACUGCAAAUAAUCGGAUGAUGCCAUAUGAAUAUUACCUAAUAGGUGUUAUGUGACUGCUUGAACAAAAAAACAAAAAUAGUUGGGAUGCAAGCUUAAAGCAUAAUACUGAUACUUGCUAUCACUAUAUACACUGCAAAGUUACAAGUCAGAAAAUGAGUUUGAAAAGGUAACAUUAAAAGGUAUACAAAGAACAAUUGAACACUAUCUGUCCCUAAAAUUAGUGUUAGAAACUAUAAUAAAUGUUUCAGUCAGCUUUUUCACCACCGUGACUAAAAGACCUGACAAGAACCAUUUUAGGGGAGGAAAAGUUUGUUUGGGGCUCACGAUUUCAAAGGUCUCAGUUGACAGACAGCUGGCUCCAUUCCUUGAAGAUCAGGAUGAGGCAGAACAUCAUGGUGGAAGAAUGUGGUGGUGGGGGGGGAAGCAGCUCAUAUGAUAAUCAGGAAACAGAGACUUCACUCACCAGAUAGAAAAUGUACCCCAAAGCCAUGUUCCCAGUGACCCACCUCCUCCAGCCACAUCCUACUCACCUUCAGCUAACACUCAGUUAAUCCCAUCAGGGAAUUAUUUCACUGAUUGGUAAGACUUAUAGCCCAAUCAUUUGUCCUCUAAGCCUUUUUGCACUGUCUCCUAUACGAGCUUUUGGGGGAUACCUUACAUCCAAACCAUAAUAAUAAGUAAUGCGGUAUUAUAGGAAAGCACAGUUUUCAGACUGAGAUAAACUUGGAUUAGUUUCCCUCUACUAACACAUUCCUUGGGCAAGUUAUUUAUCCUAUGUUUACUUUGUUUCCUUAUACAUAAUGUAGGAAUACCUAAAUCCUAAAGAUUUGCUGAUAAAUCAUGUCUAUGUAAAGUUUGGUGACUAGCCAGUAGGUAUAUUCAACAUGCAUUUCUCAUUGCCUCUUUAAAAUCCCUGAGUGCCCUCCCAGACCUCAUCCCACAAAAAAAAAAAAAAAAAAACAGUAUAUGUAAACACUUUCUAGAUGCAGGGAUUUCAUGGACAGACCCCACUGUAGGCAUUAAUAUAGGGCUUUUUUUUGUUUCAGUACACUUUUGUUUUUGCGGUGCUAGGGAUUGAACCCAGGGGUUCACACAUGCUAAGCAAUCACUCUACCACUGAGCUACAUCCCUAGUCUGUCAUUCAUUCAUAAUUUUUUUUUAGACAGGCUCUCACUAAGUUGCUCAGACUGGCCUCAAACUUGUGAUCCUACUGCCUCUACCUCCUGAGUAGUUGAGAUUACAGGUGUGUGCCACCACACCCAGCAAGAUACAUGUUUUUAAAACUGCCAACGUCUAUUAUCACCUCUUCAUAAAAGGGAGAACAUUUUGGAGCUGGGGUUGUGGCUCAUUGGUAGAAUGCUCACCUAGUAGGUGUGAGACACUGGGUUCAAUCCUCAGCACCACGUAAAAAUGAAAUAAAAAUAUUGUGUCCACCUACAACUAAAAAUAAAUGUUUUUGUUUUUUUUUUUUUUUUUAAAGGGAGAACAUUUUAAUAGUUAAAAAAAAAAAAAAGUACGGGGCUGGGAUUGUGGCUCAGCGGUAGAGUGCUCACCUUGCAUGUGUGAGGCCCUGGGUUUGAUCCUCAGCACCACAUAAAAAUAAAUAAAAUAAAGAUAUUGUGUCUACAACUAAAAAAUAAAUAUUAAAGUAGAUCAAGCAUAAUUUUAUAACCUUAGGGCAAUAAUCUACUAAAGUAAAUAAACUUACUUAGCUUUUGAAAAAAAAGUGAUUAUAUUCCCUUAUUUCUUAAUAGCCUCUUCAGGGAAAACCUCAUCAUUGACUUGCUGUGGCAGGCCAAGAGCCACUGUACUAGAUGAACAAGUUUAAUAUUUUUUCAGAACUCUUUGAAGACUCAUAUUGAGCUUUCUCCCCACCCCUUGUCUUGUAUACCUUAAUUAGAAUGAAAAUAUUAAUGGCUCAACAUAAUUUAGCAUGCCAUUUUUUUACUGGUUUCCAAAUUAUAUAGCUGGGCAGUGGCUUUUUAUUCUUUGAAAUGUGUUUAACAUAAUAUAUCCAUCCCUCAAAUUCUAUUUCGAGUUGUAUAAUUUUAAGAGUCACAUACCAUAUUUCCCAAUUGGAGUGAAAAAUUGAAUUAGCAAAAUAUUUUUAAUUAUCCCAGAAACUUGGGGAGGCUGAGGCAGGUGGAUAACAAAUUCAAGGCCAGUCUUGGCAACUUAGCAACACCCUGUCUAAAUUAUUUUUUAAAAAUGGGCUGGGGUUGUAGCUCAGUGGUAGAGCACCCCUGAGUUCAGUCCCCAAUACCAAAUAUUUUAAUUGUCUUAAGUACUCUGAGGACUAAAGGUGAAGAUAUGUUUGUGAUUGAACAUUUCCUCUUAGGUUUUCAAAAGAAAAACAUUCCUAAUUGCACUGGUUUCUAGCUUCCUGCCUUACUUAUUCAUUAAAUUGAUGUGUAUUGAACAUCUACAAUGUACAGAACACUGCUGUGCCUACAGAAGAAUAAGGCAACAUCCUCAUGCCGGAAGAGUUCACAGUCUGGUAAAGAAGAUGGCCACAGACACAAGUUAAGAGGUUUGGAACUAUAUGGCCCUAGAUAUGUCCCUUUUUCUCCCUUUCCCUGUCUAUUCUACCCUUCCUAGUAACUCAUGGCACCCAUUUGAUUCUUAGGCCAGUCUUUAUUAGUCUGUUAUUACAAGCAGCAAGGAUAAUAUGCAUAAAAGAGGUAGUAAGUCAUAGGUAAAGCAGAAAAGUUGGAAUGCCAAUCAUAUCAGUAUUUUCCUUGGUCUCUGCCCCUCCCCCUGUCCCAACUAAGAAUCAUUGUCUCAUUUCCUGAGAAAACUGUCCAGUUAAAUCCAUGGUUAACAGAUCCCAUCCUCCCAACUGUUCUCAUGUUCCUUUCAGUUCUAAAGCUUGGCCCUUUUUAGUUUUGUUUUGUUCCCUAGAUUUGGGUCAUCUAGUUUCCUAGGGAACCCAGGCUCCCCCUGUCAGCCACAGCCACUUUUCUGCUCUAGAUACAUGCACCGGAAAUGCAUUCAGGUUUAUUCAACAGGGCCAACAUUAGAAUGUGUGUGGAAAUCAGGGUGGAGAUUCACUACAGAGUCCCACAGUACCCUUCUGCAGGUUAUCUAGGGUGGUCCAAGCAAACCAAAUUUGCUUGUAUAUUUAUCUACCCUGCAUUGCAUUAUUCUCUUUUUAAUUUAGAAUCACUUUAAGUUUAUAGAAAACUUGCAACAAAAAUAUGAAAUUCUAGUAGAAGCACUUGCCUAAAAUGAAUAAGGCCCUGGGUUCAAUCUCCAGCACAGGAUGGGAAGGAAAAACAGAGGGAGGGAGAGAGGAAGGAAGAGAGUUUUCAUAUACUCCUUACACAGUUUUCCCUAAUGUCAGUAUAUUAUUUACCAUAGUAUAUUCAUCUAUGGUACAUUAUUAUUUUUAAGUAAACACUAGAUUUUAUUCAGAUUGCACCAGUUUUCCCACUUAUAUCCUUAUUGUGUUCUGAGAUCCAAUCCAGGAUACCACACUGCAUUUAGCCAUAUUAUGCUUUUUUAAAGUUAUACAUGGACACAAUAUCUCUAUUUUGUUUAUUUACUUUUAUAUGGUAUUGAGGAUUGAACCCAGUGCCUCACACAUGGGAGGCAAGCACUCUACUGCUGAGCCACACCCCAGCUGCUGAUAUGCUUUAAUUUUUUUUAAAUUUUUUUUUAGUUGUAGAUGGACACAAUACCUUUAUUUAUUUUUAUAUGGUGCUGAGGAUUGAACCCAGGGCCUCACACGUGCAAGGCAUGGAUUCUACCACUGAGCCACAACCCCAGCCCCUGCUUUUUUAAUUUAAAUAAACUUUUCAUAUUAGAAUUGAUGAUUCUUUACCAGGUAUGGUGGUACAUGCCUGUAAUCCCAACAAUGCUGGAGGCUGAGCAGGAGGAUUACAAGUUUGAGACCAGCCUGGGCAAUUUAGAGAAGCACUAAGCAAUUUAGCAAGACCCUAUCUCAAAAUUUAAAAAAAAAAAAUUAAAAUUAAAAAGGGCUGGGGAUGUGACUCCGUGGUUAAGCACUCCUGGAUUCAAUCCCUGGUACCAACAGAAAAAAAAAAAAAAAAAGAUUUAGGUUUUUUCAGAGAAGUUGCAAAAAGUUUCCAUAUCCCCACAUUGAUUUUCCACUGCUGUUAACAUCUUUAUGUCACUACGAUAUAUUUUUCACAAUUAAGCAACCAACUCUGAUACAUUACUAUAAACCAAACUCCACAGCUUCUUUGGAUUUCAUUAGUUUUUACCUAAUGACCUUUUUCUGUUCCAAGAUCCCAUCCAGGAUAUAUUACAUUUGGUCUUAAUGUAUCCUUAGGUUCCUCUGAGUCCUGACAGUUUUUAGAAUUUUUCAUACUUUUGAUGACCUUAAAGUUUUUGAGAAGUACUAGCCAAGUAUUUUGUUGAACAUCCCUCAAUUUGGGUUUGUCUGAGGUCUUUCCCAUGGUUCAUCUAGGAUUAUAGACUUUUGGGAAGAAGACCACUGAGGUGAAUUGUUCUUUUCAUUGUGUCAGAGGUACCUCAACACAACUUAUCACCUGGUGGAGGCAGCACUCAGGUUUCUCUAUAAUAAAGUUAUUUUUUUUCUCCAAUUCCAUACUCAACUCUUUGGAAGUUGUGUUGGUCAGCUUUCCAUUACUAUAACAAAUAAUUGAGAUAACCAAUUUAUAAAGAAAAAAGGUUUAUUUUGACUCACAGCUUUGAAAGUUUCAGUCAAUGAUUGUUUGGCUUUGUUGUUUGGGGCCUGUAUGAGGCAACAUAUCAUGAUAGAAUCUGGGUGGAGUGAAACCACUCACCUCAUCAUCAGGUAAAAAAAGAGAAAAGGGCUGGUAUCCCACUAUCUCCUUCAGUGGCACACCUCCAGUGUCCUAACUUCCUUUCACUAGGCCUGACCUCUUAUAGGUUCCACUGCCUCGUAAGAGCUCCAUGGGCUGGGGACCAAGCCUUUAACACAUGGGCCUUUGGGAGACAUCCCAGAUCAAACUACUGCAGAAGUGAUAAGCAUAGCCCAAACUGAAGGGGUGGGAAGGAGCCAAGCCCCAUCUCCUCAAGAAGCAAGUAACUAUAUAACUUAUUUGGAAUUGUUAUAUACAGGAGCUAGGUCUCUCCUCCUUCAUUCAUUCAUUUAAUCAUGUAUUUGUGUCAGCAUGGAUGUAUGGGUUUUGAUGCUUUGAGGUAUAAUCUAAAACUGCAUUCUUUUGUUCCAGCCUUGGCCAUUAGGAGAUCCUUCAUGUUGGCUUCUAUGUCCUUUCAACAUGCCCUCUUUCUUCCUUUUUAGCACUUCUCUACUUUGUCAUUUCUCACUGUUCCAGGCUCAUCUUGCCCCAGCCCUAGAAUCUUCCCUUGCCUUAGCCCUAAAAUCAUCCAUUUAUCCAAGGAGCUCUGGUUCCUUCUACUAGAGAAUAGGAUUAGAUACCAAGGCCUGGGGGGUAGAUGUGCACAUUAUCAAUGAAAUAUUGUUUUUCUUAUGUUCUCUGAGUUCUUCCUGAUUUCUCUGACUCUAAUUCAUUAACACAUGGAUCAUUGUGGGAUGCCACCCAUGAAGGUACUUGAGUGGUCUUCUACUUGGUACUGAGCCAUGAGGGACUUAGGUCUCGACCCCUUGUGAAUGAUCCUGGCAUUCCCAUGUAUAGACUGCCCAAGGCGUGAGAUCUCUGCCUUUACUCUUCUAGUGGGACAGCUCUGGAGUUGGGCAUGACCCACUGGGAGCUAAUCAGCCCCCCCCCUACCUUAUUUGGCAAAGAACAUUCCAUGGAAAACCUUUGAAGUCCCCCCCCCCCAUAUAAAUAAAGCAAACACAGGCUCUCUCUCACUCUUUCCAGUGUGGAAGCUUGACCCCUAAGGUCAAGGAGCUGUCCCAUCCCCACUCUCUAAAAUUACUUCCUGUGUCCUGUGAGUUCUUCGCUGUUUUCUCUUUCUUAGCUUUAUUUUGCAGCCAGUCUGUUACAUGCAGAGGAAGCCCAAAUUCCACUGCCUGCAUGGGACUAGGUGAGAGAUCAUUCUAGCACUCUCCCCUUGCUUAUUGGCAACCUCUUUCUCCAACAGGAAAAAACCAGGCUUCCUUCAUUUACCCUCAUUUAUUUAUUUGUUCAAUUCUAGCAUAACAUACUCAGUGGUUUCAGAGUUACUAACUUAAUACCCCCGUAUGAAACAACUUUACCAACUAGGUAUAGUAUUCAUGUACAUUCUUUUGGUCUUGGAUGUCAUAAUUUCCAUUCAAAACUUUCAGGUCCAUAGGUCAGCACCAUUUUUCUCCACCACAUUGCUUUUUUUAAAUUUGUUCUAAUUAGUUAUACAUGACAGCAGAAUUGUACACAAAUGGAACACAACUUCUCAUUCCUCUGUCUGUACAUGGUGCAGAGUCACACCAGUUGUACAAUCAUACGUGGACAUAGGGUAAUAAUGUCUGUCUCAUUCCACCAUCCUUCCCACCUACAUUGCUUUUUUAAUAUUAGUUGAAUUUAAAUGAUCUAUUCCUCUGACAAAAUUUAUUGGGAUUUGAUCAUGUACAUGCCCAUACUAUUUAGUAAGUAAACAUUACUUCCUAAAUCCUUUUGCACACAGCUUCCUGCCUUGCUUUCAGAGACUUAACAUUUUCCUGAAGCAGUUUUAUAGUUCCUCCCUGUUGCUGCACUGAAGUUUUAGUUCCUCAGCAAAUAUCAAGUGCUUGCUUACUCUGUCAAGUCCUUGAGAAUCUAACAGGGAAAACAGACACUGUCUAGACAUAUAUUUAUGUGAUUAAAGGGGUCUUCUCUCACUUUCUUAUCUUUCUGUGCCAUGCCAUUCACUAAAUUGGAUGUGGGUGGGUAGAUGGAUGAUAGAGAUAGAAAGUCAGGUUAAGUAGAAACCAAGUUCUCUAAUUCAACUUACAAACAUUCCUCCUUAUAUACAAGCUAUAUUCUGAGUUAGCAAAAAGCAAACUGUUUUGAAAAUAUGUAAAAUGUAAUGCUAUCUUGAGGAAUUAGUAAUUUAUUGGAAGUUAUGAAAUCAAUUAUCUAGUUAUGAAUAACUGAUUGCUCUCCCUUCUGAUUAAAAAAUAUAUAUAAAAAGGUAGAGCCAUUUUAAUGAAUACUAAAUGUUGAUUACAUUGAUCACAGUGACUCAUGCUGGGGACCUUUGUAAAAGCAAUCCUGAUAGAUCCUUAACUUGGUUGCAGUGAAUAGGCUGUAUUAGUUUACCAAGGCUAUCAUUAAAAUAUCAGAGACUGGAUGGCUUAAACAAGAGAAAUUAGUAAAUAGUUCUGUUGGCUAGAAAUCUACAAAGUGUUGGCAAGAUUCUGUUUCUUCUGAAGACUUGCUACUUGGCUUGCAUGUCGCCACCCUUUAGUGGCCAUGAGUCCCUGGUAUCUCUCUGUAAAUCCAUUCUCCCAUUUUGAUAAGGACACUAUCAGAUUGGAUUAGGUCUACCUAAUGACUUCAUUUUAGUUUAAUCACCUCUUUAAAGGUCCUAUCUCCUGACACAGACACAUUCAGAAGUAUUGGGGAUUAAGGAUUUAACAUGUAAAUUUGGGGAGAACACAGUCCCAUCCAUUACACUACCUCAAUAAGCCAUUUCAUUCAAAAUAUUUUUUAAGAAAUGGGGGUCUUGCCUGGCUAAGUGAUGCAAACCUGUAACUCCAUCAACUCAGGAGACUGAGGCAGAAGGAUUGCAUGUUUGAGGUCAGCCUCAGCAAUUUAGCAAAACUCUGUCUCAAUAAAAAAAUAAGCUUAGGGGUGUAGCUUGGUAGUGAAGUGCCUCUGGGUUCAAUCCGCAAUACAAAAAUAAAUUUUAAAAAGUGAUAAAAGUGUAAUAACAACAGGAAAAUUGGAAUUAAAAUUAAUUAGCCUGAGGCUGAUUUUUUUCUGCCCAGUUUUUACAGUGUACAUGGAAUACAUCUAUACCAGAUAAAAGUCAGACAUGGAGCAGAUUGACAGCUUAGAAUGUCAAGAGUUUAUGACGAGUUGAUAAUAUACGUUUAGAUACAUUCAGAUACUAAAAUAAAUGCCUAAAAUCCAAGUCCAUUCCUUCACAUGCACUUUUAAAUAUUUUUUUUCAGUUGUUGAUAGACCUUUGUUUUAUUUAUUUAUAUGUGGUGCUGAGAACCGAACCCAGUGCCUCACACAUGCUAGGCAAGUGCACUACCCCUGAGCCACAGCCACAGCCCACUUUGGAAUAUUUUUACACAUCUUUAUUGAGGUGUAAAAUACCACAAAAUUCACCCAUUUAAAGUGUACUGAUUCAAUGGUAUAUUCAGAUUCGUGCAACUAUCACUGCCAAGUUGACAACAUUUUCAUCAUUCCAAGAAACCCUGUAUCCAUUAGUAGUAGCUUUUUACUUUUUUUCCCCUACAAGAAUAAUCUACUUUUUGUCACCAUGGAGAUUUGCCCAUUAUGGGCAUUUUUAUGUGAAGUGGAAUCACUUUCAUAAAUGUGGCCCUUUGUGCCUCGCUUCUUUGACUUAGCAUAAUGUUUUCAAGGUACAUUCUGGUUGUAGCAUGAGUUAGUACUUCAUUCUAUUUUAUUUCUAAAUAAUAAUUCACUGUACAUUGUGUUUGUACCUUCAUCAGUUGAAGGACAUUUGAGUUGUUUCAGUCUUUGGCUAUUAUGAAUAAUGAUGUUUGGAACAGUGGUGCACAAUUUUGGUGUGGACAUUUUGUUUACAUUUCUCUUGGGUAUAGACCUAAGAGUAGAAUUGCUGAGUCAUAUGUUUAACUUUUCAAGAAGUACUGUUUUUCAUGGCAACUGUGCCAUUUUUUGUAUUUCCACCAGCAAUUGCAUUUCUUUUUUUUUAAUUUUUAAUAUUUAUUUUUCAGUUUUCGGCGGACACAACGUCUUUGUUUGUAUGUGGUGCUGAGGAUCAAACCCGGGCCACACGCCUGCCAGGCGAGCGCACUACCACUUGAGCCACAUCACCAGCCCUCUUUUUUUUUCAUAGAUAAUUAAUUCUUAGUUUUAUUUUUUUUUACCAUACGAUUUAUUUUUAAUUUUUUUUAGUCAUAUAUUACAGCAGAAUGAAUUUUGACAUAUAAAACAUACAUGGAAUGUACAUACAUCAAUCAUAUUGUCUAUUCUGUUACCCUUCCUAUCCUCCCUAUUCCUCCCCUCCUCUCUCAUCCUUUCUCUCUAUCCAAUCUAAUGUGACACACUUUUUUUUUCUUUUUCUCAUCACAACAUCAUAUAUGUAUUCUGUAUAACAAUGAGGUACCAGCAAUUACAUUUCUAUAGCAGAAAAGUAAAUUAUUACCUAUAAUACAUAAUUCAGAGACAGCCAGUGUUAUUUUAGCAUUUAACUUCAUUUUUAUGCAUAUAUAUUUUAAAAACUUACAUAAUUAUGCAAUAUAAUUGAAAUAACAGUCAUGCUACAUAUCAUGGGCAUUUUUAAUAUGUGUUCAUGGUAUAUAAAUGUUCAAUCAUAUGGAAAUAAUUUAAGCAAUCUAUUGAACAUUCAAGUUUCUAAGAAUUACUAUAAAUAACAAUAGGAGAUAUAGGUAUAUAUCUUGUCAGAAUUUCUAGUAAUUGACUUAAGGAAUACAUCCUUAAAAUGGAAGUAUAAAGCACAAACUAUUAAGAAUAAACAGCUGAGAAUGGUGGUGCAUGCCUGUAAUACCAGCAGCUCAGGAGGCUAAGGCAAGAAGAUCACAACUUCAAGGCCAACAGUCAGUAACAGUGGGCCCUUCACCUUCUGAAUAUAGCUUCCAUUGCUCUAAGGUUUAUUUAUUUAUUUUUCUCUUCUCCCCUCUCCCCCCUAACAAGAUUGGGGAGACAGAGUUAUCUUUUAUUCCCCUAGUUAACUGCCUGUGAAUACUACAGGCAGGAGAUGCCUGCUGAGGGUCAGGGAAGUGAAUAUCUCCCAAAUUAACAAGAGAAUCCUAACACACCACCAGAGCACCCUGAAACCCCCUACCAGAGCACUCCUGGAAUGUAACCUUUGAAGUUCCUUUAAAACUCCCCUGUCCUCCUGAGAGUCAGCCUUUGGGAUAGGAGUCUCCUGUGUUUUUCCUUUGCUAGCAAAGCAAUAAACCUUUCUUUUCAUUUUUCUCAAAACCAAGUCCUCAUUAUUAAAUUGGCAUUGAUUGGCAUUGGGGACAGGGACAAGCUUUUGGUUACAUGGCCUCAAGGACUUAGCAAGUCCCUAAGCAACUUAGUAAGACCUUGUCUCAAAAUGAAAAACUAAAAGGCCUGGGGAUUUGGCUCCGUGGCUAAACACCCCUCAGUUCAAUCCCUGGUACAAAAAAAAAAAGAAAAAGAAAAAGCAGUAUCAUGGAUUACAUGAAACCUGCUUAGAAACUGGAAGCUCUGGCCUAGGGUUGUGGCUCAGUGGUAGAGCUUCCCUAGCAUGCUUAAGGCCCUGGGUACAGUCCCCAGCUCCCCCCCACACACACACAAAAAGAAGAAAUUAGAAGCCCUGUUUUGUAUUCCUGAUUCUAGUACCUGGUAACUUCAGGAAAGGCAAGUAGUUCUCUGAGAGCCUAAUUAAAAAAGGCAUUUGGACUAAGAUUUCUUUUGACUCUAAUCAUCCAUAUACAUGUCAGCAAUCUUUCAGAGGCAGGGUAGCCUAGGAUUUGCUCACUUUCUUGUUCAUUAUUCACAUCCCAACUGACAGUACAAAUUGUGAUCUUCCAUACAAUCAGAAUGGCACAUUAGUGACCAAGUUCUAGCCCUAGAAUUUUCCAAUUACAAUGACCAUGCCCCAAAAUAGCAUCUUUAUAUAUAUAUAUAUAUAUAUAUAUAUAUAUAUAUAUAUAUAUAUAUAUAUAUAUAUAUAUAUAUAUUAGUUUUUGAUGGACACAAUACCUUUAUUUUAUUUAUUUAUUUUUAUGCGAUGCCAAGGAUCAAACCCAGUGCCUUGCACAUUCUAGGCAAGUGUUCUGCCACUGAGCUACAACUGCAGCCCCCCAACUUGAGAAUUAUUUUCCCUGAUUUUUUUCUCCAAAUUAUCAACUGGAUCAACAAAUAUUAUCUCUGCUAAAUGAUACUUAAUAUUUAAAAUAUUGCAGUACAUAUUCAUUAGCUGUGUAGGAAGGUUAAAAGCAUAAUUUAAAAUCUCUAGGAAAGGGCUGGGGAUAUAGUUCAGUUAGUAGAGUACUUGGUGCUUGCCUCGCAUGUACAAGGCCCUGGGUUCAAUCCCUAGCACCACCAAAAAAAAAAAAAAAAAUCUCUAGAAAGAAAAAUGCCUUAGAUUUUCACCAUACCUAGGAGCUUUUCUUUUUGGAAUCACUCAAAAAAAAAAAAAAAGAUCUAGGGAUGUAACUCAGUGGUUGAGCAGCCCUGGGUUCAAUUCCCUGUAGCAAACAAUAUAUAAAUAAAUUGAGUCUGCUGCAGCCUAUAGGACAAUAUAAAAAUGGCUCAAGUAAUGAAGAGAGAUCAGAAAGGAUGUGUAUCUUGAUUGCUUCAAUUUUUUCCCUUGAUAUGGGCAUUUGCUAAAUCAAAGGACUAAACCAUUAGAAGCUGGGUUCAAUCAGCCAAGUUUUCAUGUGUCUCCAAUAGAAAAAGGUUUUAUUUUAAGCUUAUAAAUGUAAACAAUUAAAUGAAAGCAUUUCACUCACAUGCAUUAGUGUCAAGAACAGGACAUUUUAUUUUAUUUUAUAAGGCCCUCUCCUUUCACUCUGAUAGGGACUUCUCAAAUUGUGGUCUGUCUGCUUCACCUUCCUUAGAAACUUAUUAAAAUGGCAGAUUCCUGCUUCCCAUGAGUCACUAACUCGGCGGGGGGCGGGCGGAGGCAGGAAUCUGUUUCCAACACCUUCCUUGGGAAUUGUUCAGCACCCUCAAGUUUAAGGAUCCCUGAGCUACUACAAGUUUAAGUAACUAACUCAUAACUCAUUUGGGUAAAGUCCAAGAGACAGACAAGUAGAGUCAUGGAUUGCCCCAGGUCCACAACCAGUCAGCAAUGUACUGGAAAAUGUUUAAUAGUUGGCUCUCAAAAAAAAAAAAGUCCAGAGUUCUGGUUUGUACCUUUUGCCAAUUUCUGUGGUAUAAAUACUGUCACCAUGCCAAUUUCAGGCUGACAAUAUGACAUCAGCAGAUUACACAAAAACGCACUGUUAAUAUAGUAUUUCCAGCAUACAGAUACAAUACACAUAAGUAAUCUCAGGAUUAUAUAUCAUUGUACAACAUGUUAAAAUAAUUAGGAAGUGAUGAGGUGUUUUUUUUUUUUUUUUUGGUGGUGUUGGGGAUUGAACCCAGGGCCUUGAUACAUGUGAGGCAAGCACUCUACCAAUUCAGCUAUAUCCCCAGCCCCUAAAAGUGAUGAGUUUUGAGUAUUUAUUACCUUUAUUAUAAUUUAUUUUGUGGAGAUUUAAAUAUUACUUGUGUUUAACAAAUGGCUUUCAAAUUUUAAUAAUCAACUCUCACAAGCCAACACCAGCAAACCACUACCUACAAAUAUAUAUAUAUAUAUAAUUUUUUUGGUGGGGGGGGGUACCUGGGAUUGAACCCAGGGCGCUUUACCACUGAGCCACAUUUCUAACCCUUUUUAUUUUUUACUUGUAACAGGGUUUCCUUCAGUUGCUUAGGGCCUCGCUAAAUUGAUGAGGUUAUCCUCCAACUUUCAAUCCUCUUGCCUCAAGCUCCAAGUCACUGGAAUUACAGGCCACUGAACCUGGCCUUGAAACCAUUCUUGAAAGAUACACAACACUCCUUUGGCCUGUGGACUCAAGCAUAGCAUAAGAACAAAUGAAGCCAGAAUUAGGCAGUCAAUAUAGAUAGGUAAGUCGAGUCAGGUCAGAUCAAGGAGGCCAAUUUUGAGUGAGUCCAGCAAGUUGGAGACUGUCCCCUGAGGGAUUGAAAUGUUAAUUUCUUCAGAGCCCUUCCUCCACCCUUAUCAAGAACCUGCCCCUGCUCCAACCUGUGGCUAAAGUAACCUGUCUUUGCCCUUCCCCACUGGAGGCUAUAAGGUUGUUAAUUAAUGUGUCCUGGGCUUCUCCAUCCUGCCCUUCCCCCUUCAGCCCACCUGUUUCUCACCUUUCGGCCAUCCCACCAAACAUUCCUGAGCCUACUCACAUAGGAAGGAAGGAGAAAGAUAAGGGGGGAAAGGCAGGAGAACAAAGGAAUCCUAGGACAUAUAAAAAGGGCAGAACACCUCGCUUUUGAGGAUACCAGCUAUGGCCCCCUUCUUCCUCGCAGGAGAAGUCUAUAUUACCCCUUUUUAAAUAAACCCUGCUUCAUAUGCUUGCCUCGGCUUGCUUCUCUAAUGUUCAAACUUCAACAUGUGGGUGUCACAACAUGGCAGUAUCACAAUCACAGAGAAUCUGGUAUCUGUCAAGUGAGGAAGGAAAAAUAUGGGGGAAGGCAUUGUUUAGGGAUGGAUUUAGCUAGAAACCAACAUGCAGGAAGAGAUAUUCCUGUGUUCGUUCCCUGGGGCCUGAGAGGCCACGUAUAAAACCAACUAAGCAGCCACCUUAACCUCAUUCAGAGGCCUGUAUUAGACCUUAAGCUAAGAAAAACAGUUGGGCCUGACAAAUGUUAGCACCCUGCGGGUAAAUUUAAAUAAACUCUUCUGCAUUUAAAUGGACCUUUUAAAACAAUAGAAAAUUUUUCAGGAAUUAGUGGUAAACAGAGUGUUAUGGCUCAAUCCCUACCCCCCUCUUCCCCACCCCCCACCUCCCGCUUCAAUUUCGCUAUCUGCAUAAUAAGGGGUUGGACACCAAGAUAUUUCAAGUCCUUCCAGCUCUAACUGUGGAGAGCUCUCUUCCUAAGUUACCUACUUGUUUAUUUUUCCCCUCACUAUUUGUAUAAUUUCAGUUCACUUCCACUAGAGGGUAGCCAGGGAAAGGAGAUGAGGUCCAAAUCAGUUUCUUGAAUUCUUUGCAGUCAGCCCUGGCAAGAAGCAAACAGUCAGCAGAAGAAAUUGAUGUUACAAAGACAAAAAUGAAAUUUGAGAUUCCUGUUGGUAUCAUUUGUCUUAGCUAUGAUGGUCCUAUAAUAUACAAAGAAAUUAUGACAGAGGUGCUUUACAUAAUUUUCUAUUUAAUCAAUAUCAAGAAACCAAGUAUAUAAUUGCCUUGUCUGUCUGUCCCAGCUAAUAAAACCAGUUUUACAAAGUCCAUCUUGAAGCCCACCCCUUCCUCAUUCUUUCUACUAAAAUUUCCUAUCAAUAAUUCUGAUCAGGAAAACUACAUUGAUUCCCAUCUUCUUACCACAGAAAAUUCUACCUGCCAACUAACUUUGUUUCCCAUUACUCCCCAGAAAAUAUCCUAUACUCCCAGAGAUGCAGCUUUCCAUUAAAAUCCUGCAAACAUAGCUUUGGUUUCUGCAUGGCUGACCCAGCUGUGAUGUGACAAGAAGAGCUUUGAGCUGGAUUCAAAAGAUUUUAUUGCAGGGCUGGUAUUGUAGCUCAGCAGUAGAGCGCUUCCCUAGCAUGUGUGAGGCCCUGGGUUAGAUCCUCAGCACCACAUACAAAUAAAUAAAUUAAAGGUAUUGUGUUCAUCUACAACUAAAAAAAAUGUUAAAAAAAAAAAUCUUACUUCACCAGAGCUCCUUGGAGAAAUGGUUGAUUGCAGCUGGGCACAGUGGUGCACAAAGCCCAUAAUCCCAGCAAGUUCAAGACCAGCAUCAGCAAUUUAGUGAGACCCUGUCUCAAAACAAAAAAUUAAAAGGACUAGGGAUGUAGUUUAGUAGUAAAACACCCCUGAGUUUAAUCCCCAGAACCAAAAAGAGAAAAAAAAAAAGAAAAAGAAAAGAAGGAAAUAAAUGACUGAUUCCAAGGAUGGGCAAGGUAGGUACACAGUAAACCCAGAAUGUAUUGUUAUGCCAGAAAUUAAGGAAGUCCACAGAAUAAUUGAUGGGGUGUGUCACAAGGACAGGAAUCAGUUUGAAGGGACGAUAGGCCAAAUUUGAAAUAAACCGAAACCAAAACAUGUAAACACAGCAAUGAAUUAGAGAAUAUAGGGGGAAAAAAAAGCCCAGGCACAGUGGCUCAUGCCUCUGAUGUCACCAGAAGCUGAGGCAGGAGAAUGACAAGUUCAAAGUCAGCCUCAGUAAUUUAGGAAAACUCUGUCUCUAAAUAAAAAUUAAAAAGGGGUUAGGCGCAGUGGUGCACACCUGUAAUCCCAGCAGCUCAGGAGGCUGAGACAGGAUGAUUGCAAGUUCAAAGGCAGCCUCAGCAACUUGGUGAGGCUCUGAGCAAUUUAGCAAGACCCUGUCUCAAAAUAAAAAAGGCUGGGGAUGUGGCUCAGUGGUAAAGCACCCCUGGGUUCAAUCCCUGGUACCAACAAAUUAAAAAAUAAAAUACAAAUAAAAAGGGCUGGGGAUGUGGCUCUGUGGUUAAGUACCCCUGGGUUCAAUC